rnacentral:lncRNA from 1 species
ACUGAGAAUGGCGAGAGAGAAUCGGCGAGGGAUUUGAGGGAAAUUACAGAGUGAGAAAAGGGAGGGAUGCUAUAAUCUCGAGGUGGAGCAUGGAGCUGCAAGCUGAGAAAGGGUAGACUGAGAAUGGCGAGAGAGAAUCGGCGAGGGAUUUGAGGGAAAUUACAGAGUGAGAAAAGGGAGGGAUGGGGGAUUCGAUGGAUGGUUACACAGAGAGACUCGGGAGAGAAAAAGAGGGGAAUGAAAAGGGGAUGGAAACGGACGGAAAAGGCGAUGGCAAUUUUGUAAAUAACUCAAAAUCCAUCCCAAGUCACUGUUCAUAUGAAAUAGUGCAAUUUCCCUUCCUACUUUAGACUAAAGUAAUGAUUUCCAAUUUCUACUCGUACCAGCACUGAGGUAGUUGUUUCAGGAUUGUCGAUACCCUGUUGUAUGCAAUUUGACAUGUCAUCAAAAUAAAGACCUUACGAUUACGAGAGCAUGACUCUAUGGUGUUUCCAACAAGUCCAGUUGAUAAUGUUCUCACAUGAUUAACAACGUGCGCAUUCUAGAAUUUAUCGUUGGCCAAUAUGGUCGGUCGAGUAUAAAUGUUUAGAAGACCCUAAAUUAUAUGUGCCUAGAGCUAGAUAGACCCCUAUUCGGAAUGGACACAAGUACAAAUGUUUGAGGGCGUAGGGUGAGAGAAUGACUUACAUAAUUCAGGGACACUGUUACGUUUCAUGCCAAUAAUACAACAUCGAUAUGUGUAAGUUUUUCUCUACAAAACAAUGUAUCACUGCAAUAAAAUGUCACAAUAAUAAUAUACUUGUGUCAUGUAAAUUACUUUCGUGUAUCAUCAAGAGUACACUAAACGGUGACACUACCAAUUAUUAUUUUUAAAGACACAGUAGAGUAGGAUUAGGACAAAAACACAGUAAUUGCUUAGUGUUGUCGUUAAAUCUUGACCGUUCGAUCGAUCUAAGGGUUGUAAUCAAAAUCCGUGAGAUAGACGGACGCAUUCUAGAAUUUAUCGUCGGUCGAGUAGUAUAAUGUUUAGAAUACCCUAAAUUAUAUGUGCCUAGAGCUAGAUAGACCCUUAUUCGGAAUGGACACAAGUACAAAUGUUUGAGGGCGUAGGGGUGAGAGAUUGACUUACAUAAUUUAGGGACACUAUUAAGUUUUUAUGCCAAUAAUACAACAUCGAUAUGUAUAAGUUUUUCUCUACAAAACAAUGUAUCACUGCAAUAAAACGUCACAAUAAUAAUAUACUUGUAUUAUGUAAAUUACUUUCGUGUAUCAUCAAGAGUACACUAAACGGUGACACUACCAAUUAUUAUUUAAAGACACAGUAGAGUAGGAUUAGGACAAAAAACUCAGUAAUUGCUUAGUGUUGUCGUUAAAUCUUGACCGUUCGAUCGAUCUAAGGGCUGUAAUCAAAAUCCGUGAGAUAGACGGACGUAAUCUCCUACCAGGACUAUGAGUACUUGGCUUCGACAUCCUAUAUAUACAACGAGACACGCCAUUUACAUGCAUACAUACAUCAUCGACGUUCAAGUUUCAAACCCUAACGUUGGCUCUUUUCCGUCUUUUCUCGUCGCCUGUUUUUUGUUCCUUCCAGAAAGUGGAAUCUGAAGAAUCCGACGGCAACGAUGUCGAUGAUAGAUAACGUGUUAAGGAUGAUAGAUAACUUCGAGGACUGGUUUAUAACCAAACGCCAAGAGCUUCAGAAAUCUGCGAGAGUCGCUAUGGAAGCUUUGCUCUGGGAACCCAGAAGUUUCCGGAACGUUUUGAAUUUGGCAAUCAAAUUGACCAAGGCAAUCGUAUUGGUGCCCCUUUGUGUGCUGGCCUUGUAUACUGUGCUCCUGAUUAGGGUGGGAAUCGCUUGUUUGAUCUGCGUCCCAAUACUUUUCAUUAUUUUCAUCGUCCUUGUCGGUGUCCGUAAGUUACUGACCAUAAGACUUCGACUUGCAAAUUAUGUAACCAUGAUUUCUAGUUGUUUGUUCGUUGCUCACCAACUGUCUGUUUAAAUGACUGAAUGAGUUUUUUUGUUUCGUUUCUUUUCUUGCAGGUUACGGUCGGGCACACUAUCUGUUCUUCACAAGACGAAACCGCGCGGGGAUGUCGUAUGCCGACUUCAUUGACAAGUUCGGCGCGUGGUUGACAAACAAUCCUAUUCCACCUUUCGAAUCAUUUGGUGAAUCCGGUCGACAUUGGGCACAGUACAUGUGUGGGCUUCAAAUUGGAAGAAGAUUGAGGAAGAUUUCAGAGUUACCAUGGAAUGUAUGUAGAGAUUAUUAGAUUGGAUGACCAUAAAAUUAAAAUUGCUGCUUCUGUUUAUUUUCUCUCUCUAUUAAUUUAAUUUUUCUUUCUAAAAUAACUACGCCAUUUUAUCGAGAGGCGUAUUGAACGACAUAGCAUCCGUAAGAACGACUUGUGACAUUACGAUACAAAAAAAGAAAGAAAAAAAAAAGCAAUUUGUGACAAAAUAGCUAGGAUUAUGGUUAAAGUAUAGCAUCUAUAUCUAUAUGUUAUUAUUCUUCAUCACUUGGAAGCAACUAUUUUCAAUUAAUUACACAGGAGCACGACAAUGACUGAAACUUUAACAUAGAUAAUCGAACUAUUAGAGUCUAAGAAAAUUUAUUUGGCAAGGAAUUCGGAUUGUGUGGGUUAAAAGAGAGGCCAUACCCUCACUUUUUGUUAGAAACAGACUCUCUAUGUAUGUUGUUCAUCUCCUAUGAACUCGUUCUGUGAAAGUCCCCUUGUUUCUCAAAGUUUAGGGCAAAUUGCUUAUGAUAUAGUGCUCGCUUAAGAUUGCAUUUUUUUUUGCAUAAAUGUAACGAGUGGAAUUGUUUGGCCAAUGAUUUUGCUAAUUAUGGUUAGUCAAUUUGGCUAAACUGUCUUAGGAAACGAUUUUCACACUCUUUUUCAUUCUUUUGCGCUUUUUUAUUUAUUUUUCUAUCUAGCGGUUUGAUUGAAUAAAGUAAAAAAAAAAAGUCAUAAACAAAGAGAUAUAGGCAAGGAAAAGAAAGGGGAGUGUCAAAAUCAUUUUUCGACUGGUAAAUUCAACACAUUUUCAACUAAUAUACUCCUUUUAUAAAAAAUAAAAAAUAAAAAAAUUUCAUUUUUUUUGUCAGAAUAUUUUAUUAUUAUUAUUAUUUUAUAGUCAAAAUUUAAUAUUUCACGUCUUCAUGGACUCUCAUUUUUCUUAAUUAUAUUUAACUCACUAAUGAUAUUGCUCUAUUUAAAAAAAUGUUAGUUUUUUUGUUGCAAUUAAUAUUUCUUUUUUGAACGGACGAAGAUGGCCUUCAAUUUUAAGGAGGACUUGACUUGCAUGGAACAAAUGCACCGUCACAUGGUGCCAUGUGCCAAUAAAAUAAUACAAUGACAUAUGUUAGCUUUUUUCACAUAUCCUUGUGUUUACUGACACAGGACGCCACAGUGGCACUGAAGCCAUGCAAUACAAGUUGUUCUCACUUAAUUAACAUUUACAAUUGAACCUCUAUCAAUUUAGCUAAUAUUAAAUAAUCGAUAAGAUAAUUCCAAUUUAAUUUUAAGGUUAGGGGUGAUUUUCCGUCCAAUUGGAUCUGAAACAAGUAACCCAAUGCCAAUCCGAAAAAGUUUUGGAACAAAUAUUAGUUCCAAAUUAGGAAUUUUGUAUUUUCGAAAUUUAUCGAAAUUUCGGAAUUGAUUUUAUCUCAAAAUUUUUGGAAUAUAAUUCGAAUUUCCUACAUUUUGUGUAAGACUUUUGAAAUUUUUUAAAAUUUUAUGUAUCUGCUGUUCAAUAUUUUUUAUGAUUUCUUUUUUUGCAACAUUUUGUAUGAAAUUAUAAUAGAUAAAAUAAAGAGUGAUUUUGUAUAAAAUCAAUACAAAGUUACCAUAUUGACAAUAGAUCAUCAAAUAUUAUGUUAAAUAUAAAUAGGUCAAUCAUGUAUUGUGAUACUUAAAUGCAUUUAAAAAUAAAACAAAAAUUGCAUAAUUUACCACUACAGCUGGCACCCAAUCUUCAACUGGCACCACACUUUCAACUAGCACCAUCUUUCUCAUAUUUUUUAUAUUUUGGAAUAGGUUAAUACGGAUCAAACACUGCAACACGGUGUCUGUUUCCUAAUUCUGUUUUUUAUAUUUGGAUUCAGACGUUGUGUUGCAGUGUCCAUUUCACAGUUUUGUUUUUUUUCAUCAAUCACAUGCCUCAUACGUGCCCGUUUUUACUUUAGAUUCAGACACUGUAAUGCAAUGUCUAUUUCCCGGUAUUGUUUUUAUUUUUUGAUUCAGACACUACGUUGAACUGUUCAUUUCCUGGUUCUAUAUUUUUUCAUCACUCACAUGCCUUCUAUGCUUAACACCUCACGUGACUCCUGAUUUCUACAUUUGGAUUUAGACACUGCAAUGCAAUGUCUAUUUCCUGUUCUGUUUUUUACAUUUGGAUUCAGACACUGCAACGCAAUGUCUGUUUCCUGUUCUCUUUUUUUACAUUUGGAUUCAGACACUGCACCGUCGUGUCCGUUUCCUAGUUUUCAAUUGUUGAUCAUAGAAGUCUGUGUUUUCUCAUUUGAAUUGCUGACCACAAUGUCCCUUUUUUUAUUUUCGCAUUGUAGACAUGUAAAUGGUGGUGGGAAAAACGCGAACGUAUAAGGAAACAGUUUCGUGAAAUGGGAGAAAUAAAAUCCAAACAAUUUCAAUUGCUUAAUUGGCAAUCGAAAUUGUCAAGCUCCAAGAAAUUGCGAAAGCACCUGUCUACAAUCGUGAAAUGGGAGAAAGCACCUGUCUUUGAUCUCCACAAAUGAGAAAGCCCCCGCCUAGCCGUCUAGGCACUAGGCUCCUACUCGCUGCCCGACUAGUGCCUAAUAUUUUUUAGAACCUAUGAUUAUUGUAAGAACAUUUGACAAAAUUUUAAAACCAAUGAACAUAUAUGGUUUACUUACCCCAUCAGCAUCAUCAGAAUUCCGAAGUGCAGCAACUACGUCGACCAAUUGUGAAAAUUACACAAGCAGGAUGAAUAUUAUCCUUGGCUCCUGAAAAUUACACAAAUCAUAUGGCUGUAAAGAUGACUCACUUGAAACAUCAGACUCUCAUUUCAUUAGCAUCGUCAUUUUCAUUGUCGUCCGAGACCGACUCGUAGUUUAGUGCAACUGGAUCAACCAACUUAGAUUCAUAUGAUUUCCAAUUUCUACUCGUACCAUUACUUGCUAACCAUCACUAGACUUAUGGGGUUAAGCCCUUUUUCAGCACUGAGGUAGAUGUUUCAGGAUUGUCGAUACCCUGUUGUAUGCAAUUUGAGGUGCCCGGAGUUCUUUUUUCAAGGGUAUGACAACCCAAACUCCCAGUCGAUAGUGUCCCCAGUGCAGCUAUCAUCAAGGUAUAGAGGAUUGUUGGGGUCUAUCACCUUGGAGAACACAAGCAAUACUGAUAGCCAUUUUCCGAAUUAAAUGAUUAGGGCUUUCUAGCCUACCUACCAGCAAAGACAAGAUAUAACAGGAUGAUAAUGACCACUGGCGUUGGAGGAGAGAAUACUGAUAGAGACACAGAGAAGUAUUUACAGCUCACUCCUUUGAGAAUUGAGUGCAUCACAUCCUUGGUCUCGUUUAAUUCUUCUUUAGACAUGUUUUCCAUGGAAAGGCCUAUAGCUGCAGAUGCAUCUAAUAUUGCAAGAUUAAGGGACAAAAAAUUCCAAGAGAAGUAUAAUAAAACAAUGAACUUCUCUCGACUGCAAUGGGAUUUUCUAUAGGAAAGUUACAGGCAUUUCAUAUUAAUGUUAGGCUUGUAGCUUCUACAGGGUUUCCCAUUGUAAAGUCCUGACAUGAAAAAUCAUCAGGAUUCAUCGCAGACUAUACCAGAUGCUGGAUAAAGACAUGAAGGAUACAAAUUUUCUGUUCCAUUGGGGCCAAUUGCCCAGACUCUUUCUUAGACCAAACUGCUACCAGAUGCUGCGAUGUAUCUAAGAAAUUUCGGGUAUUGUGACCUUAGCGAGUGAACUACUAUCAGGUGGGCGUUCAAGAAUAGUAAACUGAAGGAUCCAUCGCAGGCAACAAACACGAAAUACUUUCCAGAGUAAAAAUUUGUCAGAAAACAUUGACCUAAUAAAGAGGAAAGCUGAAAUUAAACACUUGUAUAACACAAAACAAUACUGCAAAAUGAAACAGUAGUAAAACAAUGCAUUCUUCCAUAUAACUAAUUAAAGAAAAUCAAGAUUUCCAUAACUGAGCUUCAACUAAGUGAGUUUCGUUUGCUCCGAAACCUUACCGGCAUGAAUUUUGUCUACUUCCUAUCUGAUGAUGUAUAAUCAAAGACGGGACAGUAAUCAUAUGCUUGAAUCCAAUAUUUCAGAAAUUACUACCCAAAAAAAUGUCAAGGUUGAUGGCCAAAAAAAAAAAAAAAAAAAAAAAAAACCAAGUAUCUAUAAAAAAAUGUAGGCUACUCUAUAGAUCAACCCUGGAGAGAGGGGGAGGAGGAAAGAGUUUUUUUUUUUUUUUUUUUUUUUUUUGCAUAAAUUAUCAAUGUAUAUUUCAGAAUUAUGAAAACUCUGGGGAAACAAGCUAGCAAGAUCUGCGCGCAGCGACAGAACAUUCAUACGUAAAGGCAUGCGAAAAAAGGUGUCGAUAUACAAAAACAAUGGCAAACCAAAACCACCGAAAGAGAUGCCAAAGUACCCUCAAGCCAAUCUCCAGGAAAAUCAACCAUCAGUUAUGAUCUUAAGAUUUCAUAAACUCCAUCUGAUUCAACGCCAUUCUCUACCGGCCUGGAGCGUAGGUAAUUUGACACAUAGUUUUCUUCCCAAAACUCAAAUUUUCAAAAUUUACAGCCAAAUAAAAGCCGACAUAUUUCAAGGGAAUUCUACACACAUAAAUUUUUAAAAACACAAUGGCAAGCUACGAUGCAUGGACACGCGAGAAAGCAACCGUAUCCCGUAUCUGACACGCUGAGGAUACGGAUACGCAGAUGAUAGGCGUGGAUACGCGUUCGAUACGUAUUGGAGUGAAAGGAUACGUUUGAGACUGAUGAGAUACGCGUAUUGUAUUGUCCAGAUACAUGUAUCCUACUUUUCAGAUACAUUUGAAACUGAAAUAGGAGGAUAAUCACAAAAAAAAUCACAAAAAAUCUGCAUAGAAUCGUGAUUGAUCGAACUUAGUUAACUGAAAUCACUCUAAAAUCAAAGGAUAAUCAGAAAAAAAAAUAAAAUUCGGAUUUACCUCUAAGAAAUCACUCUGCUUGGGAGACUUUCACAAAUCCCCAUUGACCGUCAUCUGCAACUGUUCCGUGACCCGUCGUCUCCAUCUGCAACUGCGCCAUCGUCUCCCUCUUCUUCAUCUACAACUGCUCCGUCGUCUCCUUCAUUUGUCUGCAACUCCUGGUGAGUCGUAACUGGUGAGCUUUAGUUGUUUUUUCACUAGUCUCUCAGCUUUACUGAUUCUACCCAUUCGAAGACAAUAAUAUUAUAAUACCAAUUGGAAGACAAUCUGAUUCCCCUAGGAAAAGAAUAUAAUAUUAUAGUACCCACUACCCAUCCAUUCCACUACCCGCAUAGUCCAUUCAAAUCUGACAACUUUGGCUUUUCUGUUUUUAACUUUUUCUGUUAUUAUAAUAUUAUUGUAUUUUGCAUAUUAUAGUAUAUUAUUGUGUAGUGGUAUGGAUAUUUAGAUUAUAAUAACUUUUUCUUUACAGUGGAUUAACUCUUACUUUUUAUAUGUUUGUUGAUUUAGGAAAAUGAAUCACCCUAAUAAUCAUGCAAAUGAUAUUGCUAAUCCGGAUGAUAAUGCUAAUCUGGAUGAGAUUGUUAAAAAUGAUCAUACUCCGUUGUGGAAGUAUGUCAAAACUUACAAAGGAUCAUACUCUAGGGUCAGGUUUCAUUUGUUAAAAAUGGCUGGAAAUGGGGUCGCACCUUGCAGUAAGGUUACUGAUGAAAAUCUUGCAGAAAUGAAAAAGUUAAUUCGGGAGUGUGAAUAUAAGCUGAAGAGUUCUGCUCCUAAGAAUGUUUCUUUGCCCAACACUGGUUCUUUUUGUUAUGAUCAACCUGAAGUGAAUCUUGAUCCAAAGAAGAGAAAAGGAACAAGUAGGCCUCUUAGUAAAGCUUUUAACAAGGAAGCUCGAGAUCAAUGUGAUGCUGAAGUCGCAAGGAUGUUUUAUACAGGUGGCUUAUCAUUUAACCUUGCAAGAAAUCCGCAUUAUCGAAACUCAUAUGUUCGAGCUUCUACACUUCCAGGGUAUGUUCCACCAGGUUACAAUGCACUAAGAACUACUUUUCUGCAACAAGAAAAGAGUCACAUUAAGCAAUGCCUCCAGCCAAUCAAGCGCACAUGGAGCACUAAAGGUGUAAGUUUGUGCAGUGAUGGGUGGACAGAUGCACAAAGGAGACCACUUAUUAAUAUUAUGGCAACUUGUGAAAGUGGGCCUAUGUUCUUGAGGGCAAUUAAUUGUGAAGGUGAAUAUAAAGACAAGUAUUGUAUUGCCAACUUCCUUACAGAAGCUAUUAAAGAAAUUGGUCAUGAAAAUGUUGUUCAAGUGAUCACUAACAAUGCUCCUGUCUGUAGAGUUGCUGAGCUACUUAUUGAGGCCCACUAUCCCCAUAUCUUUUGGACACCCUGUGUUGUUCACACUCUUAAUCUUGCUUUGAAGAGUAUAUGCUCUCCGAAACAAACAGAUGUUUCGUAUGAUGACUGCAAUUGGAUUUCAACUAUUGCAAGUGAUGUUUGGUCCAUAAAAUUUUUUAUUAUGAACCAUAGCAUGAGAUUGUCUAUGUUUAAUGAACAUUGCAAACUAAAGUUGCUCUCCAUUGCCGAAACAAGGUUUGUUUUCUCCAAUUUUUUUCCUUUUUUUUUCUUAUUCAAUUAUGAGCUAUCCUAAUUAUUAAAUUUUUCAGAUUUGCUUCCACACUUGUGAUGCUUAGAAGAUUUAAGGAAGUAAAGGAAGGUUUACAACAAAUGGUGAUUAGCCCAAAUUGGGCUUUGUACAAAGAAGAUGAUUUGGUUAAAGCAAUGACGGUGAAGCAAAAAAUAUUGGAUGAGUACUUUUGGGAGAAGAUUGAUUAUAUUCUUUUCUUUACAGCUCCAAUAUAUGAGGUUAUUAGAAUGGCUGACACAGAUAAACCUUGUCUUCAUUUGGUGUAUGAGUGGUGGGAUGCUAUGAUUGAAAAGGUGAAAGCUGCUAUCUACAGGAAUGAGCGCAAGGCAUUACAUGAAAAAAGCAGCUUUUUUGAUGCGGUGUAUCGCAUUUUAUUAGAGCGAUGGACUAAAAGUAGCACACCACUUCAUUGUUUGGCGCAUUCAUUAAAUCCAAGGUAAUGAUUUUGCUAAUAUCCUUAUAAACUCUUCCAAAAUUAAUCUUUAGCUUUAUGAUUAUAUUUUUAAAGUGCUAUUUCUUUUAUUUUAGGUAUUAUAGUUCAGAAUGGCUCCAAGAAGACCCUAGUCGGGUUGCUCUACACCGAGAUGUUGAGCUUACAACUGAAAGGAAAAAGUGUUUUGAGAGAUACUUUUCCAAUGAGGAAAUUAGAAGAAGUAUCAAUGUGGAGUAUGCCUCUUUCUCUAUGUGCUUGAAUGACUUUGGAGCUAUUGAUUCUAUGAAUGAUAGGUUUCAUUUGGAACCAGUAAUGUGGUGGAUUGUCCAUGGAGCUUCUACACCUAGUCUCCAAUCCAUAGCGUUGAAGCUACUUGGACAACCUUGUUCCUCCUCUUGUUGUGAAAGAAAUUGGAGCACUUACAGUUUUAUUCACUCUCUAAGAAGGAACAAGAUUACACCACAAAGAGCCGAGGAUUUGGUAUUUGUGCAUAAUAAUCUUCGUCUUUUAUCAAGGAAUAACGCAACCUACAAAGAAGGUAUUAGUCAAUUGUGGGAUGUUGGAGGAGAUGGCUUUGAAAACUUGGGUGAAGAAAGUGUCGGGAUGCUUGAUAUUGCUAACCUUUCACUUGAUGAACCGUCAUUGGAGACUACUUUGAUUACUGGAGGAGACAUCAUGAACGUGGAAGUUGAAUGAGACUUUUUUUUUUUUAAUUUCAUUUGGAUGUUCUUUUUACUUUUUCAAGUUUUAAGACUAAUUGCUUGUUGGAUGGACUAUCUUUCUAACAGUUUAGAGUUUAUUGAAUAAUAAAUUUGAAUGCUUAUUUUAUAAUGUUUUAGAUAUAUUUUUAUUUAUUUAUUUAUUUAUUUAUACAUAUUUUUAAUUGCCGUAUCCUUGACGUAUCGUAUCCUCGUUUUUUGAAAUUUGAUGUAUCCCCGUGUCGUAUCCCCAUAUCCGUGUCCAUGCAUCAUAGAUGGCAAGGUAACUAGAGCUAAAAAAAAAUACCAAUUAACGGAAACCGAGCAGAUGACGAAAAUGCGGCUCCUCCAUAGAAUGCGUGCCACCACUCUCUCCUCUCAUCUGCCGAAGGAGCCUCGGAACUAAGUAGCUGCACACCAAGGAGGAAAAAAUCGAUAAUAUCGGCAAAAUAUAUCGCCGAUAUUAUCGUUUUUUUUGAAGUUCCGAAAUUUUUUUAACUAUCCAACCUAUUUUUGUCAGAAUAUCACGAUAUUAUCGAUAAUAUCGCGAUAUUUUCAAAAUUAUCGAUAAUAUCACGAUAUUUUAUUAAAAACAUACUUAAAUAUGUUGAGAAAACUCAACACAUAGUUAACUUGAUCAUGGCCCAAAGGCCAAACAAGUUUUGAUUAUCUCACCAGGGGAGUGUGAGUUUUAUAGGAAAAAUUCAUUGCUCACUUCCUUGCAUGGGCGAUGUGGGACUCGCCCAAUGGGGGAAAAAAUCAAAAUUUCGGCCGAAAUUUUGCACUCACUUUAAAACGGCCAUAACUUUGUCAAAACUCAACGAAAUCAAGCAAGACAAAAACUAAAGUUGUAUCCCUCGAAGAGACGAAGAGAAUGGUACCUCACACAAUGUCUGAAUCGUAGUGGUUUGGCCGGAAAAUGCCUCGAAAGUCACUGAGGUCGCUGAGGUCGUCGGAAACUGGGUAAGAUUCAAAUGAGUAUAACUUUUUCAAUACACAACGAAAUUGAGUGAAACAAAAAUAAAAGUUGUAGCCCUCGAAUAGACGAAGAGAAUGGUACCUCACACGAUGUCUGAAUCGUAGUGGUUUGGCCGGAAAAUUCCUCGAAAGUCACUGAGGUCGCUGAGGUCGUCGGAAACUAGGUAAGAUUCAAAUGAGUAUAACUUUUUCAAUACGCAACGAAAUUGAGUGAAACAAAAAGGAAAGUUGUAGCCCUCGAAUAGACGAAGAGAAUGGUACCUCACAAGACGUCUGACUCGUUGUGGUUUGGCCGGAAAUUGCCUCGAAAUCUACUGAGGUCGCCGGAAACUGGGUAAGAUUCAAAUGAGUAUAACUUUUUCAAUACGCAACGAAAUUGAGUGAAACAAAAAAGGAAAGUUGUAGCCCUCGAAGAGACGAAGAGAUUGAUACCUUGCACGUCAGCCAAAAUUCAAUUGACACACUCCUAGCUUCCAAAAUUCAAUACUUUUACUUUAUAUCAAGUUGAAAAAACAUAAUCGGCAUCCAAAUUAAAUUAAAGUUUAAUCUUAUUCAAUGUAUUGAUUUUCAAUCGUUAAUUGAUAUAUACUAUAAUUUGGAACUUCAACGCCUAGACGCAUGCUUAUGUGUAAGAAAUUUAAAAUUGUCAAAUUUGGCACAUUAUUCUUCAUCAUUUUAUUCACUUCCCUUUUUUUUUUUUUAAUAUCCUAAAUAAAACCUCCAAAUAUUGUACUAAUUAAUUAUAUAUAAAUGAUUAUGGUGUGUUUAAACUUCUUUCAUUAAUUACUACAUAUUUUCUACACUCACAAUGUUUGCCAGCUCGCUAUAUAAUCAACUUAAAUCAGUUAAAUCCAUCAUGCAAUGCAUUUCCUUCCAAUUUUUUGUGAUAAACUAAUAGAUAAUUGACUAAAUAAACAUCCUACAAAGUUUCAUUAAAAAUUUCCAAGUUUUUCUUACAAUUUCCGUGGUUUCCAUGUAAUUUUUAUCGAUAUCGAUAUUAUCCCGAUAUUUCCAUCGAUAUUUCCGUGUUUUCGGACUACCGAUAUUUCCGAUAUUACCGAUAUUUUCUUCCUUGCACACACAACACAACAACAGAAGCUCAGAACUCAAGAAAAAUCGCAGCAACAAAUAAAUUUCGAUAAAAUUCACAAAUUUGCCAAAUUCAUUAGCUCACCUGCUCUCUGUAUUGCUCGUCAAUAGCACUUGAAGUUCCAAAUUUCACAUCAUUCAACUUCCAAAAAAUCAUUCUUUCACUUACAAUCAAACGACACAAAAAGUGAAAAAAGUUCAAUCUUUUGGUUUUGGAAAUUUCUCGGAAACCAAACAGGCGUUUCAGGAACUCGGGUAGAAGUUGGAAAGUUACCUGAGAGAAGAGAGGCGUCGAGAGGGAAGAGAAGAACAAGCGCGCAGAUGACUUGGUAUACGUGCUUCGCCUUCUUCACGGCUGCGAUUUCUUCUCUUCCACUUCGCUUCAUGUUUUGGAGCCUUCUCCUCCGCGUUUGUUUGUUUCUCUCUGCAUCAAUCUGAAGCUUCUUGCAGCCGAUUUUUUGUUCACCGAUACGUAGUGAGUCUAUUUUUUCGGCGGGAAAAAUAAUCAGUUUCGGGAAGAGACCGUUUCGAGACUUCACGGCUGCGUUUGAUUUCCAAAAAUACACAAAUUUUUUAGUUUUUAUUAUGUUAAUUUUAAUUUAAACUUUUUUUCCUAUACCAUUUGCAAUUUAAUGGGGAAAGUUUGCGAAAAUAAUUUUUAUCGUCUUUUGUUCUGUAUUUAUCUUUUUUAUUUAAGUCUUUAGAUUUAUUUUUUAUUUAUGUCGUUUAAUAGUUUAAAAAUUAAAAUAAAUAUUAUAAAAAACAAAUUUUUGCAAACCGUCUCUGUAAUAAUUUAUAAUUUAAGCCAAAUCAAGCAUAAAAAAUAUAUUUAUUAUCAAAUAUCCUUUCCUUUUUAAUGUCAUACCCAAAAGUUAAAAAUAAAAAUAGUUUCAUUUUUUCUAGUAAUUUUUGGAGAAUAAUUUUGUUUAGCUAAUUGACCAAAAAACCAGAAAGUCUGUUAAACCUUAACAAACCCGAGUUGAAGCAUAGAAACGGCGGUGCUAAACCUCUUCUCUCCAAGCUCCGGGCCAAGCCGGUCCGGACCGCCUCGGGCAUCGCCGUCGUGGCCGUGAUGUCGAAGCCUCAUCGGUGCCCCACAUCGCCACCACCGGUAAUAUUUGCGUGUACUUACUGCCCCGGUGGUCCCGAUUCGGACUUUGAGUACAGCACUCAGUCUUACACUGGAUAGAAGCCUACUAGCUUGCGCGCAAUUCGGGCAACGUAUGGCUUUUCUCUAGUUCAUUUGACGCAUUUUAUCGAACACUUGAUAGGGAAUUCCAGUUUUAUGUUAUUCAUGAUUCGUUUCGAAGUUUAAAGUUUUUGGCUUGAUUGAUUUUUCACCAUGAAAUUGAGAGCUUUGUAAUGAAGAGAUUAUUUGAAGGAAUUGGUGUUUAAAAUUGGAUUAUUGAAGUUAAUUUGGUAGUUAAUCAUUUGGUUUUUGUGUGUUUAGAUACAACCCAUAUGUCCAGGCUAGAAGCAGGAUAGAUCAGCUGAAGAGAUUGGGUCACAGUGUAGACAAGGUUUGGUCUGUUCUAUGUUUAGAGCUUAAAGAGUUUAUUUUUCGGGUUUGCAGAUUUCCAUGAUAGAGUAAUAUGCAUAGUUGUCGCCUUAUAACUGGUACUGAAUUUGUGUUUUCAGGUCGAGCUCAUCUUAAUGGGCGGUACUUUCAUGUCGUUGCCCGCGGAUUACUUUAGGCGAUGUCCAACUGAUGGCUGAUCAAAUGACUCGUUUUAGCCUUCUGGCCCUCUAAAAUUUUUCAAGAUAUUAAUAUUUUUAUUGAAUAGUACAUGGUUAUAUUUGCCUCCGUCUUCAACCGAGGGCCAAAAGCCCAUAGGGCUAAACAUAAUUUAUUAUUUAAAAACUGCAACUUAAAUUCAAAUUCAACGGCUAAGUGACGUCAGCAUGACGUUAGCUAACCGUUGUUUAAUGUUGUUUCAUGUUACUUAAUUUAAUUUAAUGUUGUAUAAUGGCUUAGGAAGUUAUAGGAAAAAAUAGAAUUUAAAAAAAAUAUAUGAAACAAAUUUUGUGAAAUAGAAGUUAUAGAAAAAAAUGGAAUUUAAAAAAAAUAUGAAACAAAUUUUGUGAAAUAGAAGUUAUAGAAAAAAAUUAAAUUUUAAAAAAAUAUGAAACAAAUUUUGUGAAAUAGAAGUUAUAGGAAAAAAAAUAUGAAACAAAUAAUAAUAAUGUAAAAAAAAAUCAAAUCAAAUGCAACGGCUAGUAGCUGUUUCAUUUGAAUUUUUUCUUAAUAAAUCAUGUCGGUUAUAACCGACAGGAAUAACAAAACAUUAAAAAAAAAAUAGUCAACCCGGGGCUAGCUGGCUGACCAAAAGCAGCCAGCCCUUUGGCCCUUUGGCCCUUUGAAAUUCUGUGGGGCCCUCCCAGAUUCCCGAGCCCUCUGGCCUAGCCCUCGGUUUGAGACGAUUUUAAGGUUACUUUCGACCUUCUGGCCCUCUGGACCAUUCGGUUGGAGAUAGCCUUAUUAGAAAUUGGAGUCCAUACGAGGAUGUGGCUCGUGACAUUCUUUUUGCUUGGCAAAGGAUGCUGGUUUUAAGGUCAGCCUAGUCCCUUAUCAUAAAACUCACUUACCUUCACCGUGGGAAAAGAACGGAUUUUGGACCUUUUAUAUCUACAGUGACAGGAGAUUAAUCUUUCAUCAAAACAAUUUGUGAGCCCAUAAUUAAGCGAGAAUAUUUAUCAAAAGGGAUGUGAUAUUCACACACUCCAUUUUACUUUUCACACAUUUUUCUAAUUUUCGGCCUUCAGAUCGGAUAAAUUGAAGAAGAUCAACGGAUAUAAAUUAACAAAGGGUGUGUGAGAAGUAAUUUGGAGUGUGUGAAUAGUACACCCCUUAUCAAAAUCUAAUUGGUUUUGGUGUUAUCAUUCACUUUAUCUAAAAGUUCAAGAAGAAGUAUGUGUUUGUAUGGCUGAACAUAAAUAAAAAAUAUGGGCAAUAAUGUGAUUCCACACAAACCAAAUCUCACUUCUGUUUUUUUUUUUUUUUUUUUCCUUAAACUUCAACUACAUGUGAUUAUAACAUGUCUCUAAUAUUUGAAAAAAAAAAAGUCACUCUCCCUUCUGUCCCCGCUCCUAUGUUUUUUCUCACUUUCUCUCUUCUUUUAAGAACAAAAAUAAAAAAUGUUCACACACACUUUAUAUGUGGGCAUCCACUAGUACUAUUAUUAAGCAAAGAGCUUUGUCAACUUUCUUAAAAUGACAAUCAUGUUCUUAUUUUUCCUAUGUUAACCUUACUUUUAGUACACAAUAUUUAUAAAUAUAAGUACAAAGUAAUAAUUAUGUAAUAUAUUAAAAUAAUAAAAGAUAUGUCCACGUUAGAAGAAUAUGUCCCAUUAUUGUCCCAUUUUUCAAAAAUAAAUUUUUUUUUUAAAUCUAAUCAUAUUAUUUAAUAAAUAAAAAAUGAAAUUGUUCACUCAGAGUGAUCUGCUGGUUUAUAUUUAACAAGGAGACCAUCCAGGCAUCAAUGAUUAACUGGUACGCAUGAUUGGUGUGUUCCCAGACCACCUAUGUGAUUGAAGACUUAUUUAAAAGAGUGGUCAAGAAUAGGUAGAGCUGUUGAGCUACUUGGAGUCUAAAAUUUGGCAAGAAAUAAGCCAUAGCACUUUGGUAGAUUGAUAUAGAAUUUAUUCUGAACUAUAAAUAUAUCAUGCAUGGUGGAACUGUUGCGGGAGUAUUAAUGAAAAUGAAUAAUUACGAUCAUUCGUUGGAGUCUUCAAUUAAUAAAAUAUGAGAUUUAUAAAACAUAAAAGUAAAAGUAGUUGCGAGUUCAUUCUCGGAGUACCAAAAUCUAUGUUUAGCCUAAAGUCACUAAAUAAGGGAGCGAAGCCCCUCAGAUAAUGUCUGAUAAAAUGGUCAUAUUUGAUUUCAAAUUUGUGGACUGAAAAAUGAUUAUUAAAAAAAAGAAAUUGAGUUAUCUGUUAAUUGGGUUAACAUAAUAAAAGGGUUGUGAUUUUCACACACCCUUAAUUUCCUUUCCCACACCCCUUCUUAUUUUUUAAUACUUAAUUGAUAUCUUACUAUUUACUCUUCCAUAUAUACCCUUUUUACUUUUUGACUUUUAAAAGUUGUUUUUUAUUUUUUGAUUGUGUUGUAGAUUGGAGUAGCAGCCCGAUUCUUCCCACUCCCCUGCUUUUUCCCUUGCUUUCUCCCGCUUCUUCCCCAAAACCCAGACACCUCCUGCUUUUUCCCCAAACCCAGACACCUCUCGCAGCCCGAUUCCCUCGCCGCCGUAAAUAUUUCCACUGCUUCUUCGAAGCCUCCCACUCCCUCCGCCAAGCCCAACGAGAGACCUAUUCUGAAAUUUCCACUGCUUCUUCUCUUUCCGUUCCCCUGUCCUCUUUAUUACUUCUUGUGAAAAACCACAAUGGAUGACCUAAUAAUAACAGAUGAAGAACUCCAGAUGGACAUUGAGUUGCAGAAGAUAUUGGAUAUGGCAUGCAAGGAGGAUGGCAUGGAAGAAAUUUCAGAAUGCAUUCCUCCUUUUAACACUUUUGAUGGUAAUUUUCUAAAGUAUUUUCUCAAAUUAUUAAGAUUGAUUUUGGAAUUUAGGGUUUUUGUUCUCUUCUUGCCUCAAUUUGUUUUUUAGGUUUAGUUUUUUCUUUCCCUAAUUUGUGGUUCAAAUGAUAAUUGAAUGAAUGAAUACUGGUGGUUUAAGAUAAAUGUAUCAUGUAACAAUGAAGUAACUGAAUCCAGGGGAAGAAAUCAGAAAAUCACGAAACUAAGUUUGUAAAUGUUUUUGACAUCAGAAUUUUUUUUACAAGAAUAAUGAAAAAUUAGGCAAUGCUCAGAGACUAAGGAGCAAAAGAUUAAAAACUACCAUGCUUACGUGAAUGCACCGGGCAAUGCUCUAUAACAUAUUUUCUCUUCAUGUACACGGCAAUGCUCUAUAAUAGAGAAUAUUGAUUUGUGUUGGUUUUGGGGAAAUUAAUUUUCUAUUGGAAUCUAUUGGUCCCCAAUACACUUUAACUUAAUGGUAAAUUGGUAUUAGGUUUAAUUGUUGUGGUUUUACCUAGGCUCCAUGUUUUGGUGUAAACUUGAUAUAAUGCAUACAAUGCUUUGGUACAAUUUGAUACUUAAAUGUCUAGUCCAUUGAUAAAAAGUAUAUAUUCUACAUAUAUAAAUGUGUUGGUUUGUGAUAUAUAGGAAGUCAACCAACGAUUGAUGAGCCCGAUAAAAUGCUUUCUUUGUUGGCGAAAUGUUUUGAAAGUCGAGAAGACCUCAUCGGGGAAGUUCGUAAGAUAGCAUUAAUGCAAGGGUUUGCAACCGUUAUUAGAAGAUCUAAGACAAAUACAUAUGUUGUAUUGGUUGUGAUAGAGGUGGGGAUUAUCGAGCCUCUAAAACUUCACUAGAUGAAAGAAAAAAAAACUCAGGAUCUCGCCUCAUAAAUUGUCCAUUUGAAGUCAAGGGGCGUAAAAAGAAAUGUGAAGAAUUUUGGAAGCUAGAGAUAAAAAGUUUAUUGCAUAACCAUGAACUUUCAAAUGACAUGUGUGGACAUCCUUCUUGUCGUCAAUUUUCACAAGAGGAAAUCUUACGAAUUAAAGAAAUGAGUAAGGCUGGUAUACCACCACGCCAAAUUCUAUCUUCGCUUCGGCAAGGCAAUCCUCAUCUUCAAGUAGUUUCUCGAAACAUCUAUAAUCUAAGAGCUAAGAUUGUGAAGGAGAGUCUAGCUGGGCGUCCAGUUAUUCAAGCAUUAUUAGAAGAACUUGGUGAAGGUGGUUUCACUUAUAACAUUGAGUAUGAUCAUGAAGGCCACUUGACUCAUUUGAUCUUUGCUCAACCCUUGUCUAUAGAGUUGACCAAGAGCUACCCAUAUGUUUUUGUGAUGGAUUGCACAUAUAAGACCAACAAGUAUAAGAUGCCAUUAUUGGAUAUCAUAGGAGUUUCAAGUUUCAACACAUCCUUUUAUUCUUGUUUUGUUUUCAUGCAAAAUGAGAAAGAAGAGGAUUAUGUGUGGGCUCUAAAAAUGUUUAGUAAGAUUUUGGGAGUUGAUAAUCAUCCUAUGGUGAUUAUAACGGAUAGGGAGUUGGCAUUAAUGAAUGCUAUACGCAUUGUCUUUCCGAGUACUUCCAAUCUUUUGUGCGUGUGGCAUAUUGAGAAAAAUAUACUUGCAAAUUGUAAAGCUCAUUUUGAGGAAGAAGUUGAUUGGAUUGAUUUCAUUUCUACUUGGACAAUUUUAAUCCAAUCUCCUAAUGAAACAUCAUUCAAUGAAGCUUGGAGUCGUUUUGAAGUUAAGUACGAGGAGAAGAAAUUUGUUUUGAAAUAUAUUCUUGGUACUUGGCUUCCAUACAAAGAAAAGUUUGUAAGUGCAUGGUCAGAGAAAGUUACCCACUUUGGUAACCGUGUUACUUCAAGAGCCGAAGGUGCACAUGCAACGCUAAAAAAAUAUCUUCAAGUUUCAACUGGAGGUCUUCGCGAGGUAAAAGAAAAAAUAUGCCUUGCUAUUGAAAAUCAAUUUCAAGAAAUCAAAACUCAACUUUCAAGUGAAAAAGUUAGAGUUUCACACAAGUUUCGACUUCCCUUCUUCAAAGAGGUUGUUACUCAUGUAUCUAGAUUUGCAUUGAAUGAGUUAUAUAAUCAAUAUGAAGCAUCAAGUUCUUCUGAUCUUCCAUCUCAAUGUAAGGGUCAUUUUCUCAAGACAAUGGGUCUUCCUUGUGCUCACAUGAUUAGAGAGAUGAAUAUUGAAGUCUUGCAACUAAAUGACAUAUUUCCAUAAUUGAGGAUUGAUAGAAGAUUGUUUGUCAAUGAUCGUCAUGUAAGCUUGGACAAUGAACAAGAUCAAAUAAGCGGCCUUCUAUUGGUGUUUAAAGAUAAGUAUGAAAAGUUGCCUCUUACUCAAAAAGAGGAUACCAAAAGGCAACUUUGUGAAUUUAUUGAUACUUCUCUUCCAUUAACUCUUGAGCCUAAUGUUAAACCUCACAAAGGUCGUCCAAUGGGUUCUAAAAAUUAGGGGUGGGCACUUAGAACCGAAAACCGAAACCGAAACACGAACCAAAUCGAACCGCACCGAAUGGUUUGGUUUUGCGGUUUUGGAACUGUUUUGGUUUUGAAACCGAACCGCAUCAUAGAAAACGGUUUGGUUUCGGUUUUGGCUUUUGAAAACCGCAUCGAAACCGAACCGCACCGCAAAUAUUAAUAAACAUUUAAUUAAAUGUCCAUAUUAAAUUUCAUGUUUUAAUUGGUUGUUUGUUAGAAUCCAUGCACUUAGUAUGGACACAACCACACUGGAAUAUCAUCAUUCAUCACUUUCUUUCGUUCAUUAACUUCAAGGACCUUUGUUAUUUUAUACCAUCACACACACACACACACACACAUAUAUGUACAAGGGUGGACUAAUCUUGUUAUCAAGAGUCGAACACUGAUCUAAUGAAGUCCACUUAUUUGAAGCAUGAUAUCACAUAUUCUAGUAUGAAAGUUUCACUCAUGUUUAAUGAAUUCAAAGUUAUUCAACUUGUUUUAUGUUAUACUUUGUACGGGACACCUUUUUGUUGCACAAACAUAUUUUAACAUCACAACUGCAUGCAACAUGCUAAUUGUUUAUAUAACAAAUGUAUUUUUCCUAUUGCUACUGGGAAAUGCUUAUUAAUAUGUUUAAUUUCAAAUUGUACAUUUUUUCUUAAAAACCAAACCGAAACCGUUUGAAACCACACCAAACCGAACCAAACGAUUUGGUUUUAUUUCGGUUUUGGCUUCAAAACCGCACCGAACCAAACAGCAAACAAUUUUAGUUUUGGUUUUGGUUUCACUCAAAACCGCACCAAACCAAACCGUGCCCACCCCUACUAAAAAUAGAAAAGAAUCAAGCUCUACAAAGCGUGGUCCUUCAAAGUUUGAAAUAGUGGAGAAGGCUCAGAAACGUGCUCGACGGGUAUGUCAUUUUUUUUAUUUAUCUUUUAAUAUUGUCUACUAUGGUCAUGAUUAUUUAUAUAUACGUAUAACUUAAUGUUCAUUGUUUAUAGGUGUGAUGAGCAUAAUGAUUUGCCAAAGAAACUUUUUGUUAAUAAUAGCUUAGAUGUGUAAAGAACACAUUAAGGUACAUAUAUUUUUGUUGAUUUUUCCCCAUAAAAAUACUAAUUAAGUUUGUAAUUUUCUUUCCUUUUGUUGACAUGUUUUUAUUUUCUUGUAGGUUGGAGUGCAUGGGUUUCAUAUCUUUUGGUAAUAUUGACAUCUCCUUUUGAACACAAGAUUAAAGGCCAAACAUAGUGUAGGCAGAAUGUGAAAGCUUGUAAUGAUAUCUGAUGUAUUUUUUGGGGCAUGAGGCUACUAUUAUGGGGAUUAAAGUGUAUGUGGAUUGCUUACUAGUAUUUUGUACAAUUCAUGUAACUUAUGCAUAUAUGCUAUAUCAUUAGGUAAUCGUUUUAUUUUUAUUUAUAUAAUAGGUGUUUUAUACUUGUUUUGGGAUCUCUCAGAUUAGGCAGUAGAGCUUGAGUUACAAAAGGCAUAUAUGGUUGAGUGUUAGAAAAAGAAAAAAACAAGUUUAAAAUAAAAUAACAAAAGUAUUUUAAAAUUUCAAUGGUCAAAAAGUAAAAAUGGUAUAUAUGGAAGAGUAAAUAGUAAGAUAUCAAUUAAGUAUUAAAAAAUAAGAAGGGAUGUGGGAAAGGUAAUUAAGGGUGUGUGAAAAUCACAACCCUAAUAAAAUAAGGAGAGAACAUUACAUUCAUACAUUAUUGAGUUAGUAGCUCACCCAUGACAAGUGUUGAAUUAGAGAAUUGAAAAGUAGUUUAUUUUUUUUCAAUAGGUGGUGGCGAGAAAAAUACAACCUACUCGGUUUCAGAAGACGAUUUACAAAUUGCCACGAAUAUCAAAGAAUUGGUCUUUGUCCAAAAGUUUUGGUUUUUGUCCAAAAGUAUUGGUCUUUGUCUCAUGCCGUAAUUAUUUUCCAAUUUUCAUAGAUUAUAAUCUUCGUCUCCAUCUUCAUCUCCGUCUCAUAUUUCAUAUUUAAUUUCCAUAGAUUAUAAUCUUCGUCUCCGUCUCAUAUUUCAUAUAUUCAUCGAGCUCAUCAACAAGGAGUCCAAUCAUUGCAACUCUUUUGUGAGCUUCCAUAUGCCCCUGAGUAUGUUAUUAUGCACUCUUACUACCAUAGAUAUCCUUCUAGAAUAUAUUUGGAAUAAAGUAUUACGUGCUUAUGAGCUUUAUCUCAUCAUUUGUUUUACUUUUUUCUCUUAUUAUAUAUGUCACUCAGAUUUAGAGCAUUCAGCCUUGAACACAAGAUUUUGAAUUCGAUUUCUUCUUCAUCAAUGUUGCUUGUAUAAUAGAAAGGGGUAAGCUAUUGAUUUGUACCAUUAAAUUGAAUUUGCUUUAUGAUCUUCUGUCGACUUUUGGACUUUGUUGCAGGUAUAAAAGUUGAUCCUUACCUUGAGCUCUAUCUUCUUGUAAAUUUUGGUAGAAUUUGGAGUUAGUCUGAAAAUUGAGAAACCACCAUGUGUGGCGGCGCGAGUGAAAGUCAAAAUUUAUGGAUUUUGGACAGCGAGACGUUCUCGAUGUCCUGAGCCCUUAUCCAAAAUCCAUUCAUUACGAUGGUUCGAUUAUUCAAUUUUUGGAAUAAUUGACUGCCGUAUGAUUUUUGUAAUUGAUGACAAUCUAAUUGUUGGAUUGUCGUACAAUUUUUUGAGCAUCAUAGUUAUUAGUUGUUUGAUCUUUGAGAACUUAUGGAUUGGAAAUCCGAUGUGCUAAUCUCCCGAAUUAAAUAACCUACGUUGUUGACCUUAGAGGACCUACUUAUCGACAGUUGACUUUUUAGUCAAUGUGCCCUAUUCUAGAGUGUCGUUGUUAUAGAAUGUUAUUGAGGCUUGAUGGAGCUUAGUUGUCUCAUUUCAAUGGUGUGUGGUUCUCGGUUGACAUGCAUCUCGAUUUACGUUCAAGUGGCACUUGGUCUCGUUUUAUGUGUCGGUCUUAUUAAGUUUCUUAAGUGGGGUUUGUGUAUUGUAUUAGGUUCCUUGGAGCGGAGUCGGUGAAUCCGAAAGUGCAAAUAACCCAGGUGAGUGACUUUAAUAUUAUAUGAUAUGGUUAUUACCCAUGAGAAUUUCCUUGUUAUGUACUUUGUGGAUAUAACAUGAAUUUACAAAUGAUUUUAUGGAAAUGUGUGCCACUAUGCUAUGUUUACUUGAUGAUGCUAUUGGAAAAUAUAUAUAUGUUAUGCCUGAAAAGAUUGUGGUACAUGAGGGCUAGUAGAAGACCGCUAACCCAAUACAUGGGGUAAUGUGGAUAAAAUCAGAAUCUGCACCAUGUAGAAGUGGUACAUGGAUGGUCGUGCUUGGUUAAUCCGCAAUGGGGGACCAUACUACUUUGGGAUCGUGCUUGGUUAAUCCAGGAUGAGCGAUCCUUAUUAUUUAGGUAUGUCCAUACAUAUUCAGGGGUGAUCAUGCUUGGUUAAUCCGCAAUGGGUGAUCACUCUCUAUUAGUAUCAGUAGGAGUGACUCUGCUUGCUUGGUUAAUCCGUUAUGGGAGGGGGGGACCACAUCCUAAUUGGUUACCUAUUGUAGGCCUCGGCCAAACUGUGUCUCUCUAUAGCCCUAGACUAUUUAUUACAUAUAUGAAAGAUGAGAUUGAAGGCAUGUGUGGCUCAAUCUAGAAAGUGAAUUGAAUCAAAUAGUUUACAUGAUGGUGUUGCCUUAAAGAGAAUGAUUUCGGAUGUAACUCAUUCCUACUCAUAACGAAGAGUUGUAAUGAUGAAAUAGAUACCAAUCUCAUUCCUACACGUGAUUGUAUUAUUGAUGUUGUGUCAUUCAUACACAACUUCGGGUUGUGUGAUGACUAAGAAUGUUGUUAGAAGACGUGUGGUGAGAUUCAAAUUGAUUAACCAUUCCUAUACGUAUAAUGAGGUGUAUGGUGGUUAAAUUAUGAAAUAUGUGGCAAUUGGACCCUUGUGAUUAUUCGGAAAAUGAGAAAGGCUAGUGGUGAGUUACAAUUCGAAGAGAAUGACAAAAUGAUAUUGACGGUGAUUAAAUUGACCCAGUAUUCAGAGAAAAGUCAUGUGAGGACAUAACACUACUUCGUAGCUUAUCCGGGUUUUGAUUUGCCUGGUGCACCAUUCCCAAGGCGUAGGGUUAUUUUGCAGAGCAAUGGGUAGAGGUUAGAGAAGAAGGUUGCAGGUUAUGCAGCUGUGUGGGCAUCGCAUUAGAGAAUAGGAUUGCCACCCUUUGUUGUAAGCUAUUUCCGCUAAGCUCUGAUGUAUAUUAUAUGUAUGAGUCUCAGUGACUCUUAUGUAUUUUAUAUUGUACUACUACUGUUUUACCGUCGCGUGUCGAUUCCGAACAUGUCGAUCGGGGCAUGACACUAUUACAUAUAUAUUGAACAUAUAAAAUGCAAAAUGAAAAUUUUCUAUUUUCUGUAAAGCCUAUAACAAUUUAUUGAAAAAAAUGAAAGUAUUCAACAAGUCUAUUACAAUAUCUUGAAAAAAUAAAAUGCAAAGUAAAAGUUAUCUAUUUUUUGUAUAGGCGGGUCUAGGCGGGCGCCUUAGUAGGUCUAGGCGUCAUUUAUUAAUUUUCAAAUUCCUAGGCAUUAAUCGGGGCGGUGGCCAACCACUGGGCGCUGUUGGGAUUUUUAGAGCUGUGGUUAACAUGUUGAUUUAACAUGUUGACCCAAAACCUGUUAUUUCUUUGUCGUUCAAUGUCUGAUUAACGGGUCGUGAAAAAAAAAUUGUCUGGUAUUUGUGUAGAGUUCAAUCUACUAUACCCAAAACAUUCCGUUCUUUCGACGUGUGUACUUUCAUUUAACAACAAUUUUGUGGUACUUGUCAACUGCCACCUACAAAGAAUUGAAACUUUUGGUUAUCCUUAACACUGACAAAAAUCCAUGACAAUUGGUGGAAGAAUUAGAUUGAAUGAGUUCGAAAUUUUCAAUCAUAGAUUUUUGUUCUUGCACCAAAUUCUUUAAUUCUGUGUUCUUGCAAAAAAGACUCGAGAAGUAGUUUUCGGACUUUUGAAGUUUGGCCCUUUGUUAAACUGAAUGAAAGUUAAGAACAGAAAUUUAAAUUUCUUAAGUACCUUAUUUAGAUCUUGGUUUCGUUUUGAAAACUAAGCACAUAGUUUGUUAAAUACAAAAAUUUAUCCACUACAUUCUUUUUUUCUUUUUCUGUUGUUUUGAAACUUGUCUUUUCUGCAGACAGAUUGCAUACCAAGUAUCGAAAGCCAAAAUGGAGUCAGCUGCAUCACUAUUGAUUGGGAAAAUUGCGUUCAUUCUUGAGAACGAAGCAUCUUCCAUAGCGGCAGUCCGUGAUGAAGUUGAUGAGCUUAAGCUGGAGCUCAUAAGCAUGAAAUCUUUCUUAAUAGAUGCUGAAGGCAAGGAACCACAAACAGAAGGAGAGAAAACGUGGGUUACAAGCGUCAGAGAUUUGACCUGCGAUGCUGAAAAUGUCAUUGAUGAGUUCAUGUAUCACAUAUAUGACAAGAAGAGUGCGACUCCAUUUGCAAAAUUGCUCCACAGAACCAUUUACUUUCCAAAGAAUCUUUGGCAUCAGCAUCGAAUAGCCAAAAAAAUUACAGAAAAUCACAAAAAAAGAUCAAAGCCAUUCCAGAGAGGAAUGAGAGAUAUGGUGUCUCUACAAUAGAAGGAACAACUUCGGAUAGUGUUCCCAGAUGGGUGAAGAACAAAGCCGAGUCUUCUCUUUAUAUUAUGGAAGACGAACUAAUCGGGAUUGAAGACAAGAAGCAAAGGUUAAUGGGGUUAUUGAUGAAUGGAGAGGAAAAUGAAAUGGUUGUGUCUAUAGUCGGGAUGGGAGGAUCAGGCAAGACAACUCUUGUUGCCAAUACCUUCAACAACGAAAAUGUAAAGCGGCAUUUUGACUGUUAUGCAUGGAUCACUGUUUCUCAAACUUUUGUGAUCGAAGACUUAUUAAAAAAUCUGAUCAAGCAAUUCCACCAAGGAAGAAAGGAAGAGAUGACUGCACAAUUGGAUUCCAUGAGUUACAAAGAAUUGUUAGAGAUGUUGUCGACAUACUUGAAGUCUAAAAGGUACCUAGUUGUAUUGGAUGAUGUGUGGGACAUUAAACUUUGGCAAGAAAUAAGGAUACCACUUCUUAAUAGACAUCAUGGAAGUCGAAUCAUGCUUACAACUAGAAAGAAAGACAUAGCAUUCUAUUCUUUUGAAGUUGAAAGUCGUCCUAUUGAAAUUGAACCCUUGGGAAACAAUGAAGCUUGGGAGCUCUUUAGCAAGAAAGCAUUCUCAACUUACGAUAAUAAAUCUUGUCCACCAGAGCUUGAAUCCUUAGCAUGGAAACUUGUGGAUAAGUGUGAAGGCCUACCUCUGGCAGUGGUAACUUUAGGUGGUCUAAUGUCUUCCAAGAGGUCAUCAUCGGAAUGGAGAAGCGUAUAUAACAGCUUAAAUUGGCACUUGACUAACCAUCCUAUGCUGGAACCAAUGAGCAGCAUCUUGUUGCUUAGUUUCAACAAUUUGCCCAACCGGUUGAAGCCAUGUUUCUUAUAUUGUGCCCUUUUCCCAGAAGAUUAUCUCAUCAAAAGAAAAAGGUUGAUCAGGUUGUGGAUAGCUGAAGGGUUUGUUGAACCAAUUGAUGGGGUCACACCAGAAGAAGUUGCAGAGGGUUAUCUUGUGGAACUGAUUGUUCGUAGCAUUCUACAAGUUGAAAAGCAUGAAGCUGUAGGACUAAGAGCAUGUAAGAUGCAUGAUCUUGUGCGUGAGCUUGCUUUGUCGAUAUCAAAGAAGGAAAAUUUCGGUGCUACGUGUGUUGGCAGAGAAAUAAUAGAUAAAGCUGAAAUCCGCCGAUUGUCAAUUCAAACAACUGAAAGAGAAAUUAAUUCUUGCACAGGUAUGUCAGAGCUUCGCUCCUUUCUUGUCUUUGGCGCGUUAGAGAAAUUGCCUUCUGGAUUCAAGUUGUUGAGAGUUCUAGAUGUGCAGGAUGCUCCAAUUGAUAGAUUUCCAGAUGAACUAGUGUACUUGUUCAACUUAAGAUAUUUAAAUUUGAAGAAAACUUUGAUUGAGGAGCUUCCAGAAUCCAUCGGACGGCUUCACAAUCUUCAAACGUUGAACAUUUGUGACAGUAAGAUAAAGGCACUUCCAAAAGCAAUCUCCAAGUUAGUAAACCUACGCCAUCUAAUCAUGUAUUGUUACAUUGGUGAUUUGGCGGUCUUUAGACAUGUCAGUGGGACAAAAACAGCAUCGGAUCUAAGUAAAUUACAGAAACUGCAAGUUUUGGAUUCUGUUGAAUCAGAAGGAAAGAUUAUUAAAGUCAUCAGGAAUAUGACCCAACUUACAAGCCUCGGUAUUACAAAUGUGAAAGCAAGUGACGAGAUGGACCUCUGUGACUCCCUUCAAAAGUUAGAGCUCCUUCACACUUUGCUUUUAGUGGCAAGUGAUGAAGAGGAGUUUCUUCGAGUUAAUGCACUACGUUCGCCUCCUCUAGACCUUCAAAACAUUUUAUUGGCCGGAAAACUAGAAAGGUUACCUCUUUGGUUAGGUUCACUCAAUAACCUGACACGUAUGUAUCUACGUUGGUCUAGACUGGAAGAAGAUGUGCUACCUCACAUUCAAGCAUUGCCGAAUCUUGAAACGCUUGGGCUAUUUAAUGCAUAUGUUGGCAAAAAAUUGUGUUUCUCCAGAGGCUUCAUAAAGCUUAAGGAUUUGGUGUUGAGCAGCUUCCCGGUAUUGAAUAGUAUAGCUAUAGAGAAAGGGGCGAUGCCAAAUCUCCAGCUCUUAUCCAUUGCGUACUGCCUGGAGUUAAAGGCAUUGCCGCAGGGCAUUGAGUUCCUUGCUAACGUAGAACGCUUGACGCUGUCUUCUGUUCCAAUGCAACUUAUAGAGUCCGUAAGAGGAGGCAUGGAUCAUCCAAAGGUGCAACAUAUUCCUGAAAUCCACCUGCAUUAUGAGAGAGAAAAUAUAUGGUACCAUAAAAGCUUUUCUGGUAUUCACUCUCGCAAAAGGUAUGCACACUUUUAUCCUUGCAUAAAAAAUUUAUUACUGUUAGACUUACCACAUUUUUUGUAUCACAUUUGUACCACAUUUUUUUAUAGAGGUAGAGCUCAUUGACACAUGUGGAUCUCAUUUCUAUUAGAGAGAUGGUACAAAUGUGGUAAAAGUAAUAUUUUUGUAAAAAAAUAUUCCACAACUUAAUUAUUUGAACUAUUACGUUAGAAAGUUAAAAGGUUGGUGAUUUUUAUACUCCUAUUUUUUUUUCUUAUGCGCUCCUCUUGUUUUGAUUCGUUAGUGUUUUGAUUUAUUAGGCUAUGAAAAAGAGGAAGUAGUGCAUCGGAGUGUAAAAAUCAUUUUCCCUCACAGUUUGCUUGUCCAAUCUUAUAUAGAAGUCCGGCAAAGACAAAAUAUGCAUGCAUUGAGAUUUUAUUUAGUAACUGUGUUUCUUUUGUCUUUUAAUGUCCUUUUUGUAGAAUCAAGCCUCAUAAGCACUUGUGAGACUGCAGUGAGUUUUCCUUUGUGCCAAUUGAUUUUACGGUGAAUCUUGACUUUCGUUAUAGUAACAGAGCUGACUAUAUAUGUGUUGAGUGAUUCGCCAAGGAAGAAUUCGUCUAUUGUUUGUGUGUUGUGUGAAGUUGCAAACAUUGAUCGAUCUUGGUUUCUUAUUUGCCCUUUGUGAAAUUGAAUAAUGCCCAAGAUUCUAUUUGUGUAACUGAAACUUAUAUUAUUAAUUGCUUGCGUGUGUUUUGAUGUAAUAAUAUUGGUUUGGAACUGAAUCUGUCAUUGAUGAGAAUAAUGCCCAAGAUUCUGUUUGUGUAACAGGAACUUAUAUUAUUGUUUGCUUGCAUGUAUUUUGAUAUAAUAAUAUUGGUUUGGAACUGAAUAUGUCAGUGAUGAGACCAAUUCUAACUAAAUCAAUGAUUAUGAACCAUUUUUCAUUUUCAAUAUUUUUUAUUUUUUAUCAAGUUUUCAAAUAUAUAUUGUUUUAGAGAGGUAAAUUUUAUGGUGGAUGUUUUAGCUCACUAUGACUCACUUGAAAAAUUAUCAGACGGUACGGUAUUACUAUUUAGGUCGGUGAUACUUCUAUUCAAAUUUUAACAUGUGUGCAGUUUCUUACGGCAGCUUUUUAAUUUACAAUUAAUUUUUAUUUUUUAGUUUAAACAAAAUCAAAAGAACUAAAAAUAAAAAGCGUUUUGACGUAGAUGCUUAACUUUUAAAGAUAAGAACAAAAUCAAUAGUACCAGAUUGAUUUUUUAGUAUAAAAAUAUAAUUUUCUUUAAAAUGAAUACUACGGUGCUGCCAGUAUCCGAGCCCGCCAGAAAGCAACCCCGACCUGGUCGGGGCAGAUUCGAGGCCCAUGGACUAUCCGAAGAAGAGGCCCGGGUCAGGGCCAUCGCCGAAAUCGUCAGCUCCAUGGUCAACCUCUCCCGAAAGGACCAAAACGUCGACCUAAACGCCCUCUAGACCACCGCGUACCGCAAGUACGGCCUCUCACGUGCGACGAAGCUGCUCAAAUGAUUGCAACUCUGCCGGAGUCAGACAGUAAAGCUCUUCUCCCCAAGCUCCGGGUCAAGCCGGUCCCAACCGCUUCGGGCAUCGUCGUCGUGGCCGGGAUGUCGAAGCCUCAUCGGUGGCCCCACAUCGCCACUACCGGAAAUAUUUGCGUGUACUGCCCCGACGGUCCCGAUUCGGACUUCGAGCAUAGCACUCAAUCUUACACUGGAUACGAGCCUACUAGCAAUUCGGGCAAGGUAUGGCUUUCUCUAGUUCAUUGACGCAUUUUAUCGAACACUUGAUAGGGAAUUGAAGUUUUAUGUUAUUCAUGAUUCGUUUCGAAGUUUAAAGUUUUCGGAUUGAUUUUUCACCAUGAAAUUGAGAGCUUUGUAAUGAAGAGAUUAUUUGAAGGAAUUGGUGUUUAAAACUGGAUUAGUGAAGUUAAUUUGGUAGUUAAUCUGUUGGUUUUGUGUGUUUAGAUACAACCCAUAUGUUUAGAGCUUAAAGAAUUUACUUUCGGGUUUGCAGAUUUCCAUGAGAGCAACGCCAGCCAUGCUGGUUGCUCGGGCCACAGGCGAGGAGAAAGGGCCCUCGGGCCGGUGGGUGCAGCUCCAGCGGGGACGGGCCCGAGUGAGGGUGGGAGCCCGAGUCGGAGGCCCGUGAAAAGUUGACAAGCCUGGCCCCCGAGCUCGUGUGACGUCACGUUGACGCAAGGGCUGGGUCCGGCCCUUUUUUUUAUUUUUUUUGUGUCAGGCGCGUGCCCCUCACUCGCGAGUGGGGGCGCGUUGCCCGACAUGAUUUCAGGGGGAUGGCCCGCGCGUCAGUUACCGUUGGGAAGCCACGUGGCUUCCCAUGGGCCGUUAGAUCCCAACGGUUCUUUAAUAAGAACUGUUCGAUUUACAACGGUAAAAAAAAAAAAAGUUGAUUUUAUAUCAACCGUUCGAUCUGAGAUCAACGGUUGAUAUUAAUCUGCUUUAUAAAUUAAAAAAAAAAGAAAAAAUAGUUUUAAAAUUAAGAAAAGUUACCGUUGUGACGACGUACGUGACUUUUGGUGCCUUUCCUUGCAGGACGUCGUUGAACACUGGGGAUUGGGCAAGGACGUUGAGAUCAUUUUGAGCUCCCGGAACCCCGAAAAAGGCGUGCCAUAUCCAUGUAUCAAAAGAUGCCACUGCCUCCAAAAUGAUAGAUUUUGAUCCUUUUAUGUCCCCAUAUGCGCCUUGCCAUGCACUUGGACAGUUUUUCCACGUCUAGUGCAUACAAUCGAUGCUUCCUAUCAUCCCAGGAAAACCUCGCAUCUCGCCCUUCUUCAGAAGCCUUUGCAAGUCCACGUGAGUAGGUUUUCGGAGGUACUCUGCGGUGUACAAAGAUUCGACUGCUCCGCAAAACCUCAUCAGGGCCUCAAGAAUGGUUGAUUUCCCCAUCCUCAUUAUCUCAUCCACUUGGUCUGCAGAUGCUCCAUACGCAAGCAUCCGCAACGCAGCAGUGAUUUUUAGCUCAGGCAGGAGACCCAUAACACCACAAGCAUCCUUCUUUUGCACAAAGUAAGAAUCAUGGUUGCAAACAUCAGUCAUGAUUCUGUUGAACAAAUGUCGUUCCAUUCUAAAACGGCGUCUGAAAGUAUCAGGAAAUGCACUGUUAUGGACAAAGUAAUCGUCCAACAGCUCUUCACCCCGUUGUUGCCUGCUUCUAUCAAUGUUUCUUGAACGGUUGGGCCUGCAUAUCUGAGCAACAGUCUGGAUGACUCGACAGGAAUGUGAGGCUCUGGCCAUUCUUGUUUCAUCAUCUCUCCUUCUACGCUCCUCAUCCUCUUCCAUCUCAUUUUCGGUUAUCUGCAGGUUGAACAUUCCUUCAGAUUGGUUAAACAAUUCCUCCUCUUGCUGAUCGAUUUCCCACAUCAUCCUUGAUGAAGAAGAAGACAUUGUAAGGAUGGAUGGUGAAGAAGAAGCAGAAAUUAUGAAUAAUGAGAUAGAGAUGUUGAGAAAAUUGGUGUGAGAUUUGUGAGAAUGGAUGGUGGAUUAUAUGGACGAUUCAGAAAAUGAUCGGAUUGUAGAUGAGGCCACGUGGCAUGCCGUCAUUCGUUAAAAAUCUAAUCAAAAUCUAUCCUCAAAGAUUCUGAAAAGAUAAUGACACAUGGCACGAUCGUAUUGGAUAAAAAUCUUAUCGAAAUCGAUCACCAAUAAUUUUAUAUUUUCGAAUAAUGACAUGUGGCGUAAUUUUGAACGAGUUAAAAUCUGAUCAAAAUCUAUCGUCAAAUAUUCUCAAAAGAUAACGACACGUGGCACGAUGACAUUGGAUAAAAUUCUUAUCGAAAUCGAUUUCCAAUAAUUAUCUUUUCGGAUAAUGACACGUGGCGCAAUUUUGAACGAGUUAAAAUCUGAUCAAAAUCUAUCGUCAUAGAUUUUCAAAAAAUAACGACACGUGGCACGAUGACAUUGGAUAAAAAUCUUAUCGAAAUCCAUCGUUAAAUAAUUGUUUGUUUUUAUAAAAUGACACGUGGCGCAACGAGAACGAUUUAAAAAAUCUUAUCCGAAAUUACAAAUAAUUUUAUUUUGUAUUAUUUAAACAAACAAAAAAACUAAUAUUUUAUUGCCUAUUGCCUGGGGGGAUGGCUCCAAGGGUGGAGAUGCAAAUGGCAAUUACUGUUCAUUAAUGGCAGUUACUAUUCAUUUAAGGCAGUUACUGUUCAAAAUGGUGGAUUCAAUAGUGGAUUGCCAGGGGGGAAGGCUCCAUGGGUGGAGUUGCUCUGAUAGAGUAAUAUGCAUAGUUGUCGCCUUGUAACUGGUACUGAAUUUGUGUUUUCAGGUCGAGUUCAUCUUAAUGGGCGGUACUUUCAUGACGUUGCCCGUGGAUUACCGUGAUUACUUUAUUAGAAAUCUGCACGAUGCAUUAUCGGGACACACUUCUGCCAAUGCUGAAGAGGCUUUUGCCUACUCUGAGCAUGGUGCUACUAAAUGUAUUGGAAUGACCAUUGAAACAUGAGUUUUUAGUUUGUUUUUGAAGCCGUUAAUUUCUCAUUCUUGUGUUUAAUUUGGUUGACGGUAAUUUUUAGCUUACCAUCUAGUUUCCAGUUCAUCUGGUCGGUCUAGAAGGUUAACGAAGGUAGUUGUAACUUUUUAUUCUGCUGGAGGCCAGAUUAUUGCCUUGGACCUCACUUGAGACAAAUGCUUUCUUAUGGUUGUGCUAGACUAGAAAUUGGAGUUCAGAGUACAUACGAGGAUGUGGCUCGGGACAACAAUAGAGGUCAUACCAUAGCUGCAGUGGCUGAUUGUUUUUGCGUGGCAAAGGAUGCUAUUUAUAAGGUCAGCCUAGUACCUUAUCAUAAAACUCACUUACCUUCACCGUGGGAAAAGAACGGAUUUUGGACCUUUUAUAUCUACAGUGACAGGAGAUCAAUCUUUCAUCAAAACAAUUUGUGAGCCUGGAUAUAUUUUUCAAAUUAUUGUGCUCUCCCAUAGUUCAGGGGAUAAUAUUUUAUCAUAAUCUAGUUGGUUUUGGUGUUACCAUUCACUUUGUCUAAGUUCAAGAAGAAGCAUGUGUUUGUAAUUGUAUGACCGUAAUCUUUAUGAACUGCAAUAUUAAAAGCCUUGAGGACUGUUUACAAUAUGCAUAUUUGCUGUGUAUUCUUGUCGUUCAUGUUGAUUUACUUUUGUUUCACACUAAUAAUUUUAUGCAUUUGCUCUAGGUGGUUGCACACAUGAUGCCUGAUCUUCCAAAUGUAGGGGUGGAGAGAGACAUGGAGAGUUUUCGGGAGUUCUUUGAGAUUCCCUUGUUCAGAGCAGAUGGGCUUAAAAUUUAUCCAACACUCGUGAUCCGUGGAACUGGACUCUAUGAGCUUUGGAAAACGGGCAGGUAUAGAAAUUACCCACCUGAGCAACUUGUGGACAUUGUAGCUCGGAUCCUAGCCAUGGUCCCCCCUUGGACGCGUGUUUAUAGAGUUCAGCAAGACAUUCCAAUGCCUUUAGUUACUUCUGGGGUUGAGAAAGGAAAUCUUCGGGGGUUAGCUUUUGCAUGGAUGGAAGACUUGGGCUUGAAGUGCCGUGAGAGGCUGGAAUUCAGGUAUGCGGGUAGUCAUUCUUGUUUGAACGUGUUUUAUGCAACUGAGGCUACAAACAUGAUCCCUCAAAUCCCUUGAAAAAAUCUUUACUGAACAUUCUUGCUGGUUCUAGGACAUACAUCACAAAAUUAGGCCAGACCAAGUGGAGCUUGUUCGUCGUGAUUAUAUGGCAAAUGAAGGAUGGGAAACAUUUCUUUCAUAUGAAGAUACUCGCCAGGUAUUCGUUCUUUAUAUGUGAGAGAGUGCUUCGUCACACGAAAUGAUCAUUCUAUUCUUGUCAUGUGCUGAAGUGUUGAGCUGAUGGAAGAUAACACUUAAAAAGAUUAUGAUUGUAAUAUUGAGUAGAAUAUCUAAUUUAAUUUCGCUUCAGCAUAUAUAGAUGAAUUGAGGAUCUCACUUUUCCAGAACUUCUUGUUUCUCUGAUUUGUGUAGUAAUUUGUGCACAGAAUCUUAAGGCUUGGGUUUUACUGAUCAAAUUGUUAUAAAAAAAUCAUAAACUACAUCACAAUAAUCAUAUGAAUAUUUUCAUCUAAUAAGACCAAAAUCAUAAAAUUUAUUUGAAAUUCAAUAUUGUAAUGAGGUGAUGAUGGAAAGAUAGAGGUGGAAUAAUUGUGGUGGGGUUCCGGGGUAAGGUUUGUAUUGGAUGGGUGGAUUUGGGGCUUUGUGCUAAUUAAAAGAGGGAAUUGCAUGAGAAGUAGUUGGGCCUCGGCUUUGUAGACGAAAAAGAGUUUUAAUUUUUUGAAUGGCCUGGCUCAAAACGGCACCGUCUAGGCCAGGUCAUUAAAAACAAUAUUAAACUUUCUUCUUCGCUAAAUUUUGCUGGGUGCUGCGCUGCAAAUUCCAAAACCAACACGGGACCAGGCAGUCGGGUGGUCCUCAACGAUCUUCACAGAUGCUUCUUCGAUCUUCCGGAGGGUCCGGGGACCACCCAGGUCCUGUAAUGGAUCCGCCCCUGCCGCCACACACUACCUUUCACCUAAUUCCCACACGGAGGUAGAUUCUCUGCCCUCCCACUUCCCGUGUCUUUCUGUUUGUAUGGUCACGGUUAAGCCACGUCAACAUUUUAUAUUACUAUUCCUUUUUGUCUUAUUAUCUCUUAUAAAAAAUAUAUAUAAAAUGUUGACGUGGUUUAACCGUGACCACAUAAAACGGGAGGACACGGGAAGUGGGAGGGCAGAGAAUCUGCCUCCUUGCCACACACUGCGCCAACUGUUCGACAAUAUGCCUCAACCAAACCCCCCGCCAUUAUUCUCCCGCCUCCCACUUCCGCCUACAUCCACCUCCCUUUCUGCCGGAAGCGCUGUCACUACUACGACUUCACAAUCGUCGCCCUCGGUGCUGCUUCCGCCCAAACCGAAGGCGACCCGCAAAUGACAAACUACUUACAGUUACUCUGCCGAGAAAUCAACUCCACAAAAGCCGAAAACAAGACCGAUCGGCCUCUGGAGAAGGUGUUUUUUUGCAGCGGCACGCCAUCUCUUUCGCCGCCAAAGCUCGUGAAUUCCGUUUUGGAGACGUUCGAGGUUGAAAUUCGGGUUGAGUUCCCUCCAAGUCGAACAAGGCACGAAAUCUACGGUUUUAGUUUUGGAAUGAAUUUGGUCCUGAAGUUGGAGUUUUUUGUUUGCAGGUAUACACCAGGGGAGUUCCCGUUGCCUUCAGAAACGCGGUCUGCUGAGUUCUAUAAGAUGGCGUCUAGGACGCCUUCGGAUAUCACUGCAAACACAAUCUAACUUAUUGGAAGAACAAGCCUUUCUAUGCUCUCGGCCUUGGCUCCGCUAGCUAUGUCGAUGGCGUGAGGUUUUCGAGACCAAAGAGGAUGAAAGAGUACACAGGUUACGUGGAGAAUAUGGAGAAUGAUUUGGUGGAGUGCGGUGAGAGUCCCCGUACGCUGCAGGACAUGGCCACGGACGUUGUUAUGAUCUCUCUUUGCAUGAAGAGAAAACAUUACAUUUAUGUACAAUUACUGCUUCGCUGAAUUAAUAUUUAAUAAAUUCGUCUUUGGUCUCACAAUGGGAUUAGGAUUUCUUCCACUGCUCUCACAUUCUUUUAUUUUAUCUUUCUUUUGCUAUAAAAAGUUAAUAUAAGAUGUUGACGUGGCUUAACCGUGACCGUUUAAGUAGGAGGGGGAGGGAAGGAGAGGGGGAAAAAAGGGAAGAGAAUUCUACUCCCUCACGAUGAGCUACCAAUAAUGUGGUUCAAAUUCAUUUUUGACGAGAAUCGAAUUUAAGACAUCUCACUUAUAAAUAAAGAAAAAUACUACUAGGCUAUAUUACCAAGUAUUUAUUAUAAUUAGUAUUAUAAAUAAUAAAUAAAACAAAAAAUAAUAAAAACUGAAACAAAAAAAAAGAAGAAAAAACCGUACCGUUCAAACUUCAAAGUCAGGGGGAGAGUAAGAGGGAGACCUCCCUUUCUCUGCCGCAUAUCUCCUGGUUUUAUUUUUAAUUUUUUUGGUAAAAAAAACCUUCCUGAUCUUUUUACUCGUGUUAUUACCAUUUAUCGGAUGAUAUGUUUCCCGCUUGUUCAGAUUGUUCUCAUGCUUGACCAAUGAAGGAAAAAAUCAUUUUCCACAAUCUAAUUUAGCACUCAAAAUACCAAGAAUGAAGAAUUAGGGUUUUGGGUUUAGUUUUGUUUACCGAACAAAAUAAUUCAAAAGAUAGAGCGAUUGCUCGAUACGCUUUGUGUGCUUCUUAAUUUUGUAUAAAUCGAAUCAAAUCAACAUACAGUAAAGACGGAUUUUCUCUCCUCCUCCUUACGAUCGUGACCAGUUGAUAUUUUUUCCUUUUGAGUUCUACUGGAUUAAUUGAUUCUUAUUCAUUUAAUAUAAUUGUUUAUUUAUUACUUAUAAUUCACAUCAUCAUCCAUGUCACUUAAGGUUUAAACUUUUCAACAAUAGUCUUAAUCAAGACCAUUGAAUGUUAUAAAGUCUAAUGGCUAAAAAACGAGUGUAAAAAUAUUUGUCUCUUGAUCAUAUUAUAUAUGUACUUUUAGAUAUGAAUAUAAAUUAUUCUCUACUAAUUUUUCAAUACGGUAUGAUAAUAUCGUCAGUAAUAUUAUCGAAUACCAAUAAAUACCUAAAAUUUCAGUUUGCUACAAUACCGUGUCAUUAUCGAUCGGCAUAAAAUCAAUAUGGUACAGUUGUCAAUCGGUGGCACGAUAAGUGUUGAAUCAGAAACUGAAAAAGUAAUUGAAUUUUACUGAAAGUGUAUAUAAACUUUUGUAAUGUGAAUUAAAAUUACAGUGUGCUUGAGUGAUUUUUCAAAACCUUGUGUUUGUUAUUUGAAAUAAGAGUUUUCUAUUAUAUUUUAUAUUUUAUUCGUGCACCAAUUAUUUUUCUACCGACCCCAAAUUGGAAGCGCAACUUUAAUUGACCUCACCACGCAAUUAUUGACGGCGAGCAAAAUACAUCCUACGCGGUUUCUUUACAAAUUGCCACGUACAUCACUUUAUCAUCUUUGUCCAAAGGUUUUUGUCUUCGUCUGAAAUUAUUGGUCUUUGUCAGACAGUAUUCGUAAGAACCAAAAAGUACUGGUCUUUGUUUCAUGACUUCCAUCGUAACUUCCAAUUGUUUCUAAUUCUAAAGUGAAUUUCUCUAAUUUUACUUGUUUCUCCCUCGUAUCGAAUGAGAAUAGAUAAGAGGCUCGUGGAAUUGACGUGAGGGCUUAAAAAUGGCUAUAUUCAUGAGCAAGCUCCAAUCCCUUCGUCGAAUAGAUAAGAGGCUCGUGGAAGUGACUAGAUUUCCAUUGCAUUCUUUUUUUCUUUUUCUGUUGUUUUGAAACUUGCCUAUUCUGCAGAUAGAUUGCAUACCAAGUAUCGAAGGCCAAAAUGGAGUCAGCAUCACUAUUGAUUGGGAAAAUUGCGUUCAUUCUUGAGAACGAAGCAUCUUCCAUAGCGGCAGUCCGUGAUGAAGUUGAUGAGCAUAAGCUGGAGCUCAUAAGCUUGAAAUCUUUCUUAAUAGAUGCUGAAGGCAAGGAACCACAAACAGAAGGAGUGAAAACGUGGGUUACAAGCGUCAGAGAUUUGACUUGCGAUGCGGAAAAUGUCAUUGAUGAGUUCCUGUAUCACAUAUAUGACAAGCAAAGUGCGACUCCAAUUGCAAAAUUGCUCCACAGAACCAUUUACUUUCCAAAGAAUCUUUGGUAUAGGCAUCGAAUAGCCAAAAAAUUACAGAAAAUCACAAAAAAGAUCAAAGCCAUUCCAGAGAGGAAUGAGAGAUAUGGUGUCUCUACAAUAGAAGGAACAAGUUCGGAUAGUGUUCCCAGAUGGGUGAAGAACAAAGCCGAGUCUUCUCUUUAUAUUAUGGAAGAUGAACUAAUUGGGAUUGAAGACAAGAAGCAAACGUUAAUGGGAUUGUUGAUGAAUGGAGAGGAAAAUAAAAUGGUUGUGUCUGUGGUCGGGAUGGGAGGAUCAGGCAAGGCAACUCUUGUUGCCAAUACCUUCAACAACGAAAACGUAAAGCGACAUUUUGAUUGUUAUGCAUGGAUCACUGUUUCUCAAACUUAUGUGAUUGAAGACUUAUUCAAACAAAUGAUCAAGAAGUUCCAUGAAGGAAGAAAGGAAGAGGUGCCUGAACAUUUGAAUUCCAUGAGUUAUGAAGAAUUGUUAGAGAUGUUGUUGACAUACUUGAAGUCUAAAAGGUACCUCGUUGUAUUGGAUGAUGUGUGGGAUAUUAAACUUUGGCAAGAAAUAAGGAUACCACUUCUUAAUAGACACCAUGGAAGUCGAAUCAUGCUUACAACACGAAAGAAAGACAUAGCAUUCUAUUCUUUUGAAGUUGAAAGUCGUCCUUUUGAAAUUGAACCUUUGGAAAACAAUGAAGCUUGGGAGCUCUUUAGCAAGAAAGCAUUCUCAAGUUACGAUAACAAAUCUUGUCCACCAGAGCUUGAAUCAUUAGCAUGGAAACUUGUGGAAAAGUGUGAAGGCCUACCUCUGGCAGUGGUAACUUUAGGUGGUCGAAUGUCUUCCAAGAGGUCAUCAUCGGAAUAGAGAAGCGUAUAUAACAGCUUAAAUUGGCACUUGACUAACCAUCCUAUGCUAGAACCAAUGAGCAGCAUCUUGUUACUUAGUUUCAACAAUUUGCCCAACCGGUUGAAGCCUUGUUUCCUAUAUUGUGCCCUUUUCCCAGAAGAUUAUCUCAUCAAAAGAAAAAAGUUGAUCAGGUUGUGGAUAGCUGAAGGGUUUAUUGAACCAAUUGAUGGGGUCACACCAGAAGAAGUUGCAGAGGGCUAUGUUGUGGAACUUAUUGGUCGUAGCAUGCUACAAGUUGAAAAGGAUGAAGCUGGAGGACUAAAAGCAUGUAAGAUGCAUGACUUGUGCGUGAGCUUGCUUUGUCGACAUCAAAAAAGGAAAAGUUUGGUGCUACGUAUGUUGGCAGAGAAAUAAUAGAUAAAGCUGAAAUCCGCCGAUUGUCAAUUCAAACAACUGAAAGAGAAAUUAAUUCUUGCACAGGAAUGUCAGAGCUUCGCUCCUUUCUUGUCUUUGGCGCGUUAAAGAAAUUGCCUUCUGGAUUCAAGUUGUUGAGAGUUCUAGAUGUGCAGGAUGCUCCAAUUGAUAGAUUUCCGGAUGAACUAGUGUACUCGUUCAACUUAAGAUAUUUAAAUUUGAAGAGAACUUUAAUUGACGAGCUUCCAGAAUCCAUCGGACGGCUUCUCAACCUUCAAACCUUGAACAUCUGUCACGGUAAGAUAAGGGCACUUCCAAAAGCAAUCUCCAAGUUAGUAAACCUACGCCAUCUAAUGAUGUAUUGUCACACUGGUGAUUGGGCUGCCCUUAGAUGUGUCAAUGGGACAAAAACAGCAUCCGAUCUAACUAAAUUACAGAAACUACAAGUUUUGCAAUCUGUUGAAUCAGAAGGAAAGAUUAUUAAGGGCAUCGGGAAUAUGACCCAACUUACAAGCCUCGGUAUUACAAAUGUGAAAGCAAGUGACGAGAUGGACCUAUGUGACUCCCUUCAAAAGUUAGAGCUCCUCCACUGUUUGUUUUUUAUGGCAAGUGAUGAAGAGGAGUUUCUUCGAGUUAAUGCACUACGUUCGCCUCCUCCAGACCUUCGAAAGGUUAUUUUGGGUGGAAAACUAGAAAAGGUACCUCUUUGGUUUGGUUCACUCCAUAACCUGACUUGUAUGGAUCUAAUUUGGUCUAGACUUGAAGAAGAUGUGCUACCUCACAUUCAACCAUUGCCGAAUCUUGAAAUGCUUCACCUAAGUAAUGCAUAUGUUGGCGAAAAAUUGUGUUUCUCUAGAGGCUUCAUAAAGCUUAAGCAUUUGAUGUUGCGCAGCUUCCUGGUAUUGAAUAGUAUAGCUAUAGAGAAAGGGGCGAUGCCAAAUCUCCAGGUCUUAGAAAUUGGGAACUGCCUGGAGUUAAAGGCAUUGCCGCAGGGCAUUGAGUUCCUUGCUAACGUAGAACGCUUGAUUCUGUAUUUUGUUCCAAAGCAACUUAUAGAGUCCGUAAGAGGCGGCAUGGAUCAUCCAAAGGUACAACAUAUUCCUGAAAUCCACCUGUCUUAUGAGAGAGAAAAUAUGAAGUGUCAUGAAAGCUUUUCCGGUAUUCACUCUCAUAAAGGUACGCACACUUUUAUCCUUGCAUAAAAAUUUGAUUAAUGCUAGACUUGCCACAUUUUUUGUAUCACAUUUGUACCACCUCUUUUAUAGAGGUAGGGGCCAUCGACAUAUGUGAUUCUCAUUUCUAUUAGAAAAAUAGGAUAAAUGUGGUAUAAAAAAUGUGAUAAAAGUAGCAUUUUUGUAAAAAAAAAAUAAAAAAUCCAUAACGUAAUCAUUUGAACUUGUAUGUUAAAAAGGUAAAAGGUUAGUGAUUUUCAUACUCCUAUUUAUUUUUGGGUUCUUUAGAUAUAAACUCAUGCAACACUUAUUUUCUUAACAAAAACCCAUCUCAUUUUAAACAUUCAAAUAAAACCCAAAUUUGAAAUAAAUUGCCAUGUAAACAAAUAAAUACCUAUUAUUUUCAAAAUAUAUACAAUUGUGCCACAACACCCUAAUUAUGUUGAUGAAUUUAAUUACCACCAUAAUUAUAGCAAAUAAGUGCUUUAUUAUUACAAAAUUAUCUACUUUAUACUUGUCUUACCAUCAUCUGUUUCGUUUCUUUUAUUUGUUUGACAAUCAUUGUAGGUAAAUUAUUUUGCAUGUAUACGUUAGGCACAUUUUGUUGUUAUUAUAUCUGUGUGAAAUAAAUUACCUAUAUUUUUAAGUAGAAUAAGGGUAAUUAAUUAAUUUUGAAUCAAUUGGCUAAAAACAUUAUUUUAUUUUGUAGGUAAAUAAUUUUGCAUGUAUUAUUACAUAUACUACGCACAUUUGUUAUUAUUAUGUGUUGUUUGCAAUCAAUCAACAUUCAUUUAUUUUGUAGGUAAAUUAUUUUGCAUGUAUUAUUACAUAAGUUAGGCACAUUUUGAUAUUAUUAUAUAUAUGUGUAUGCAAAUAGCUUAAAUAACUUUUGAAUCAAACAAUAUUUAUUUAUUUAUUACGUAGGUAAAUUAUUUUGCAUGUAUUAUUUUACCUGGAACUUAUAUUGUUAUUUUAUAUAUGUAAUAUAUUGGUAAUUUUGAAUAAAAUAACAUUUUUAUAUUUGUAAAAAAAAUGCUAAUUUACUUGUUACAAUUAUUUGAAAAGGAAAAAAAUGCUCAUUUUUACAUAAAUAUGAACACAACUAUAUAAGGAAACAAAAUUCUAAUGUCAUGUAAUUUUUGUUAUUAAUAUGCAUUGAAAUCAUGACACUCAAAAUUUUCUUUUCCAAAUCUGCAUAAACAUUUCAAAACGUUUAAUUGAAUGAAAUAAUAUAAAAUAAAUGUAGAUAACAAGUAAUAAACCCAAAGUCAAUAAUAUUAGGGGUAAUUUAGACAUUCAAAAAUACCAAUUUUGCCAAGUGAUACUUAAUUAUGGAUAUUGCUUAGUUGGAGCCUAGUCAUUGGGUUUUUAUCAGAAAAUUUUACAAUUGGGGGUUUUAGUUAAUGAAAAUUGAAUUCCAAGGGGUAUACUCAUAUUUUCAGUUUAUUUUUCUUAUGCACUCCCCUUGUUUUUAUUCGUUAGUGGUUUGAUUUAUUCAAUUGUUAGUCUACGAAAAAGAGGAAAUAGUGCAUUGGAGUGUAAAAAUCAUUUUCCCUUGCAAAUUGCAUGUCCAAUUUUAUACAGAAGUCUGGCAAAGACAUAAAAUAUGCAUGCAUUGAGAUUUUAUUUGGUAACUGUGUUUCUUUUGUUUUGUAAUAUCCUUUUUGCAGAAUCAAGCCUCAGAAGCACUUGUGAGAUUGCAGUGAGUUCUUCUUUGUGCCAAUUGAUUUUGCGGUGAAUCUCGACUUUCGUUAUAGUAAUAGAGCUGACUGUAUACAUGUUGAGCCAUUCGCCUUGCAAGGAAGGAUCCAUCCGUUGUUUGUGUUGUGUGAAGUUGCAAACAUUAAUUGAUCUUGGUUUCUUAUUUGCCCUUUAUGAAAUUGAAUAAUGCCCAGAUUCUAUUUGUGUAGUUGAAACUUAUAUUAUUGAUUGCUUGCGUGUGUUUUGAUGUAAUAAUAUUGGUUUGGAACUGAAUCUGACUGAUGAGAAUAAUGCCCAAGAUUAUGUUUGUGUAGCUGAAACUUAUAUUAUUGAUUGCUUGCGUGUGUUUUGAUGUAAUAAUAUUGGUUUUGAAUUGAAUCUGUUACUAAUGAGACCAAUUCUAACUAAACCAAUGAUUAUGACCCAUUUUUCAUUUUCUAUAUUUAUUGUUUUUAUUAAGUUUUCAAAUAUAUAUUGUUUUAGAGAGGUAAAUUUUGUGGUAGAUGUUUUAGCUCACUAUAAUUUCACUUGAAAAAUUAUUAGAUGGUACGGUAUUACCAUGUCAGCAGGUGAUAUUUCUAUUCAAAUUUUAACAUGUGUGCAGUUUCUUACAGCUGGAUUAAAAAAAAAAUUAAUUAAACUUUUUUUUUCAGUUUAAACAAAAUUAAAAGAUCUAAAAAUAAGUGGCGUUUUAGCAAAGAUGCCUAGUUUUUAAAAUUGAAUAAUUCUAAGGAGAUUAAAUUUUUUAAAUCAAAUUUACAAAUCAAAUGGUGUAGUUAUUGAUUAUUAGAUUAUUAUUUAAGCAUUAAUUAACGUAUUUAUUUCUUAUUGAUACACAUCAUUUUGAUUUGCAAAUUUCUUUUAAAUUUUGGUCACCUUAUGUUUAUAUCAUUAAAAUUUUGAGACAACUCUUUUCCUCCCCUCCUUCUCUCCCGUGGCGACUGCAGUGCUGCCAGUAUCCGAGCCCGCCAGAAAGCAACCCCGACCGAGUCGGAGCGGAUUCCAGGCCCAUGGACUAUCCGAAGAAGAGGCCCGGAUCGGAGCCAUCGUAGAAAUCGUCAGCUCCAUGGUCGACCUCUCCCGGAAGGGCCAAAACAUUGACCUAAACGCCCUCAAGACCACCGCGUGCCGCAAGUACGGCCUCUCACGUGCGCCGAAGCUGGUCGAAAUGAUUGCGGCUCUGCCGGAGUCGGACCGUGAGGCUCUUCUCCCAACUAGCAUGUGCGCAAUUCGGGCAAGGUAUGGCUUUCUCUAGUUCAUUGACGCAUUUUAUCGAACACUUGAUAGGGAAUUGAAGUUUUAUGUUAUUCAUGAUUCGUUUCGAAGUUUAAAGUUUUUGGCUUGAUUGAUUUUUCACCAUGAAAUUGAGAGCUUUGUAAUGAAGAGAUUAUUUGAAGGAAUUGGUGUUUAAAAUUGGAUUAGUGAAGUUAAUUUGGUAGUUAAUCUUUUGGUUUUGUGUGUUUAUUUAGAUACAACCCAUAUGUUUAGAGCUUAAAGAAUUUACUUUCGGGUUUGCAGAUUUCCAUGAUAGAGUAAUAAGCAUAGUUGUCGACUUAUAACUGGGACUGAAUUUGUGUUUACAGGUCGAGUUCAUCUUAAUGGGCGGUACUUUCAUGUCGUUGCCUGCGGAUUACCGUGAUUACGAGCUCGUUUGAAUGCGCUUUUGAAAUGAUUGAAAACGCUUUUGGUGAAAAUAUUUUAAAACCAAUCAUUAGUAAAUAUGCAAGUAAAUCCUAAAAAAAUAUUUAAAGUGCUUCCUGGAAGAAGCACAUAAUUGGUGCUUCUUGCAGAAAGCACUUAAAGUGCUUUUGAAGCCCAAAAAUAUUUUUUCUAAAAGCGCUUUCAUUCAUUUUAAAAGCAUAUCCAAACGAGCCCUACUUUAUUAGAAAUCUGCACGAUGCGUUAUUGGGACACACUUCUGCCAAUGUUGAAGAGGCAGUUGCCUACUCUGAGCAUGGUGCUGCUAAAUGUAUUGGAAUGACCAUUGAAACGUGAGUUUUUAGUUUAUUUUCGAAGCCAUUAAUUUCUCAUUCUUGUGUUUAACUUGGUUGACAGUAAUUUUUAGCUUACCAUCUAGUUUCCAGUUCAUCUAGCUUACCAUUGAAGUGCAUAUAAACUUUUGUAAUGCAAAUCACACUGUGCUUAAUUGGGUGUUUUGUAGAAACCUUGUGAUAUAAAAUGAGUUAUCUUUUUUUUUUUCUUUUUAUUCGUGCACCAAGUGAGGUUAUUUUUCUACCAAGAGCCUGACAUUCUUUACUUUAACUUGGUGUAUUUUUACCCAUCACUCUCAAAUGGUAGUAUUGUUUACCAUCCUACACAUUUGAAACUUAAACAAAUAUAACGAUGAUAUUCACUACACAUAUUUCAAAACUUAAAAUAAUGUAAUUAUGAGAAUUUGAAGGUAAAAGAGUACCAUAAUGAUGAAGCAAAAACCUUGCAAGAGUUUAUAAAAGGUUAGACUACUUCUCAUAUUGUUAAUUAUUUUUAUAGUGAAACCUUAACUUUUCAUAGUAUCAGAGCAAGUUGGCCUACGUGUGAAGUCUAACGGUCACACGUGUUCCACGUCACCUAAUUCGUGUUGUUCACGUGUUUGGUUUGAAAAUUCGUUACAUGUGAACAACGCGUAAGAAUGUAAAAGUAAAAAAAAAUCUUAUAUUGAUAAAAGAAUAUCCUUUGCAAAAGUUUAUAAGAAAUUAGAAUACUUUUCAUAUUGUUUACUGUAUAAACUUUAAUAGGAGCUCACCUCGUUAAUGCACUCCUACGCCGAUUCUUAUCUCGAGUUUCAAGGUUUUGCAAAUUGCCACUUGCAUCAAAUUAUUACUUUUCUCAUGAUUCUCGGUCUUUGUCGAAAAGUCUACGUAAACCAUUUGACGUAUUAGUUUUGUCCAAAAACAGUGGCCUUUGUCCCAUUAAAUAUGGGCAAGAGUUUAGGAUCCUCUACGGUUUCUUUUUGUGAAAAUUUGAAGGAUUAAUUAAUCGUGUGUAUUUAUUGUACAUUGUGUAACUAGAAAUUAUUUAAAUUUUAUAUUUAAAAUUAAAUAUAAAAUAUUUAACGAAAAUUGAUCGUACAAUGUAUGAUGAACGAAUACGUUUAAUUGAUCAUCUGAUCUCAAAAAAAGAAUUCGAAGACCGAUCCUCGUGUUAUACCAAUUAGUUUAUAUGCACCUUGUUCGACCCCCAUUUUUAUUCACCACUAAAAAAAAUUAAAUUAAAUCUCGUUUUUUAUAAAUUCUUAAUCUUUCAUUUUUAUUAUCCCACCAGAAUAGGGACAAUCAAUUCACAUGGAAGAAUUUGUUUGGCCGAAUCAUUUCAUAGAAAUAUAUCAGUAUUUGAUUGAUCUAAAUUUAUAUGUAAUUUAGUAAUUAUUCAAUUUACCUAGUGACAAAAAAAAUGAAUAUAAUCAACUAAAAUGAGAAUCAUUCUUUAUAUUAUCUUUUUAAAAAUUGCACAUCGUAAAAAGAUACAGUAAAAAUUCUUACUGUGAUUAUGACUCGUAAUAUUUAAUUAUCUCCUAAUACUUACUUCCAAUUAUUUUCCAUUUUUCAUAAAUUUGUAAUCUUCUUCUCAUAUUUGAUAUUUUCAAAGUUCAUUAACAAAGGAGUCCAACAAUAACGUUAGUUAUAGCUUAAUGCAAUUGAAGCAUAUCAUUGCAACUCUUUUGUGAGCUUUCAUAUUCCCCGAAGUAUGUCAUUCUGCACUCUUACUACCAUACAUGAUACUUUCUAGAAUUUAUCUGGAAGAAAAUAUAACUAUAAGUGCUUAUGAGCUAUAUCUGAAUUUUUUGUUUUUUUAUUAUUAUUUUUUUCUUAUUAUAUAUGUCACUCAAGUUCAAAGCAUUCAAACUUGAACACAAAAUUUCAAAUUCGAUUUCUUCUUUAACAAUAUUGCUUGUAUAAAAAAAGGGGGUAAGUUAUUGAUUUGUACACCAUUAAGUUGAAUUUAGUUGCAAGUCUAAUCAAUAUUAUUUGGUGUUUUAUUUAAAUAAUUUAAGCAAGCAAAAAGGUCAUGUUUGUCGUGUUUUUGGUGUUUUCGUGUUCAUACCCGUUAUCGUAACGGGACGUGUCAUGUCGAACCUGUUACUUUAAUGAAUUCUUAACGAGUAAUCCAAUAACGACUCAAUUUGUUAACGGGUCGUGUCGUCUCAUGUCUCGUUAACAGGUCAUGGAAUAAUUUAAUACACCUAAUAUCUAGAUUUGGAUAAUGAUAUCUUAUUAGGUUCUUAGUAGAUGACUUGAUAACAAUUUUGGUCGUUAACAAAUCGCACUAUGUGCUAGUCAGGCGGCAAGCAGAGGCCUAGGCAGUUUUUUUUUUAAUUUUAAUUAAAUUUAGAAAAUUGCUAUUAGUACUCUAAAAAUCUAAUUGUACACUCCAUACUUUCUAUACUUAAAGUUAAUCAUUUUAUUCUCUGACACUUAAAAUUACGAAAAUACCCUUGACAAGCUUAGUGGAAAUCCUAAGUGGACAUUUAGGUUCUUGUCAUUCUUUGUCCCGUUCACAUCUUUCUAGGUAGUACAUGUCUUUAGAAACACAUGAGCACAAAAGAGGUGUAAAUCGAACUAUUUAUGCACAUUUUUCAAUGAGACAAAAUAAUAAUUUGCACCAUCAUGAAUCCAUAACUUGUUGGUUGUCAGUAUUGCAUGCUGCAAACUGUGAUAUUGAGGAGUUAUUCGUUGGAUUCGUUAAGCAAGUGGACAAGUAGACUCAUCUCUGUUUGUAUUUAAUAAUCAAGUCCCGUACAUAAUUAAUUAUUUUUUAGGCUUGAACCAAAGACACAUACAUACUCUCGUUCACUACGAUUGCGUGAACUCAAACUCAUUAAAAUUUGAAGAUACGACAAAAAUUUUACGAAACUCGAUAUCAAGAGAUUAUUAUAAUUCUACUUUGAUCAGUGCACUACCAAUUAUUUAAUGUUUUUUUUCAAAUAAUUGGUUUUGGUAGGUGGGACGUAUCCACGUGACCACUCCUCUUCCCGGUGUAGUUUCAUUAUUUCUCGAGAGAUUUACUGAAAUACAAAGUAGUACACCAUGUGUUACUAUAUCAAUGUUGAAAUAUAUGUGCUGAAAAAUUAAUAUCUUAACAAAUACAAUUUCCCACUACUUAUAUAAAAACACGUAAUAUACCACUUAUAUUCCCGUUACAAUGAAAAAUUUCUCCUUCCCCCUCAAGUUUCACUCAGCUGUGCCACACUCAUUCUCUUGAAAAAUUGUGAGUGAUACCCUCUUAAAACUUAAAAAUUGUGAGAGAUACCCUCUUAAGUUUCCACACUAUAAAAUUCUCAAUUUCUGCGCAUCGGAUUAGUAAAAAGUAGGAGUUGUAUACGUGUAAUUAGGGUUCACGUUUUGUAAGUUAUAGCUCCUCUAAAAGGAUUUCGAAUUUCGAAGUUAUCGACCAAAAAAACCCUCCCCCCUCACCAAACCAAUCUGGUGUAUAUAUAAUAGGGAGAAAACUUCCAUAAAACGAUAGAUGUAUAUACUAUUUCCUAAUAGUAAUAGAAGAAUAGUAAAAGGCAUGAGCACGAAAAGCGCUAGCGAGUCUUCUAAUGUAUAAGUUUUCUUACGAUAAUGUGUAUAUUUCAACUGGUGACAAUAUCCUUUUUUCUCCUCCAAAACAUCAAUGCUAGUCAGUUGAAGAUAAAGAGUAAUUAAGCUGCUAAUUUGGAGUGCAACGUUUGAACCUUGGACGGCUACCUAUAUUCUUUUAACUAGUGGAAAACAAAGAGACAAUGGUUUGGCACCUUUUAUUAAUAUUAUUAUGGCUUAAAUGUUAAAAUGGUCUCUGUGUUUUAGUCAUUGGGUUAAUUUAGUCCAUGUGUUUUCAAUUUGGCCAAUUUGGUCCUUGUGUUUAUUUCCGUUAGCCAAUUAAGGACAUUUCCAUUUAAUUUAUGUAAAAGAAUUAUAAAUUAUUAUAAACUUAUUUAUAAAAUUAUAAUUUAUUUUAUUUAAAACAUUUAACAUGGAAUAAAAUUAAAAAUUUAAAAGAAAAAUUAUCCUCCUCCCAACUCUCCGACUUCCUCCCUAACAUUACCCCGUCUCAUUUCUAUGUCACAACCUUCAUCAUUUUUCAAAUUGGAAGUUUUAUUUCGUAUCGGUGUUAUUUCUCAUUGAUUUGUAUUUUUCUGUAUAGAAAAAAGAUAAUUAUUUCUCAUUUGAUUUUUCUUAUAAAUUUUUUAAAAGAGAUUGAAUGAAAUGUUCUCAAUUAGCUAACAAAGAUAAAAAUGAGGAUUAAAUUAACCAAAUAAAAAAUACGAAGACUAAAUUGACCAUAUAACUAUAACACAUGAACCAUUUUAAUAUUUAAGCCUAUUAUUAUUUUCCAUUUCGUUAAUUUAAUUGCUUGCGUUACUCACAUCUUUUAAGGUAUCAUAUACUUUACCUUUUCUUUAUUUUAUUAUUAUUGGCUUCUAUUCAUAUGGUCCGGAAUCAAACUAUUUAUAAUUCAUUGUCCUCCACACUUACUUUUUAGGGAAAAUUUGAAAUAAGUUCAAUUUUAUAGACUACUUUUGAAAUAAGUUCAAUUUUUAGUUGUUUUGUAUCCAUAUCAAAAUAUCCCUACUUUUUAAAGGCUAUUCCCUUUUAUCACCCAACUUCCAAUGAAGAAAAAAACUUUUUGUCAACCAUUUUUGUUUGACAAAUUUCCCACAUUAUGCCUCUACAAACAUCAACUUAAAAAAAAAAGUUUCAAUAUAAUGAAUUCUUAAUAGGUGGCCCAAAUUAAGACUUGAUUAGUUAACAAAUUGUGUUAUUUUAUGUCCAAUUAACGGGUCAUGUAAGAAAUUAAUAUACCUAAUAUCUAGAUCUGAAAAACGAUAUAUUAUCAGUACACCAGCAGUUAAUCAGUUGUGUUAUUUCAUGUUCAGUUACACUAAAUAACGUGUUACCAAUAAAAAAUAAACACGUUAAUUAACUCUUAAGUAAUGAUCAAUUCACCAAUUUUCAUGUGAUUUAAUUUACAAUUUUAAUCUAAAAUUUUAGUCACUCAAACAUUACUCUACUCUUAUCAGUACACCACCAGUUAAUUAAUAUAUUUAAAAAAAAUCUGAUCGGUGGGACGCACCCACUUGACACUCUUCUUCCCCGUGUAGUUUGACUCUUUCCCUCGGAAAAUUUUUAGUUAUGACGGAAACACGAAUGGUACAUUACGUGUUUUUAUGCAAAUGGUAGAAAAUUUUAAUUUUUAAGUUAUUAAACUUUUAACAUACAUAAGCCAUCAUUUAUAUAAAAAAACGUAAUGUACCAUUUCGUGUAACGAAAACACUGAAAAAUCUCUCAUUUCCCUCACGUUUCCCUCAGUUAUGUCACACUCAAUUGUCUCAAAACACUCAAACAGUCAAACUCUCUCAUUCUCUCUCUUUCAACUCUCGCCAUCUCUCCCUUCUCUCUCUCUUUCAACUCUCGCCGUCUCUCCCUUCUGUGCGUCACAGAGAAGCCGAGCACCAGAGAGGGGCCACCCCACCGGACCAUCAAACCUCUGGCUCUCAUCUCUGUCACACACUCUCUUUCGACCCUCUCUAUGUGCACGCUGCACAGAAACGCAGCAGGAACACCACCCUCAUUUGCCAUUUUUGAUCGACCGAGGUAAGGGUCUGGACCACUGGAUUGAUUUUCCCUUGUCAUUUUGAUGAAGAUUGACUCCUUGCAUGCAUGUUUUUACGAGGUUGGAGUGCAGAAACAAUUCGGGAAACAUGUCCCCUUUUUCCGGCAAGGAGACCCGUAAGCCUCCUUGUUUUUUCUUUAUUUUUAAUUGAAAAUAUACAUACUCAAAUUUUAUAUAAUCUAUACUAUUAUACUAUUAUUAAGAAAAGAGGCCUUGUGAAAAUCUUUACUACUGCGUGAGCUAGUAGCUCACCCGUGACAUGUGUUGAAUCAGAGAUUUGAAAAGUAGUUGAUUUCGAUGGAAGUGUCAAUAAACUUUUGUAAUGUAGAUUAGAUGCGUUUGAGUGUUUUGUUGAAACCUUGUGAUGUAUAAUAUCAUAAUAUGAGUUCUUUUCAUUUUCAUUCGUGCCCCAGGAGAGGUUAUUUUUGGGAUGUGAUAUCCACACAUCAAAUUUUACUUCUUACAUGCCUUUUUAAUUUUCGAUCGUCGGAUCGAAUGAAUUAAAAAAGAUCAACCGACAGAAAUUAAUAAGAAGUGUAUGAGAAGUAAUUUGAGAUGUGUGGAUAGCACAUCCUUAUUUUUUUUUACUGAUUUGAAUCUUGAACCCGACACUUCCGUACUAUAACUUGGUGUACUUUUGCUUACCACUAUGAAUGAAUGGAUAUUAAUGUUCAUUACUCUACUUAUUAUUAUUAGAAGAUUUUAAAUUUCGUCUAUUCUGCUUGUAUAUUGAAAUUUAAAUUAAUGUUUACACAUAUUUUGAAUUUAAAAUUUAAACUAAUGUAACGAUAUUUAUUACAUAUUUUGAAAUUUAAAUUAUGUAACAAUGAUGAAUAAAAUAGUGAACAUCAGCAAAAUUAUUUCCUAUAAAUUUUAAUACGAUCUCGAUUCUCACCUCGUUAAUGCAUCCUACGCGGCUUCCUAUCUCGAGUUUCAUGGUUUUGCAAAUUGCCAUGUGCAUCAAACUAUUACUUUUGUCCAAAAGUCUUGGUCUCUGUCGAAAUGUCUUCGUAAAGGUAAUGCUAGGGAGUUUAAGGAAAUUUAGUUAAUUUUUUUUAGAUUUUAUGAAAAGUUUUGAUUCAGCUCCUUUCAAAAUUCUAGAAGGAGAGGGUAGAUUUGUGAAUGCUUAAAAUAGCACAACAAAAUUUCUCAAUUCCCUCAAAUUUCUUAACUUUUUAAAUUUUUAAUUGAAUACACAUAGAAUGUUAUAAACUUUUUUGAAGUCCUAAUUGUAUAUCUCCAGAUUUUUAAUGAUUUUAAUAAUCUAUAUUAAAAUUCUGAUUGAAUACAUGUUAAAUUUCAGAAAAUUACAUAAAAUCCUAAUUGAAUACUCAUAAAUUUAUUAAAAGAAUUAAAGUCUCUCAAAUUGUUAAUUGAAUACACAUUCCUAAAUUUGUAGACAAAAUGUAAAAUAAUGAUGUGUUACCAAUAAAAUAAGCUUUUAUCAAAAUUUAAGUAAUAAUUCAUUCAUCAACUUUCAUAUUAUUUAAUUUAUAAAAUUGUAUCUACAACUUUUGUCUCGCCACAUUACCCCUUCGUAAAUAAUUGAUGUAUUAGUUUUGUCCAUACCCCCACCCUCUCCUCACUCCUCUUUUUACUCUGCUAACCAAUUCUUUUUUAUAAAUCUUGUUUUUCGUAAAGAUUUUUCAUUUUUAUUAUCCCACGAGAAUAUGUACAAUCAAAUUAUUUUUUAAACAAACGAUUUUAAAUAGAAGAAUUUGUUAGGCCGAAUUAUUACAUAGAAAUAUUGGUUGAUCUAAAUUCAUGUAAUUUGGUAACUUACCGAUUGACCCAAAAACAAUGAAUAAAUCGACUGUAAAGAUAAUCAUUACCUAUAUUUCGUAAACAAAUACAGUAAAAAUUUGACUCAAUAAUUAAAUUAUCUCCUAAUAGGCUAAUACUUACUUUUAAUUAUUUUCCAAUUUCAUAAAUUUGUAAUCUUCGUCUUCUUCUCAUAUUUGAUAUUUCAGAGUUCAUUAAUGAAGGAAUCCAACAAUAACGUAAGUUGUAGCUCAAUGCAAUUGAAGCAUAUCAUUGCAACUCUUUUGUGAGCUUUCAUAUUCCCCAGUGUAUGUUAUUCUGCACUCUUACUGCCACAUAUAAUAUCCUUCUAGAAUUUAUCUGGAAGAAAGUAUAAGUGCUUAUGAGAUAUAUCUGAUUUUUUAGUUUUACUUUUUUCUUCUUAUUUUAUAUAUGUCACUUAGGUUCAGAGCAUUCAGCCUUCAACACACAAGAUUUCAAAUUCGAUUUCUUCUUCAACAAUAUUGGUUGAAUGAAAAAAAAAGGGUAAGUUGUUGAUUUGUACACCAUGAAGAUGAAUUUGGUUGUAGGUCUAAUCAUUAUUAUUUGGUGUUUUAUUUAAAUAAUUUUAGCAAGCAAAUGUCAUGUUUUAUUUUUCGUGUCAUACUCAUUAUCUUAACGAAUCGUAUCGUAUCAAACUCGUUAUCUAAAUGAAUUCUUAACAGGUAAUCUGAUAAUGACUCGAUUCAUUAAUGGAUCAUGCCGUUUCAUGUCCAGGUCAUGCAAGAAUUUAAUAUACUUAAUAUUUAGAUUUGGCAAACGAUUUCUAAUAAGGUUCUCAACGAGUGACUUGAUAAUGAAUCAUACUAGGCGCAAGUCGGGCAACGAGCAAGGGCUAGCCUAGGCGGAGAGCCUAGGUGGUUUUUUUAAUUUUAAUUAAAAGAGAAUUGCUAUUGGCACUGCAAAAAUCUAAUUGUACACUCCAAACAUUUUAUAUUUAGAAAGAAAAAAAAAUCUUAUGAAGAGUAUACAGAGUGCCAAUAAUAAUUGCCUAAAUUUAUUAUAUAACAUAUAUAUAAACAUUUACCUAUACUUAAAAAAAUACAUAACAUUAUGUACAUAAAUUGCAAAAUAAAAGACAUAUAUAUUAUAAAGUAUUAGAACAUAUUGAAACAUAGGGAACAAACCUAAAAUAUUAUUUGUAAGCAUAAGCCUAUCGCAUGACAUCCUUGCAUCUUACUUGCUUAUUGUUACAUGUUUGUACAACGUAUCUUAGUUAUUUGUACUGUCCUGGGCCAAGGACCAACUUCAUUGUAUAUUCAUAUACACCAUUUACGUUCGCUUUGGAUCCAGAGUUAGGUGCCAGCAUGUCUCUAGGUUAGAUGUUUGGACUCAUAUGUGAUGCGCUUAGCGCCCGCUUCAUGUGAUGUAGUACUAGAACGUAAAAUCUAAACCCAACAUUUUCCAUUGUCAAAAUAUCUCUGAAAUGGACUUGUGCGCGUACAUACAUUAAUGAGCAGUGGCUUAUGCUUUGAGAUGACUGUUGUAUACGUACUCUGUAUUCUUCGACUUACGAUAUAUGUCGGACACUAUAUAGUAGUACGUUGUAUUAUUAUUUUAGGGAACAAUAUACUUGUUUUACAGUGAGGGGUUACAAGUUUUCGAAAAGGUUUUCCAAGCUUUAUUUUGUAGGCCCACUCACCCUUAUUUGUCUUCCCGCUAGGAUUUAAGUGGUAGAGCUUUUAUGACAACGAGGAUUGCUGGCAAGAGCUGACAUAUAGGAGGAUUUCUCCCUUCGGUAUAAAUGUUCCUUAUCUUUUACUAUAAGUUACUUGUAUAUGUCAUCACUUGUGUGAAAAGUGUUUAACUCCACCAACAUGUGCACUCUAGAAUUAGUUGCUCUAGGUUUAAAUUAGUCUGCACUUUCCACAUCACCAUUACUUUAUGGCUUCGUCACCUUCCAGGUAUUGGCCAACACAACUCAAUUCGGUUGUCCAGGUGGACAUUUUGGGUCGGGGUGUGUCAUAAUAAGUGUUCAUCCAAUUAUUUAAUUAGUCUAUUACAAUUUAUUAAAAAAAUUACAAUGAAAAUUAUCUAUUUUUUGUAUAAGUAAGAGUUUUGACUUAGGCAGUCUAGGCGGGCGCCUAGGUAGGUUUAGGUAGACAAAAUUGUCAGGCCUUUGUGUAGAGUUUAAUCUGCUGUACCCAAAAUAUUUUGUUCUUCUUUUCGAUGUGCGCACUUUCACUUAACAACAAUUUUGUGGAACUUGUCAACUGCAACCCACAAGGAAUUGGAACUCAUUUUUGUCCUUAACACUGACAAAAAACCAUGAUGUUUGGUGGAAGAAUUAGAUUGAAUGAGUUCUCGGGUUCGAGACUUGGGAGCAGCCUCUCCAUUAAUGGGGGUAAGGCUAGCCAACAUUCACCUCUCCCAGACCCUGCGUAAAGCGGGAGCCUUGUGCACUGGGUACGACCUUUAUAGAUUUUUGUUCUUGAACCAAAUUCUUUAAUUCUGUGUUCUUGGAAAAAAGACUCAAGAAGGUAGUUUUCGGAAUUUUCGACUGAGUUUGGCCCUUUGUUUGUUAAACUAAAUGAAAGUCAAGAACAGAAAUUUAAAUUUCUUGAGUACUAGACAAUUUUGGUACCUUAUUUAGAUCUUGAUUUCUUUUGUCUUGUAGUUUUGUUUUGAAAACUAAGCACAUAGUUUGUAAAAUAAAAAAGUUUAUCCAUUGCAUUCUAUUUCUUUUUCUGUUGUUUUGAAACUUGUCUAUUCUGCAAAUAGAUUGCAUACCAAGUAUCGAAGGCCAAAAUGGAGUCAGCUGCAUCACUAUUGAUUGGGAAAAUUGCGGCCAUUCUUGAGAAUGAAGCAUCUUCCAUAGCGGCAGUCCGUGAUGAAGUUGAUGAGCUUAAGCUAGAGCUCAUAAGCAUGAAAUCUUUCUUAAUAGAUGCUGAAGGCAAGGAACCACAAACAGAAGGAGUGAAAACGUGGGUUACAAGCGUCAGAAAUUUGACCUGCGAUGCGGAAAAUGUCAUUGAUGAGUUCCUGUAUCACAUUUAUGACAAGCAAAGUGCGACUCCAUCUGCAAAAUUGCUCCACAGAACCAUUUACUUUCCAAAGAAUCUUUGGUAUAGGCAUCGAAUAGCCAAAAAAUUACAGAAAAUCACAAAAAAGAUCAAAGCCAUUCCAGAGAGGAAUGAGAGAUAUGGUGUCUCUACAAUAGAAGGAACAAGUUUGGAUAGUGUUCCCAGAUGGGUGAAGAACAAAGCCCAGUCUUCUCUUUAUAUUAUGGAAGAUGAACUAAUCGGGAUUGAAGACAAGAAGCAAACGUUAUUGGGAUUGUUGAUGAAUGGAGAGGAAAAUGAAAUGGUUGUGUCUGUGGUCGGGAUGGGAGGAUCAGGCAAGACAACUCUUGUUGCCAAUACCUUCAACAACGAAAAUGUAAAGCGACAUUUUGACUGUUAUGCAUGGAUCACUGUUUCUCAAACUUAUGUGAUCGAAGACUUAUUCAAAAAUCUGAUCAAGCAAUUCCACCAAGGAAGAAAGGAAGAGGUGACUGAACAUUUGAAUUCCAUGAGUUAUGAAGAAUUGUUAGAGAUGUUGUCGACAUACUUGAAGUCUAAAAGGUACCUAAUUGUAUUGGAUGAUGUGUGGGAUAUUAAACUUUGGCAAGAAAUAAGGAUACCACUUCUUAAUAGACAUCAUGGAAGUCGAAUCAUGCUUACAACUCGAAAGAAAGACAUAGCUUCGUAUUCUUUUGAAGUUGAAAGUUGUCCUCUUGAAAUUGAACCCUUGGAAAACAAUGAAGCUUGGGAGCUCUUUAGCAAGAAAGCAUUCUCAACUUACGAUAAUAAAUCGUGUCCACCAGAGCUUGAAUCAUUAGCAUGGAAACUUGUGGAAAAGUGUGAAGGCCUACCUCUGGCAGUGGUAACUUUAGGUGGUCUAAUGUCUUCCAAGAGGUCAUCAUCGGAAUGGAGAAGAGUAUACAAUAGCUUAAAUUGGCACUUGACUAACCAUCCUAUGCUAGAAUCAAUGAGCAGCAUCUUGUUGCUUAGUUUCAACAAUUUGCCCAACCGGUUGAAGCCAUGUUUCCUAUAUUGUGCCCUUUUCCCAGAAGAUUAUCUCAUCAGAAGAAAAAGGUUGAUCAAGUUGUGGAUAGCUGAAGGGCUUGUUGAACCAAUUGAUGGUGUCACACCAGAAGAAGUUGCAGAGGACUAUCUUAUGGAACUUACUGGUCGUAGCAUGCUACAAGUUGAACUAAGGAAUGAAGCUGGAAGACCAAAAGCAUGUAAGAUGCAUGAUCUUAUGCGUGAGCUUGCUUUGUCGACAUCAAAAAAAGAAAAGUUUGGUGCAACAUAUGUUAGCCGAGAUAUAGUAGAUAAAGCUGAAAUCCGUCGAUUGUCAAUUCAAACAGCUGAAGGGGAAAUUAAUUCUUGCACAGGUAUGUCAGAGCUUCGCUCCUUUCUUGUCUUUGGCACGUUAAAGAAAUUGCCUUCUGGAUUCAAGUUGUUGAGAGUUCUAGAUCUGGAGGAUGCCCCAAUUGAUAGAUUUCCAGAUGAACUAGUGUACUUGUUCAACUUAAGAUAUUUAAAUUUGAAGGGAACUUUAAUUGAAGAGCUUCCAGAAUCCAUCGGACGGCUUCGCAACCUUCAAAACUUGAACAUCCGUGACAGUAAGAUAAAGGCACUUCCAAAAGCAAUCUCCAAGUUAGUAAACCUACGCCAUCUAACGAUGUAUCGUUACACUAAUUAUCAUUAUGGCUUUAUGUAUGUCAUUGGGAUAAAACCAGCAUCCGAUCUAAGUAACUUACAGAAACUGCAAGUUUUGCAAUCUGUUGAAUCAGAAGGAAAGAUUAUUAAAGUCAUUAGGAAUAUGACCCAACUUACAAGCCUCGGUAUUACAAAUGUGAAAGCAAGUGACGAGAUGGACCUCUGUGACUCCCUUCAAAAGUUAGAGCUCCUUCACUAUUUGUUUUUGAUGGCAAGUGAUGAAGAGGAGUUUCUUCGAGUUAAUGCACUACGUUCGCCUCCUCCAGACCUUCAAAAGGUUUAUUUGGCCGGAAAACUAGAAAAGGUACCUCUUUGGUUUGGUUCACUCUAUAACCUGACACGUAUGCAGCUAUAUUGGUCUAGACUUGAAGAAGAUUUGCUACCACACAUUCAAGCAUUGCCGAAUCUUGAGAGGCUUGAGCUAGUUAAUGCAUAUGUUGGCGAAAAAUUGUGUUUCUCCAGAGGCUUCAUAAAGCUUAAGCGUUUGGAUUUGCGCAACCUCCCCUUAUUGAAUAGUAUAGCUAUAGAGAAAGGGGCGAUGCCAAAUCUCCAGGUCUUAGACAUUUGGGAAUGCAUGGAGUUAAAGACAUUGCCAGAGGGCAUUGAGCUCCUUGCUAACGUAGAACGCUUGAUUCUGGGUCAUGUUCCAAGGCAACUUAUAGAGUCCGUAAAAAGAGGCAUGGAUCAUCCAAAGGUACAACACAUUCCUGAAAUCAGCCUGUAUUACAUGGGACACCAUGAACGAUUGUCCGGUAUUCACUCUCGUAGAAGGUAUGCACACUUUUAUCCGUGCAUAAAAAUUUGAGUAAUGCUAGACUUAUCACAUUUUACAUACUAUAUUUGUACCACCUUUUUAAUAGAGGUAGGGUCCAUCAACAUAUGUGGGUCUCAUUUCAAUUAGAGAGGUGAUACAAAUAUGGUAUGAAAAAUGUGGUAAGAGUAGCAUUUUUGUAAAAAAAAAAUCCACAAUGUAAUCAUUUGAACUAUAUUCCUCUUGUUUUUGUUCGUUAUUAUUUUGAUUUAUUCAAUUCUAAGGCUACGAAAAAGAGGAAGUAGUGCAUCGGAGUGUAAAAAUCAUUUUGCCUUAUAAUUUGCAUGUUCAAUCUUAUUCACAAGUCUGGCAAAGACAUAAUAUAUACAUGCAUUGAGAUUUUAUUCAGUAACUGUGUUUCUUUUGUCUUUUAAUAUCCUUUUUGUAGAAUCAAGCCUCAGAAGCACUUGUGAGACUGCAGUGGGUUCUCUUUUUUGCCAAUUGAUUUUGUGGUGAAUCUUGACUUUCGUUAUAGUAACAGAGCAGACUAUAUACGUGUUGAGUCAUUCACCCUGCAAGGAAGAAUCCGUUUGUUGUUUGUGUAUUGUGUGAAGUUGCAAACAUUGAUCGAUCUUGGUUUCUUAUUUGCCCUUUUUGAAAUUGAAUAAUGCCCAAUAUUCUAUUUGUGUAACUGAAACUUAUAUUGAUUGCUUGCGUGUGUUUUGAUGUAAUAAUAUUAGUUUGGAACUGAAUGUGUCACUGAUGAGAAUAAUGCCCAAGAUUCUGUUUGUGUGUAACAGGAACUUAUAUUAUUGUUUGCUUGCGUGUAUUUUGAUGGAAUAAUAUUGAUUUGGAAUUGAAUAUGUCACUGAUGAGACCAAUUCUAACUAAACCAAUGGUUAUGACCCAUUUUUCAUUUUCAAUAUUUAUUGUUUUUUUUUUCAAGUUUUCAAAUAUAUAUUGUUUUAGGAAGGUAAAUUUUGUGGCGAUGCUUUAGCUCACUAUGGUUUAUUCUGAGAAAUUAUUAGAUGGUACGGUAUUACCAUGUCGGGUGAUACUUCCAUUCAAAUUUUAACAUGAGUGCAGUUUCUUACAGCUGGAUUAAAAAGCUUUUUUAAUUAAUUUUUUUUUUCAGUUUAAACAAAAUUAAAAGAAAAAAAAAAUUCUCAGCUCCUUCCGCCAAAAGCCCCAGUUCCCCACCACCACCUUCAUUCCCUGCCAUCAAUUGCCAUGACUGCCUUCCUCCUGAGAAAUCACAUCCACCGUCAUAAGAAAUAAUAUCAACCUUAAAGAAUUAAUAUUCACCUUCAACAUCCAGCAAUCAGUCCCCAGUGGCUCCUCAAGGACUCAGCCAUCGAAAUCCCCCAAACCCCAACGAAGUCGGAGUUUCGAACGGCUCCCUGCCGAAAUCCCCAUCUCCAAACACCGCCACGGGUCUCCAACAUCCGUUGAACUCGGCGUCGUCUUCCUCCGUUCCACGUCUGUACAAAUGGCAAGUUUGAAGUGAAAGUACCACAACUGACGUGGUGAUACUGUAUCAUUCUACAAUUUCUCGUCUCACGCUAGCUAACCCUCAUUUUUGGGACCAUUGCUUGCCUUAUCGACCAUAAUGCUUGUAUGGGAUAGAUGUAUAAGAAGAUUUAGCCUCUAAUAGAAAUUUCUUUGUUGAUAAAAAAAAAAAAUGUGUGCAUAUAUAUACCGUAUUAGAAGAAAAUAAGUGAUUUUUGUAAAGUAAAUAAAUAAUAAGAAUAAUGUUAAGUACACUAAAUGAUGUGGCCCAAUCAAAAUUUUACUUUAAUUCAAGUUUGAUUUGAUUAAUAAUUGUAAUAAAAAUUUAUAUGGUGUUAUACGUGUCAUAUCAUUUAGUGAACACAUUUGGCACAUAAAUUUGGUGUAUAUAGCAUCACCCAAAAAAUAAUAUUAAAUGGGUGGUGUUAUUCAUAUUUCAUACACUCAUUUUUACAUCUUACACAUAUUUUUCAAUUUCAGGUCGUCAGAUCAAAUAAAUUGAAGAAAUCAAUGAACAAAAUCAACAAGAAUGUAUGACAAAUAAAAAGAAGUGCGUAAAUAGCAAUGUACUACCCUAAUAAUAAUAUGAUUGACCGGUUUGUGUAAAUAUCUUACUAAUACCAAAAAAAAAAAUAAAUGAUAUUCAUUAAAAACCUUUGUCAAUGUACAAUGCACAAAUCUCACAUUCCUAAGGAAUUUAUGUAUUUUACGUUAAGAAUUUUACGUUAAGAAUAUAUAUGUCAUAUCCCGGCCCGGGGCGGAUCACUUCCCGGGCCUGCUCCACCACCAUAGCACGAUAUUGUCCAUUUUGGGCCCCGACCACGUCCUCACGGUUUUGUUUCUGGGAACUCACACAAGAACUUCUCAGUGGGCCACCCAUCAUGGGAGUGCUCUCGCGCCCUACUCGCUUAACUUCAGAGUUUGGAUGGAACCCGAAGCCAGUGAGUUUCCAAAAGGCCUCGUGCUAGGUAGGGAUGAGAAUAUACAUAUAAGGAUCACUCUCCCUGGGCGAUGUGGGAUCUUACAAUCCACCCUCUUUAGGGGCCCGACGUCCUCGUCGACACAUCACAGUCAGGGUUAGGCUUUGAUACCAAUCUGUCACAUCCCAGCUCGGGGAGUAUCACUUCCCGGGCUCGCUCCACCAUCGUAGCACGAUAUUAGCACGAUAUUGUCCGCUUUGGGCCCCGACCAUGCCCUCACGGUUUUGUUUCUGGGAACUCACACGAGAACUUCCCAGUGGGUCACCCAUCAUGGGAGUGCUCUCGCGCGCUACUCGCUUAACUUCGGAGUUCCGAUGGAACUCGAAGCCAGUGAGCUCCCAAAAGGCCUCGUGCUAGGUAGAGAUGAGAAUAUACAUAUAAGAAUCACUCCUCUGGGUAAUGUGGGAUCUUACAAUAUAUAUAUAUUAUUGUUCUUUUUUGAGCAAACGAUAUUAUAUAAUUAAGGGGAAGUUGAGCUCUUAUAUGACGGCUUGGGUUCAAAUCCUGUCGUAGCUUAUCUAACAAAAUCUAUCGUUUAACAAGAAAAAAAGGGGGAGGGGUAUGAUGUGGUUCAAAUUCGUCUUUGACGAGAAUCGAACCUAAGACCUAUCACUUACAAGUGAAGAGGAAUACAACUAUAUCAUAAUAAUGAGUGGCUUUAGGUUAAGAAUAUUAACAAAGAGAGCAUUCUAGAAUUUAGAGGUUGGGGUGUGAUAUCCACAUACCUUUUUUUUACUUUUCACACAUCCUUCUAAUUUUCAGCCGUUGGAUAAGGUGAAUUGAAGAAAAUCAAAGGGUAGAAAUUAACAAAAAGUGUGUGAGAAGUAAAAAGAUGUGUGUGGAUAACACACCCAUAGAGGUUGUGGUGUUUCAAACAAGUUCAGUUGAUAAUGUUCUCACAUGAUUGACAAAUGACAAAGAAUGCAUUCUAGAAUUUGCCGCACGGCCAACAUGAUCCGUCGGUUGUAAAUGUUUAGAAGACCCUAAAUUAUACGUGCCAAGAGCUACAUAGACCUUAUUCGGAAUGGGUACAUAAGUACAAUGUAUGACGUUUUAUGCUAAUAAAACAAUGUUGACAUGUGUAGGUUUCUCUUUACAAGACAAUUUAUCAUUGAAAUAAGAUGCUAUAGUGAUAGUAUAUUUGUGUCAUGUAAGUUACUUUCAUAAAAUAAAUAUUGUGGAGCCAAAAAUAAUUCUAAAAAUUCAGAAGACGACACGUGUACUUUAUUCCGAAGAAGACAAGAUUGCCCUCAUUAAAUUGGAAGGGGCAAACAAAUACUCGCACGUGCAACUUCGCGGGAAGUUCAAGCAGCUAACUACGACUGCUUAAACCUCUCUUGGGGGAAGUCAUAAGUAUUAAAUAUAGGGUUAAUUACUAAAUCUUAUUUUUAAUACAUUCUCAAUCGAAGAUCAACUCAAUUAAGUAAGGAAUCCCUACAUAUCACAAUCAAUUAGGGAUGUUUCCACCAUUAUCCCAAGAUAGUUUCUCCUAAUUAAUAUAUUGGGAAUAUUUUUUCCUCAUUCAUCCAACGGAUGAGAAACGUUUCUUUCAUAUGAAGAAACUCGCCAGUUAUUCCUUCUAUAUUUGUGAUAGAGUGCAUCUUCACACGAAAGGAUCAUUCUGUUCUUGUCAUGUGAAAUAUGUGUUUCUCGGAUUUGCAUAGUAAUUUUGUGCACAGAAUCUUAUGGCUUCAGUUUUUUCCAGGUGAGCAGGUUGUGUAACUUGAUUUUGUUAUUAUUCUUUUUGUAAACACGAUAUUCUCGUUCGGUUGCUACGAUUAUCAGUGUGGCCGGAAUACUACUUGUCCCAAACGCAUGGGGAAGUGCUCUAUAUUGUUCGUGAACUCCGCGUGUUAUGGGACUGCUGCUGUUCCAGUUCAUGGGUGGAUUCUGACAAGCUGCAACACCAGGUAAUGUAGCUUGUACAUCAACUGUUUCAUGUUUCCGUAAGUGGUGAGAUAAAUUUGUUGGGUCUGAUUGAUUCAAACAGGAUUAUGGUACCCUUUUGAUGGAGGAGGCCAAGCGGUUUGCUAGCCAGGAGCAUCGAUAGAAAAAGACUGCUUGAGCUUGAAGGGAAACACCCAAAAAUAAGACUAAGGUUAGACUUUAUACAACAAAUGACUGAGACUUUAUUGUUAGCAUAUUGAAUAGAAGGACGACGUCCAAAUAAUACAAAUUUUGAACAGCCCGAACCACCUCCUAACGAAUAUACCUAGCUAUUUUUCUUGUGUUACUUUUUCAUUCUCUAUUCUUCAUGUUGAUUUCCAUAUUGAUCUUCUGCUUCGGACUGUGAACAGAAUUGAAUCAAAAGAACCAUAUGAGGAAACCAACAUCAAGUGCGCAACGGAAAAGUUGCUCCUUUUGUGACAGAAAGGUCACGGUUCAAGUCGUGGGAACAAUCUAUGUGCAGAGUAAGGGUAAGACUGUAUACGAUAGAUGUCCCCCUCCUGACCCUCACAAAGUGGAAGACUUGUUGGCUUGGGGUCGCCCUUUUACUUUUUGAUUCUUAAAUCUUGAUGCUGAUGUCUGUCUUGCUCUUCCGCUUCGAACUCUAUCCUUUAAAGAUAUAAUUAUCGGCUACGAACUGAUAAAUUUUAGUUAGAAACCCUUUCAUUUCAGAUGAAUAAGCUCUGACAAAAUUCGUCAUUUGGCUCAAAAAAUUGAACCCCAUAGGAAAUUUACAGCUUCAACUAUGAGAAUUAUGCAUUGCACACUCUUGGUAAUAUAGCUAACCAAAUUUAUGAAACCUUUUACCCCUUCGACUAUUUUGCUUCCUGAAAUGAGUUUCAUGACUUUGAAUAGACAUUUAAUUCCUUUCUUGAUAUUGUCCACCAAAAUCUCGAAAAACUUUUGAGUCUGCUACCAUGCACAUGAGGAGCAAGCUUUCUGGCAAUGGGUUUUACUUGGUCCUCAAUAAUAUAUCAACCUCUGAUCGAGUCGCCCCACUCUGCUUAUUCUCCAAAACCUUUGUCAUCAGUUGUUGAAUGCAUUCCAACUUUGGCCUCUCUCUCCCUUCAAGCUUUCAUAAAUCGUCUUUCCAACAACUUGCUUAACGAUCUCAAACUCAGACAUUAACUGAACAUUAACUUCUGACCUCAUUGACGCAUUCUGCUUUCUUCCAAUAAUCUCGAAGACCAUAGUGAUGAGUUCUUGUUCCUCUAAACGCUCCCUUGCCAUUUCUUGUUCUUUCUUUCUGUAUAUGAGUUUGAGAUCGUUAAACAAGUUGUUGGAAAGCCAAUUUAUGAAAGCUUGAAGGGGGAGAGGGCCAAAGUUGGAAUGAGAACUCAUCAUUAUGGUCUUCAAGAUUAUUGGAAGAAAGCAGAACGCGUCGAUGAGGUCAGAAGUUAAUGUUCAGUUAAUGUCUGAGUUUGAGAUCGUUAAGCAAGUUGUUGGAAAGCCGAUUUAUGAAAGCUUGAAGGGGGAUAGAGGCCAAAGUUGGAAUGCAUUCAACAACUGAUGACGAAGGUUUUGGAGAAUAAGCAGAGUGGGGCAACUCGAUCAGAGGUUGAUAUAUUAUUGAGGACCGAGUUUGAAAUCAUUAUGAAGCGCGUUGCUAAAAAUCCAUUGCCAGAAAGCUUGCUCUUCAUGUGCAUGGUAGCAGACUUAAAAGUUUUUUGAGAUUUUGGUGGACAAUAUCAAGAAAGGAAUUAAAUGUCUAUUCAAAGCCGUGAAACUCAUUUCAGGAAGCAAAAUAGUCGGACGGCUAAAAGGUUUCAUAAAUUUGGUUAGCUAUAUUUCCAAGAGUGUGCAAUGCAUAAUUUUCAUAGUUGAAGCUGUAAAUUUCUUGUGGGAUCAAUUUUUUGAGCCAAAUGAAGAAUUUUGUCAGAGCUUAUUCAUUUGAAAUGAAAGGGUUUCUAACUAAAUUUAUCAGUUUGUAACCGAUAAUUAUAUCUUUAGAGGAUAGAGUCCGAAGCAGAAGAGCAAGACUGACAUGACCAUGGCCAUCAAGAUUUAAGAAUGAAAAAGUAAAAGGGCAACCCCAAGCUACCAAGGUUCUCCGCUUUGCUAACAUCUAUCGUAUGCAGCCUUCAAAGGAACAAGCACUCAUCGUGAUGGUCUUCGAGAUUAUUAUAAGGAAGCAGAAUGUCGACGAGGUCAAAAGUUGAUGUUCAGUUAAUGUUCGUGUUUGAGGUCGUUAAGCACUCAGUUGCUAGAAAACCGGUUUCUAGAAAGCUUGAAUGGGGGGAGAUGUCAGAGUUGGAAUGCAUUCAAGAACUGAGGACAGAGGUUUUCAAGAAUGAGCAAAGUGGAGCAACUCAAUCAAAGGUUGACAUAUUAUUGAGGAGUUUGAAAUCGUUAUGAAGCGCGUUGCUAAAAAACCCGCUGCCGAAAAGCUUGCUCGUGCUGUACGUGGUGGCAGACUUGUGAAGUUGUUCAAGAUUUUGGUGAACAACAUCAACAACGAAAUUUAAGGUCUAUUCAAAGCCGUGAAACUCAUUUCAGGAAGCAAAGCAGCCGAAGAGUUGAAAGGUUUCAUAAAUUUGGUUGGCUAUAUUUCGAAGUGUGUGCUAUGCAUAAUUUUCAUAGUUGAAGCAGGAAGGUAGCCCAAUAUUCUUCGUUGCGAUGGUUGUACAUCCUGCUGACUCCAGCGCUCAGGAAGCUUGGAGGGCAUCUCAGACUGGAGUUGUAGGCAUGACAUAGCCAUACACGAAAAAAGUAUGAAAGCAACAGUUCAUGGGGCACAGGUAACUUCAAUGGACAUUGUGUCAGUUAAAAAACAAUUAAAGAAGAUAAGAUAGCUUGCAAUGAAUGGAGAAAGGUUUCAGAGGGCAGGGCGUCUAUGCAUAGGCCUCUCCCCCAUAUACUAAAUAAAUCACUCAUCGCAUGAACAACAUGUGAUUGUAGCUGUGAUAGAAGAAAUUUUUCAUUAUGUCCGUAAUACGAGUGGUACACUACGUGUUAUUACGUAGGAGGAAGUUUUAUAUUGUAAGUUGUUAAUUUUUUAACACAAAUAUCUCACCACAUAUAUUGUGACAUAUGAUGUAUAAUUCCGUGUUCCGGACAAGCACUAAUCUCUCGUUGAGAUGAAUACAACUGCUCCAUUUAAGAGUAUGAAGUUCAAGAAAUGGUUGAUUUUUUAUAUUUAAAUGAAAAGUUAAAAAAAUGCAUUGAAUCAGUUGGAAAAUAAUUGUUAUAGUUUUUUUUUCCUUCUGUAUUCUUUUUUUUUUGUUAAUUCAUUUUUAACUUAAUAGUUUAAAUAUAAAAUAAAACAUUGUACAGGAUAUAUCUAAAUUAUAUAUUAAUAGAACUUAACCACCAAAAACCAAUGAAAUUACAGUUAUAACCUUUAAUACAUAACUAGAAGAAAAAAAAAUUAGAUAAGGAAAAAAUGUGGGCAUUAAUUCCACACAAACAACUUUUUACUUUUUCAUUGACAAAGGAGCCCAACAAUAACGACGUCAGACCAACUGGGACAAGGAUUGUCUGCGCUCCUAGUUGUGGUGCCCUUCCAAGCCCUCCUAUUUUGUGCGGUCACGGUUAAUUCACGUUAAUAUUUUAUAUUUUUAUUAUUUUUUGUCUUAUUAUCUCAUUAAAAAAUUAAUAUAAAAUGUUGACGUGGCUUAACCGUGACCGCAUAAAAUAGAAGGACAUGGAAGGGCACCACAACUAGGAGGGCAGACAAUUCUUGUCCGACCAACUGAAGCAUAUCAUUGCAACUCUUUUGUGAGCUUCGAUAUGCCGCAGGGUAUGUUAUUCUGCACUCUUACUACCAUAUCUAAUAUCCUUCUGGAAAUUUUCUGAGAGAAAUUAAGGGCUUAUGAGCUACAUCUGACUUUUGUUUCACUUUUUUUCUUCUUAUUAUAUAUGUAAUUCAGAUUCUGAGCACUCAUCAUUAAACACAAGACUUCAAACUCGAUUUCUUCCUCAACAAUUACAUAUACUAAAGAAAAAAAAUGCAAAAUGAAAGUUUUUUAUUUUAUGUAAAGCCUAUAACAAUUUAUUGAAAAAAAAAUAAAAAUAUUCAACAAGUUUAUUACAAUAUCUUGAAAAAAUAAAAUACAAAGUGAAAGUUAUCUAUUUUCUGUGUAGACAGGUGUAGGCAGGCGCUAAGUAGGUUUAGGCGUCAUUUCUUAAUUUUCAAAUUCCUAGACAUUAAUGGAGACGGUGGCCAACCACCUAGCGCCGUUGGGAUUUUUAGAAUAAUGGUUAACGUGUGGACCCAAUACCUGUUAUUUUCGUGUCGUUCAAUGUUUGAUUAACGGGUCGUGCAAACAAUUGUGUGGUGUUUGUGUAGAGCCCAAUCUACUAUACCCAAAACAUUCUGUUCUUUACGACUUGUGUACUUUCAUUUAACAACAAUUUUGUGGUACUUGUCCACUGCCACCUACAAAGAAUUGAAACUUUUGGUUAUCCUUUAACACUGACUAAAAUCCAUGAAAUUUGAUGGAAGAAUUAGAUUGAAUGAGUUCGAAAUUUUCAAUCAUAGAUUUUUGUUCUGGAACCAAAUUCUUUAAUUCUGUGUUCUUGCAAAAAAGACUCUUUGUUCUGGAAGAAGUAGUUUUCGGACUUUUGAAGUAUGGCCCUUUGUUAAACAGAAUGAAAGUUAAGAACAGAAAUUUAAAUUUCUUUAGUACCUUAUUUAGAUCUUGAUUUCUUUUGGCUUGUGGUUUCGUUUUGAAAACUAAGCAUAUAGUUUGUAAAAUACAAAAAUUUAUCCAUUGCAUUCUUUUUUUCUUUUUCUGUUGUUUUGAAACUUGUCUUUUCUGCAGACAGAUUGCAUACCAAGUAUCGAAGGCCAAAAUGGAGUCAGCUGCAUCACUAUUGAUUGGGAAAAUUGCGGCCAUUCUUGAGAACGAAGCAUCUUCCAUAGCGGCAGUUCGAGAUGAAGUUGAUGAGCUUAAGCUGGAGCUCAUAAGCAUGAAAUCUUUCUUAAUAGAUGCUGAAAGCAAGGAACCACAAACAGAAGGAGAGAAAACGUGGGUUACAAGCGUCAGAGAUUUGACCUGCGAUGCUGAAAAUGUCAUUGAUGAGUUCCUGUAUCACAUAUAUGACAAGCAAAGUGCGACUCCAUUUGAAAAAUUGCUCCACAGAACCAUUUACUUUCCAAAGAAUCUUUGGCAUCGGCAUCGAAUAGCCAAAAAAUUACAGAAAAUCACAAAAAAGAUCAAAGCCAUUCCCGAGAGGAAUGACAGAUAUCGUGUCUCUACAAUAGAAGGAACAAGUUCGGAUAGUGUUCCCAGAUGGGUGAAGAACAAAGCCAAGUCUUCUCUUUAUAUUAUGGAAGACGAACUAAUCGGGAUUGAAGACAAGAAGCAAAGGUUAAUGGGGUUAUUGAUGAAUGGAGAGGAAAAUGAAAUGGUUGUGUCUGUGGUCGGGAUGGGAGGAUCAGGCAAGACAACUCUUGUUGCCAAUACCUUCAACAACGAAAAUGUAAAGCGGCAUUUUGACUGUUGUGCAUGGAUCACUGUUUCUCAAACUUUUGUGAUCGAAGACUUAUUCAAAAAUCUGAUCAAGCAAUUCCACCAAGGAAGAAAGGAAGAGGUGACUGCACAAUUGGAUUCCAUGAGUUACAAAGAAUUGUUAGAGAUGUUGUCGACAUACUUGAAGUCUAAAACGUACCUUGUUGUAUUGGAUGAUGUGUGGGACAUUAAACUUUGGCAAGAAAUAAGGAUACCACUUCUUAAUAGACAUCAUGGAAGUCGAAUCAUGCUUACAACUCGAAAGAAAGACAUAGCAUUCUAUUCUUUUGAAGUUGAAAGUCGUCCUUUUGAAAUUGAACCCUUGGGAAACAAUGAAGCUUGGGAGCUCUUCAGCAAGAAAGCAUUCUCAACUUACGAUAAUAAAUCUUGUCCACCAGAGCUUGAAUCCUUAGCAUGGAAACUUGUGGAUAAGUGUGAAGGCCUACCUCUGCCAGUGGUAACUUUAGGUGGUCAAAUGUCUUCCAAGAGGUCAUCAUCGGAAUGGAGAAGCGUAUAUAGCAGCUUAAAUUGGCACUUGACUAACCAUCCUAUGCUGGAACCAAUGAGCAACAUCUUGUUGCUUAGUUUCAACAAUUUGCCCAACCGGUUGAAGCCAUGUUUCCUAUAUUGUGCCCUUUUCCCAGAAGAUUAUCUCAUCAAAAGAAAAAGGUUGAUCAGGUUGUGGAUAGCUGAAGGGUUUGUUGAACCAAUUGAUGGGGUCACACCAGAAGAAGUUGCAGAGGGCUAUCUUGUGGAACUUAUUGUUUGUAGCAUGCUACAGGUUGAAAAGAAUGAAGCUGGAGGACUAAAAGCAUGUAAGAUGCAUGAUCUAUUGCGUGAGCUUGCUUUGUCGACAUCAAAAAAGGAAAAGUUUGGUGCUACGUAUGUUGGCAGAGAAAUAGUAGAUAACGGUGAAAUCCGCCGACUGUCAAUUCAAACAACUGAAAGAGAAAUUAAUUCUUGCCCAGGUAUGUCAAAGCUUCGCUGCUUUUUUGUCUUUGGCGCUGGCAUAUUUAUGUUCAAGAAAUUGCCUUCUGGAUUCAAGUCGUUGAGAGUUCUAUAUUUGGAGAAUGCUCCAAUUGAAAGAUUUCCAGAUGAACUAGUGUACUUGUUCAACUUAAGAUAUUUAAAUUUGAAGGGAACUUUAAUUGAGGAGCUUCCAGAAUCCAUCGGACGGCUGCGCAACCUUCAAACCUUGAACAUCCGUGACAGUAAGAUAAAGGCACUUCCAAAAGCAAUCUCCAAGUUCGUAAACCUACGCCAUCUAAUCAUGUAUUGUUACGCUGUUGAUUUGAUGGCCUUUAGAUUUCUCAAUGGGACAAAAGCAGCAUCCGAUCUAAGUACAUUACAGAAACUGCAAGUUUUGCAAUCUGUUGAAUCAGAAGCAAAGAUUAUUAAGGGCAUCAGGAAUAUGACCCAACUUACAAGCCUUGGUAUUACAAAUGUGAAAGCAUGUGACGAGAUGGACCUCUGUGACUCCCUUCAAAAGUUAGAGCUCCUUCACUCUUUGUUUUUAAUGGCUAGUGAUGAAGAGGGGUUUCUUCAAGUUAAUGCACUACAUUCGCCUCCUCCAGACCUUCAAAAGGUUAUUUUGGCCGGAAAACUAGAAAAGGUUCCUCUUUGGUUUGGUUCACUCCAUAACCUGACACGUAUGUGUCUACAUUGGUCUAGACUUGAAGAAGAUCUGCUGCCUCACAUUCAAGCAUUGCCGAAUCUUGAAAGGCUUACCCUAUCUAAUGCAUAUGUUGGCGAAAAUCUGUGUUUCUCCAGAGGCUUCAUAAAGCUUAAGCAUUUGCUGUUGGGCAGCUUCUCGGUAUUGAAUAGUAUAGCUAUAGAGAAAGGGGCGAUGCCAAAUCUCCAUGUCUUAGACAUUGGGAACUGCAUGGGGUUAAAGGCAUUGCCGCAGGGCAUUGAGUUCCUUGCUAACGUAGAACGCCUGGAUCUGUAUUCUGUUCCAAUGCAACUUAUAGAGUCCGUAAGAGAGGCAUGGAUCAUCCAAAGGUACAACAUAUUCCUGAAAUCCACCUGUAUUAUGAGAGAGAAAAUAUGUGGUGUCAUGAAAGCUUUUCUAGUAUUCACUCAAGGUACACACUUUUGUCCUUGCAUAAACAUUUGAUUAAUUCUAGACUUAUCAUAUUUUUUGUAUCAUAUUUGUACUAUCUCUUUUAUAGAGGUAGGGCAAUGGGUCUUAUUUCUAUUAGAGAGGUGGUAUAAAUGUGGUAUGAAAAAUGUGGUAAAAGUAGCAUUUUUUUGUAAAAAAAAUUCCACAACAUAUUCAUUUGAACUAUUACGUUAGAAAGUUAAAAGGUUGAUGAUUUUCAUGCUCCUAUUUUUUUUUCUUAUGCACUCCUUAUGUUUUUGUUCGUUAGUGUUUUGAUUUAUUCAAUUGUUAGGCUACGAAAAAGAGGAAGUAGUGUAUCGGAGUGUAAAAAUCAUUUUCCCUUACAAUUUGCAUGACCAAUCUUAUACAGAAGUCUAGCAAAGACAUAAAAUAUGUAUGCAUUGAGAAUAUGUAUCCAUUGAGAUUUUAUUUGGUAACUGUGUUUCUUUUGUAUUGUAAUAUCCUUUUUGUAGAAUCAAGCCUCAGAAGCACUUGUGAGACUGCAGUGAGUUCUCCUUUGUGCUAGUUGAUUUUGCGGUGAAUCUCGACUUUCGUUAUAAUAACAGAGCUGACUAUAUACGUGUCGAGUCAUUCGUCCUGCAAGGAAGAAUCCGUUCGUUGUUUGUGUGUUGUGUGAAGUUGCAAACAUUGAUCGAUCUUGGUUUCUUAUUUGCCCUUUGUGAAAUUGAAUAAUGCCCAAGAUUCUAUUUGUGUAACUGAAACUUAUAUUAUUGAUUGUUUGCGUGUGUUUUGAUGUAAUAAUAUUGGUUUGGAACUGAAUCUGUCACUGAUGAGAAUAAUUCCCAAGAUUCUGUUUGUGUAACAGAAACUUAUAUUAUUGUUUGCUUGCGUGUAUUUUUGAUGUAAUAAUAUUGGUUUGGAACUGAAUCUGUUAUUGAUGAGACCAAUUCUAACUAAAUCAAUAAUUAUGACCCAUUUUUCAUUUUCAAUAUUUAUUGUUUUUUUUAUCAAGUUUUCAAAUAUAUUGUUUUUGAGAGGCAAAUUUUGUGGCGGAUACUUUAGCUCACCAUGAUUUUACUUAAGAAAUUAUUAGAUGGUACGGUAUUACCACGUCAGCCAGUCAUACUUCUAUUCAAAUUUUUAACAUGUCUGCAGUUUCUUACAGCUGAAUUAAAAAGCUUUUUCAAUUCAAAAUUAAUUAAUUUUUUUCAGUUUAAACAAAAUUAAAAGAGUUAAAAAUAAGAGGCGUUUUGACACAUGCAUAGCUUUUAAAAUUUUGAGUUAACCUCUUUUCCUCCCCUCCCUCCUCUCUCAUGGCGACUGCAGUGCUGCCAGUAUCCGAGCCCGCCAGAAAGCAAUCCCGACCGGGUCGGGGCGGAUUCGAGGCCCAAUGAGCAGCAUCUUGUUGCUUAGUUUCAACAAUUUGCCCAACCGGUUGAAGCCAUGUUUCCUAUAUUGUGCCCUUUUCCCAGAAGAUUAUCUCAUCAAAAGAAAAAGGUUGAUCAGGUUGUGGAUAGCUGAAGGGUUUGUUGAACCAAUUGAUGGGAUCACACCAAAAGAAGUUGCAGAGGGUUAUCUUGUGGAACUUAUUGUUCGUAGCAUGCUACAAGUUGAAAAGCAUGGAGCUGGAGGACUAAGAGCAUGUAAGAUGCAUGAUCUUGUGCGUGAGCUUGCUUUGUCGAUAUCAAAAAAGGAAAAGUUCGGUGCUACGUGUGUUUCCAGAGAAAUAGUAGAUAAAGCUGAAAUCCGCCGAUUGUCAAUUCAAACAACUGAAAGAGAAAUUAAUUCUUGCACGGGUAUGUCAGAGCUUCGCUCCUUUCUUGUCUUUGGCGCGUUAGAGAAAUUGCCUUCUGGAUUCGAGUUGUUGAGAGUUCUAGAUUUGCAGGAUGCUCCAAUUGAUAGAUUUCUAGAUGAACUAGUGUACUUGUUCAACUUAAGAUAUUUAAAUUUGAAGAGAACUUUGAUUGACGAGCUUCCAGAAUCCAUCGGACGACUUCGCAACCUUCAAACCUUGAUCAUCAGUAACAGUAAGAUAAAGGCACUUCCAAAAGCAAUCUCCAAGUUAGUAAACCUACGCCAUCUAAUCAUGUUUCGUUACACUGGUGACCAUUAUGGCUUUAUAUAUCUCAAUGGGACAAAAGCAGCAUCCGAUCUAAGUAAAUUACAGAAACCGCAAGUUUUGCAUUCCGUUGAAUCAGAAGGAAAGAUAAUUAAAGGCAUCAGGAAUAUGACCCAACUUACAAGCCUCGGUAUUACAAAUGUGAAAGCAAGUGACGAGAUGGACCUCUGUGACUCCCUUCAAAAGUUAGAGCUCCUUCACAAUUUGUUUUUAAUGGCUGGUGAUGAAGAGGAGUUUCUUCAAGUUAAUUUGACUCCUCCAGACCUUCAAAUUGUUAAUGUGACUGGAAAACUAGAAAAGGUACCUCUUUGGUUAGGUUCACUCCAUAACCUGACACGUAUUUAUCUACGUUGGUCUAGACUUGAAGAAGACGUGCUACCUCACAUUCAAGCAUUGCCGAAUCUUGAAAGGCUUUCGCUAAUUAAUGCAUAUGUUGGCGAAAAAUUGUGUUUCUCCAGAGGCUUCAUAAAGCUUAAGCAUUUGAGGUUGUUCAAGUUCCCCUUAUUGGAUAGUAUAGCUAUAGAGAAAGGGGCGAUGCCAAAUCUCUAGGUCUUAUGCAUUGCGUACUGCCUGGAGUUAAAGGCAUUGCCGCAGGGCAUUGAGUUCCUUGCUAACGUAUAACGCUUGAAUCUGUAUUCUGUUCCAAUGCAACUUAUAGAGUCCGUAAGAGGAGGCAUGGAUCAUCCAAAGGUACAACAUAUUCCUGAAAUCCACCUGUAUUAUAUGAGAGAAAAUAUGGAGUGUCAUGAAAGUUUUUCCGGUAUUCACUCUAGGAGAAGGUACGCACACUUUUAUCCUUGCAUAAAAAUUUAAUUAAUGUUAGACUUACUACAUUUUUUGUGUCACAUUUGUACCACCUUUUUUAUAGAGGUAGGGCCGAUUGACAUAUAUGGGUCUUAUUUUUAUUAGAGAUGUGGUAUAAAUGUGCUAUGAAAAAUAUGGUAAAAGUAGCAUUUUUGUUAAAAAAAAAAUUCCACAACGUAAUCAUUUGAACUAUUACGUUAGAAAGUUAAAAGGUUGGUGAUUUUCACACUCCUAUUUUUUUUUCCUUAUACGCUCCUCUUGUUUUUGUUCGUUAGUGUUUUGAUUUAUUCAAUUGUUAGGCUACGAAAAAGAGGAAGUAGUGCAUCAGAGUGUAAAAAUCAUUUUCCCUUACAAUUUGCCUGUCCAAUCUUAUAUAGAAGUCUGGCAAAGACAUAAAAUAUGCAUGCAUUGAGAUUUUAUUCGGUAACUAUGUUUCUUUUGUUUUGUAAUAUCCUUUUUGCAGAAUCAAGCCUCAUACGCACUUAUGAGACUGCAUUGAGUUCUCCUUUGUCCCAGUUGAUUUUAUGGUGAAUCUCGACUUUCGUUAUAGUAACAGAGCUGACUAUAUACGUGUUGUGUCAUUUACCCUGCAAGGAAGAAUCCGUCCAUUGUUUGUUGUGUGAAGUUGCAAACAUUGAUCGAUCUUGGUUUCUUAUUUGCCCUUUGUGAAAUGGAAUAAUGCCCAAGAUUCUAUUUGUGUAACUGAAACUUAUAUUAUUGAUUGCUUGUGUGUGUUUUGAUGUAAUAAUAUUGGUUUGGAAUUGAAUUUGUCACUGAUGAGAAUAAUGCUUAAGAUUCUGUUUGUGUAACAGGAACUUAUAUUAUUGUUUGAUUGCGUGUAUUUUGAUGUAAUAACAUUGAUUUGGAACAGAAUCUAUCACUGAUGAGACCAAUUCUAACUAAACCAAUGAUUAUGACCCAUUUUUCAUUUUCAAUAUUUAUUGCUUUUUAUCAAGUUUCAAAUAUAUAUUGUUUUAGGUAGGCAAAUUUUGUGGCGGAUGUUUUAGCUUACUAUGAUUUUACCUGAGAAAUUAUUAAAUGGUACGAUAUUACCACGUCGCCCAGUAAUACUUUUAUUCAAAUUUCCAGUAAUACUUUUAUUCAAAUUUUAACAUGUGUGCAGUUUCUUUCAGGCUUACAGCUAGAUUAAAAAGCUUUUUUAAUUUAAAAUUAAUUUUUUUUUCAGUUUUAACAAAAUUAAAAGAACUAAAAAUAAGAGGCGUUUUGACACAGAUGCCUAGGGUUUAGCUUUUAAAAUUUUGAGAUAAGGCCAUCUCCAAUCGAAAAGUCCAGAGGGCUGAAAAUGGCCCAAAAACCAUCUCCAACCGAGGACUAGGCCAAAAGGCUCGUGGGCCCCACUGAACAAAAAAAGGCCAAAAGGAACCCAACCAGCCAACCUCGGGCAGAGCCAGAAAUUUGAAUGCAACGGCUAGCUGAUGUAAGCGUGACGCUAACUAGCCAUUAUAUUUGAAUUUUUUUUUGGGCCAAAAUUUUAAAAAAUAUAUAUUUAAUUAUAGGCCUAGAAAGGUGAUUAGUUCAAUGUUGGGCGUUGAGAUGUUCCUUUUAUAAGCAUGUUUGGUUACUCAAAUCUCUCCCACGAACAAUGUGGGACAAAUAUAAUGGGUGCCACACAUGCAAGCUUUUGCUUGCUCAAAUCUCUCCCACGGACGAUGUGGGACAAAUAUAGUGGGUAGUUUUUAAAUUUAAGUUGUUGUAGUUUUUAAAUUUAAAUAACAAAUUAUGUUUGGUCCUAUGACCCUCAAUUGGAGAUGAUUUUUGUCACAUGGCUAUGUUUGAUAAAAAAUUAUAGUCAUGCACUGUUCAUUAAAGUAUUAAUUUCUUGGACGGCCACACCUUCGGUUGGAGAUGGCAUAACCUCUUUUCCUCCCCUCCUUAUUCUCUCCCAUGGCGACUGCAGUGCUGUCAGUAUCCAAGCCCGCCAGACAGCAACCCCGACCGGGUCGGGGUGGAUUCGAGGCCCAUGGACUAUCAGAAGAAGAGGCCUAAAACCAUAUUUUAUCUUAAUAUUACAUAAUUACUGUUUUGUCUUCCUUAUGUAAAUAUUGUGAAUCAAAAGUGAGGGUAAAAUAGGAAAAAUAGGGAUAUGAUUGUCAUUUUAUCAAAAGAUAUAAAAUUACUAUUUUGCCCUCCUUAUGUAAGUAUUGUGUAUCAAAAGUGAGGGCAAAAGAUACAAAAUUACUAUUUUGCCUUCCUUAUGUAAGUAUUGUGUAUAAAAAAUGAGGGUAAAAUAAGAGGAAAAAAAAAGGCAAAAAGUUGACAAGAAUGAUUCUCUUAAUAAUAGUAUAGAUUAUAAAUAAUAAAUAAUAAUAAAAACUGAUAAGAAAAAAAAAAAAAAAAAAAAAACCCUAUCGUUCAAACUUCAAAGUUAAGGGGAGGGUAAUGGACAAGGAUUGUCUGCCCUCCCACUUUCCAUGCCCUCCCAUGCCUUCAUGUUUGUGUGGUCACGGUUAAGCCACGUCAACAUUUUAUAUUACUAUUCAUUUUUGUCUUAUUAUCUCUAUAAAAGAAACAAUAUAAAAUGUUGACGUGGCUUAACCGUGACCACACAAAACAGAAGAACACAGGAGGACAUGGAAAAUGGGAGGGCAAACAAUCCUUGUCCGAGGGUAAUAGACCUCUCUUUCUCUGCCGCAUAUCUCCUGGUUUUAUUUUUAUUUAUUUUUGGUAAAAAAAACCUUCCUGAUCUCUUUAUUCUCUAGAAACUCAUGUGUUAUUACCAUUUAUCGGACGAUAUGUUUUCCCGCUUGUUCAUAUUGUUCUCACGCUUGGCCAAUGGGGGAAAAAAUUGUUUUCCACAAUCUAAUUUAUCACUCAAAAUACUAGGAAUGAAGACUUAGGAUUUUGGGUUUAGUUUUGUUUACCGAACAAAAUAAUUCAAGAGAUCGAGCGAUUGCUUGAUACGCUUUGUGUGCUUUUUAAUUUUGUAUCAAUCGAAUCAAAUCGACAUGUAGUAAAGACGGAUUUUCUCUCCUCCUCCUUACGUUCGUGACCAGUUGAUUUUUUUUCCUAUUGAGUUUUAUUGGAUUAAUUGAUUCUUAUUCAUUUAAUAUAAUUGUUUAUUUAUUACUUAUAAUUCACAUCAUCGUCCAUGUCACUUAAGGUUUAAAAUUUUCAACAUUAGUCUUAAUCAAGAUCAUUGAAUGUUAUAAAAUCUAAUGACUAAAAAAGAGUGUAAAAAUACUUGUCUCCUGAUCCUAUUUUAUAUGUAUUUUUAUAUAUGAAUAUAAAUUAUUAUCUAUUAAUUUUUCAAUACAGUAUGAUAAUAUUGUUGGUAAUAUUAUGGAAUACUAAUCACAUACCAAAAAUUUCAGUUUGCUACAAUAUCGUGUCAUUAUUGAUUAGCACAAAAUCGAUAUGGUACGAUUAUCAAUCGGUGGCACGAUAUUGACAAAAAAAAAAAAUCACCCUAGAGUUAGUAACUCACCCGUGACAAGUGUUGAAUCAGAGACUAAAAAAGUAAUUGAAUUCUACUGGAAGUGUAUAUAAACUUUUGUAAUGUGAAUUAAAAUUAUAGUGUGCUUGAGUGAUUUUUCAAAAAGAAAACUAAGGAAAAGGGCUUGAAAACUUUGAGUUUUAAUGAUAAGGACAAAAUAAAGGGUAAAGUGAAUAGUACAAGGAUUGACUUUUUAGUGUAAAAAUGUGAUUUUUCGUUAAAGUAAACAGUACCGGGAGCUUUUCGUUAAAGUUCCCUUUUUCAAAACCGUGUUAGUUAUUUGAAAUAAGAAUUUUCUGUUAUAUUUUUAAUUUAUUUGUGCACCAAUUAUUUUUCUGCCGACACCAAAUUCGAAGCGCAACUUUAAUAUGACCCCACCUGGCAAGUACUGCGAGCAAAAUACAUCCCCACGAUUUACAAAUUGCCACACACAUCACAUUAUUAUCUUUGUCCAAAGGUUUUUGUCUUCGUCUGAAAUUAUUGGUCUUUGUCAGAAAGUAUUCGUAAGAGCCAUAAAGUAUUGGUCUUUGUUUCAUGAAACAUGACUUCCAUCCUAACGUGCAAUUGUUUCUAAUUCUAAAGUGAUUGUCUCUAAUUUUACUUGUUUCUCUGUCGGAUCGAAUGAGAAAAGAUAAAAGGCUCAUGAAAUUGACGUGUGGGGUUAGGAAUGGUUAUAUUCUAUGAGUGAGCUCCAGUCCCUUCGUCUCAUAUUUGAUAUUUUUAUUUUCGUUGACAAGGGAGCCCAAAAAUAACGACGUCGGAGCAACUGAAGCAUGUAAUUGCAACUCUUUUGUGAGCUUCCAUAUGUCCCAGGGUAUGUUAUUCUGCAAUCUUACUACCAUAUCAAAUAUCCUUCUAGUAAUUUUCUGGAAGAAAGUAUAGGGGCUUAUGAGCUACAUCUGACUUUUGUUUCACUUUUUUUUCUUAUUAUAUAUGUAAUUCAGAUUCUGAGCAUUCAUCAUCGAACACAAGACUUCAAAUUCGAUUUCUUCUUCAACAACAUUGCCUGUAUAAAAAAAGGGGUAAGUUAUUGAUUUAUACGCCAUUACGUUGAAUUUGGUUGGAAGUCUAGUCAAUAUUAUUUGGUGUUUUAUUUUAAUAAUUUAAGCAAGCAAACGAGUUAUAUUUAUCGUGUUUUCAUUGUUUUGUCAUAUUUGUCAUUUUAACAGAUAAUAUUGUGUCAAAUAUGUUAUCCUAAUAAAUUCUUCACAAAUGACCCCAAUAACGACUUAAUUCGUUAAUGAAUUGUGUCGCCUCACGCAGUGAUGAAGCCAAAAAUUGUCAAGAGGAGGGGCAAAAGUUAAACGGUUUAAGGUCCCCAAAAAAUGUGGACAUCCAUUCGAGGCCGAAGUCUAGUGUUUACAUGAAGAAUAUGUGAACUACCUCGAAUAUUUGUAGGAUAAUUUGCACUAACUGAAAUAUUCAAAGUAGGAAUUGGACAUGACCUGACCUAGGAGGAUUAGGCGAAUUUGAAUUUUUUUAAUUAUAUAUUGUAUAAAUAAGUGUCUAUUUAUUAUAUACAUAUAAUAUCUAAGAACAUUGACUAUAAAACAUAUAAUAUAUAAAAAUAUAAAAAAAAAAUUUUACUUUGUUGUAUUUAACAGUAGGAGAUAAAAAUUUAAAUGAUUACAAGUUUUUAAUACUUUACAAAAUAUUUUUUAAAGUUCAUAUGAAUUUAUAGUAAAUUUGAAGAUAAAUAAUAAUGUAAAAAAAGUUAAAAAAUAUUGAAAAAGUGGGCAAAUUAUUCAAACAAUAAUUAAAAAACAAAACAAAUCUCAAUAUAAUCAGCAUAUUAAAUAGCUAGCUAUGUGGCCCAAACUGAUUGGGUACAAUAAUUGAAAAACCAAAUCAAAGUGGGUAACUUUGAAACGGCAUGUGGGGUGGGGUGGGUAAGAGAGAAAGUUACCUUUUAGUAGCUGAAAAAUACAAAGCUUGGGUAUUUUGAAAAAAAAAAAAAAAAAGGAGAGCCUGGGAGUAGGAAACCCAGAACACCAAAAAAUCAGAUGGGACCAAAGGGACGGAACCAUUGAUCCUAGGCUUGAUUUUCGGUUUGGGGAGGGGCGACCCUUAUGUAGCUUUGCCCAUGAUCUCAUGCCUAUUUAAUAGGUUAUGCAAGAAAUUAAUAUACCUAAUAUUAAUUUAAUAGUUGGGAACUCCCCCGUGAUAAGUGUUGAAUUGAAUCAGAGACGGAAGUGUAUAUAAACUUUUGUAAUGUGAAUUAAAAUUACAGUGCGCUUGAGUGAUUUUUCAAAACCUUGUGUUUGUUAUUUGAAAUAAGAGUUUUCUAUUAUAUUUUUAAUUUUAUUCGUUCCUUGGUUUACAAAUUGCCACGUACAUCACGUUAUCAUCUUUGUCCAAAAGUUUUUGUCUUGGGCUGAAAUUAUUGGUCUUUGUCAGAAAGUAUUCGUAAGGGCCAAAAAGUAUUGGUCUUUGUUUCAUCACUUCCAUCACAACUUGCAAUUGUUUCUAAUGUAUUUUAAAAGCACAUCCAAACAAGCCCAUAUAAAUUAUAAAGUAUUAGAACAUAUUGAAAAUAUGAGAACAAGCAUAUAAUGUGUCACAUCCCAUUCCAAAUUUAAUCGUAUUUUAUUCUCUAACAUUAGAAAAUUACAAAAAUGCCCCUGACGGGGUGAGUGGAAAUCCUAGGUGGACAUUUGGGUCCUUGUCACUCUGUACCUUUUUCAUGUCUUUCUAGGUAGUACUUAUCCUUAUAAACAUGUGAGCGCGAACGAGGAGUAAAUCGAAUGAUUUACACACAUUUCCCAAUAAGGGGCAAAAAAGUAAUUAUGCACCCUCACAAAUCCAUAACUUGUUUAUCAAGACAACAAUAGGUUGGGACACUGUGAUAUUGAAGGCCUAUUUGUUGGGUUCGUUAAGUAAGUGGGCAACUGGGCCCCAUCUCCGUUAGUAUUUAAUUAAUUAAGCAUGAUGUCUAAUUAAUUAUUGUUUGGGUUUGACCCAAAGAUACACACACAUAUACUCUCGUAAUGCUCAUCACUACGAGUGCGUGGAUGCAAACAACAUAGAAUUUGGAGCUAUGAACCUCAAGGACAUUAUGGUCAUCCUACUCUUCUUAGUGCACAACAACCAAUUAUUGAACAUUUUUAAAAAUCAUUGGUCCCACCCCACGUGACCACUCCUUUUCGCCAUAUAGCUUCCCCUCACGUUUCCUUCAGAUAUGUCACACUCAUUCUUUAAAACACUCAAACUCUCUCAUUCUCACUCCUCUGCCUUAAUUCUCUAUCUCCCCCAAUGUCUCUUUCUCAACUCUCGCUAUCUCUCCUUUCUAUGUGUUCACAAAGAAAUUGAGAAAUACUUUGUUCUUUAAGAAACAUUGAAAUUUCAUCGUGAUACUUAAAUAAGCAAAUGAUUUCGAAUUCAAUUGAAUUUUCGCAACGAUGAUCUAUGAAUCAAGAAUUAUAAAAAUAGACGGUUCGGAUCGUUAAAGUUCGAUGUAGAAUGUAUCCCACAACUAAUCCCCAUUUUUUAAAGGGCAUGUAUAAGAUUGUUGAAUCUUAUAAAGGCUACAAAGAGUGAAAAUGUUUGUCAAAAUGUUUGUGUCUUGAACUAUCCCACAAAUGUGUGUAUGUAUAUAUUCCCUUUAGCCAAAAAAUUGGAGGAUGCGGGCAGCCGUCCGAUCUCUUUUAAUCGAUCGUGCGGCUGGGACUCAACCAUGCCUUGUUGCAAUCUUUUACAUUUUAUUUUUCUUUCUCCGGCUCUCGAGAAGGAGACGCGUAGCCAAGCCACCCAGAGAGGUUCAGUCAAACCCCAAUCCUCUCCUCCUUUCGACGAUUCUGGACAAUUUGGAGAAUGGGUUUAAGGAUUUGGGUUUUUACUUUCAAGUAAUACUUUUCUUGGAGCAUGGAGUCAGUGAAUACUCCUUGGUUCAAAUUGUACAUCUCAGUUUCUGAACUUUUUUUUCCCUCCGGUUUUAUUUAGAUAAGAAACUCAAUCACCAUCUUUUUCAUGAUGCAGAGACCCAUACUAAAACUCGCAAAAAAAAAAAAAAAAAAAUCCCAAAUCUUAGUCUCUCCUUUUCUUUUAACAAUCAGGUUCUAGGACUUUUUUCAAGUUACUUUUCUGAAAAAUGGGUUUUGUGAUUUGGGUCUCCAUUUGAUCAAAAUAUAGGUACAGAUCAAUCCCACACUCGGCCAUAUUCAUACCCUAAUUUUGAAACAUGCAGACACCAUUUUUUUUUUUUUUUUAAGAUUCAGACCCCAAUUGGCUUCUAGCUUUCAAAUUCGCAAAGAAAAAACAAAAUGAUCUCUGAUAUUUUAUGCUUAUGAUUGGGUCUACUGAAGUCUGAAACUGUGGUCGCGAUGGAGAAGUGGUGCUCCGGCAUGAAGCUUUGUUUGUAUUCAAAUUAGGAAGGAGAAGGGGAAACAAAAGAGAAAAAGUAGUCAACUCCCAGCCACACGAUCUCAUUAAGAAAGAACGGACGGCUGCCUGCAUCCUCCUUUUUGGCUAAAUGGGGAUCCUCUCUCUUUUUUUAUUUUUUAUUUUAUUUUUAACAAACUUUUCGGUAAUUUCGGUUUGGGAUCGGGAUUUUUUUCGAUUUAGUUCAGGAUUUUUGGGAAUUUGCAAAUCUCGAACCAAACCAAAUGAUGUGUCACCAAUAGGAAAUAAACACGUUAAUCAAAACUUAAGUGAUAAUCCAAUCAUAAAAAACCAAAUCAUUUCGUUUACAGAAUUUGUUUUAAAAGUUUAGUCUCUCUAGAAUUACCCUUAUAUAUAUAUAUAUAGUUUUCCUCAAUAACUGUUUAUGCAUAAUUGAUGUGACAUGCCAUGUUUAGCUUUACAAAUACUCUUUUCAUACACUUCAAGUUUAUAUUACUAUUUGUAAGUAUAAACAUAUGGCAUGACAUCCUUGUAUCUAAUAUGCUCAUUAUUACAUGUUUGCACAGUGUCUUUUAGUUAUUUGUACUGUUCUAGGCCAAUGACCAACUUCACAUGUAUCUUCACUUGCACCAUUUACGUUCGCUUUGAAUCCAGAGUUAGGUGUCAGCCUAUCUCUAGGUUAGAUUUUUGGACUCGUAUAUGAUGCGCUUAGCACCAGCUUUCGUGAUAUAGAACUAGAACGUAAUAUCUACACCCAACCUGUUCCAUUGUCAGAAUACCUCUGCAAUGAAUUUGUGUGCCUACAUACAUUAAUGAGCAGUGACUUAUGCUUUUGAGAUGACUGUUGUAUACUAGUAUACGUAUGCCAUAUUCUUCGACUUACGAUAUUUGCUGGCUGCUAUAUAGUAUUACAUAGUAUUAUUAUUUUUGGGAAACACAUUUUCGAAAAGGUUUUCAAAACUUUAUUUUAUAGGUCUACUCACCCUUGUUUUUUGCCCAUCUAGGAUCUAGUGGCAGAGCUUUUGUGACGACGAGGAUUGCUGGCAAGAUCUGACAUGUAGGAGGAUUUCUCCUUUCGGUAUAAAUGUUCUUACUUUAUCUUUUACUGUAAUUUACUUAUACUCUGACAUCACUUGUGUGAAGAGGUUCAACCUCGUUUACAUGCGUACUCUAGAAUUAGUUACUUUAGGUUUAAAUUAGUCAACACUUUUCACAUCACCAUUACUUUAUGGCUUCGUCACCUCCCAGGUAUUGGCUAGCAUAGCUCAAUUCGGUUGUCUAGGUGGACAUUUCGGGUUGGGUUGUGUCAUAAUGAGUGCUCAUCCAAGCUAGUAUUCAAAAAGUCUAUUACAAUUUGUUGAAAAAAUAAAAUGCAAAAUGAAAUUUAUCUAUUUUCUGUGUAAGUGAGAGUUGUGACUUAGGCAAGUCUAGGCAACACCUAUGCUACGUAGGCCUAAGAACCCUUUCUUAAUUUUCAAAUGUUUGAGAUUAAUCGGGUCGGUGGCCACUCCUAGGCAGCGCUAGAUGGAGAUUUUUAGAAUAGUAAUUAAUGUGUUGACCCAAAACUUGUAAUUUUUCAUGUCGUUCUGUGUCUAAUUAACAGGUCGUGCAAAAAAUUAUGAGGCCUUUGUGUAGAGUUCAAUCCGCUAUACCCAAAAUAUUGGACGCCUACAAAGAAUUGAAACUUUUUGUUAUCCUUAAUACUGACAGAGAACCAUGACAUUUGAUGGAAGAAUUAGAUUGAAUGAGUUUGAAACAUUUCAACCACAGAUUUUUGUUCUUGAAUCAAAUUCUUUAAUUCUGUGUUCUUGGAAAAAAAGACUCGAGAAAGUAGUUUUCGGACUAAGUUUGGCUCUUCCUUUGUUAAAAUGAAUGAAAGUUAAAAACAGAUUUAAGUUUCUUGAUUACUAGACAAUUCGGGUACCUUAUUUAGAUCUUGAUUUCUUUUGGCUUGUGGUUUCGUUUGAAAACUAAGCACAUAGUUUGUAAAAUACCAAAAUUUAUCCAUUGCGUUCUCUUUUUUUUCCCGUUGUUUUGAAACUUUUCCUUUCUGUAGAUAGAUUGCAUACCAAGUAUCGAAGGCCAAAAUGGAGUCAGCUGCAUCACUGUUGAUUGGGAAAAUUGCGGCCAUUCUUGAGAACGAAGCAUCUUCCAUAACGGCAGUCCGUGAUGAAGUUGAUGAGCUUAAGCUGAAGCUUAUAAGCAUGAAAUCUUUCUUAAUAGAUGCUGAAGGCAAGGAACCACAAACAGAAGGAGAGAAAACGUGGGUUACAAGCGUCAGAGAUUUGACCUGCGAUGCUGAAAAUGUCAUUGAUGAGUUCCUGUAUCACAUAUAUGACAAGCAAAGUGCCACUCCAUUUACAAAAUUGCUCCACAGAACCAUUUACUUUCCAAAGAAUCUUUGGUAUAGGCAUCGAAUAGCCAAAAAAUUACAGAAAAUCACGAAAAAGAUGAAAGCCAUUCCAGAGAGGAAUGAGAGAUAUGGUGUCUCUACAAUAGAAGGAACAAGUUCGGGUAGUGUUCCCAGAUGGGUGAAGAACAAAGCCGAGUCUUCUCUUUAUAUUAUGGAAGAUGAAUUAAUCGGCAUUGAAGACAAGAAGCAAACGUUAAUGGGAUUGUUGAUGAAUGGCGAGGAAAAUGAAAUGGUUGUGUCUGUGGUCGGGAUGGGAGGAUCAGGCAAGACAACUCUAGUUGCCAAUAUCUUCAACAACGAAAAUGUAAAGCGGCAUUUUGACUGUUAUGCAUGGAUCACUGUUUCUCAACUUUUGUGAUCGAAGACUUAUUCAAAAAUCUGAUCAAGCAAUUCCACCAAGGAAGAAAGGAAGAGGUGACAGCACAAUUGGAUUCCAUGAGUUACAAAGAAUUGUUAGAGAUGUUGUCGGCAUACUUGAAGUCUAAAAGGUACCUCGUUGUAUUGGAUGAUGUGUGGGAUAUUAAACUUUGGCAAGAAAUAAAGAUACCACUUCUUAAUAGGCAUCAUGGAAGUCGAAUCAUGCUUACAACUCGAAAGAAAGACAUAGCAUCCUAUUCUUUUGAAGUUGAAAGUCGUCCUAUUGAAAUUGAACCCUUGGGAAACAAUGAAGUUUGGGAGCUCUUUAGCAAGAAAGCAUUCUCAACUUACGAUAAUAAAUCUUGUCCACCAGAGCUUGAAUCCUUAGCAUGGAAACUUGUGGAUAAGUGUGAAGGCCUACCUCUGGCAGUGGUAACUUUAGGUGGUCUAAUGUCUUCCAAGAGGUCAUCAUCGGAAUGGAGAAGUGUAUAUAACAGCUUAAAUUGGCACUUGACUAACAAUCCUAUGCUAGAACCAAUGAGCAGCAUCUUGUUGCUUAGUUUCAACAAUUUGCCCAACCGGUUGAAGCCCUGUUUCCUAUAUUGUGGCCUUUUCCCAGAAGAUUAUCUCAUCAAAAGAAACAGGUUGAUCAGGUUGUGGAUAGCUGAAGGGUUUGUUGAACCAAUUGAUGGGGUCACACUAGAAGAAGUUGCAGAGGGCUAUCUUGUGGAACUUAUUGUUCGUAGCAUGCUACAAGUUGAAAAGAAUGAAGCUAGAGGACUAGGAGCAUGUAAAAUGCAUGAUCUUGUGCGUGAGCUUGCUUUGUCGACAUCAAAAAAGGAAAAGUUUGGUGCUACGUAUGUUGGCAGAGAAAUAGUUGAUAAAGCUGAAAUCCGGCGAUUGUCAAUUCAAACAACUGAAAGAGAAAUUAAUUCUUGCACAGGUAUGUCAGAGCUUCGCUCCUUUCUUGUCUUUGGCGCGUUAAAGAAAUUGCCUUCUGGAUUCAAGUUGUUGAGAGUUCUAGAUCUGGAGGGUGCCCCAAUUGAUAGAUUUCCAGAUGAACUAUUGUACUUGUUCAACUUAAGAUAUUUAAAUUUGAAGGGAACUUUAAUUGAGGAGCUUCCAGAAUCCAUCGGACGGCUUCGCAACCUUCAAACCUUGAACAUCCGUGACAGUAAGAUAAAGGCACUUCCGAAAGCAAUCUGCAAGUUAGUAAACCUACGCCAUCUAAUCAUGCAUCGUUACACUGGUGAUCAUUAUAGCUUUAUAUAUGUCAAUGGGACAAAACCAGCAUCCGAUCUAAGUAAAUUACAGAAACUGCAAUUUUUGCGAUGUGUUGAAUCAGAAGGAAAGAUUAUUAAAGGCAUCAGGAAUAUGACCCAACUUACAAACCUCGGGAUUACAAAUGUGAAAGCAAGUGACGAGAUGGACCUAUGUGACUCCCUUCAAAAGUUAGAGCUCCUUCACUCUUUGAUUUUAAUGGCAAGUGAUGAAGAGGAGUUUCUUCGAGUUAAUGCACUACGUUUGCCUCCUCCAUACCUUCAAAAGGUCUGUUUGGCCGGAAAACUAGAAAGGGUACCUCUUUGGUUUGGUUCACUCCAAAACCUGACGUGUAUGAUUCUAUAUUGGUCUAGACUUGAAGAAGAUGUGCAACCUCACAUUCAAGCAUUGCCGAAUCUUGAAAGGCUUGAGCUAUAUAAUGCAUAUGUUGGCGAAAAAUUAUGUUUCUCCAGAGGCUUCAUAAAGCUUAAGCGUUUGGAAUUACUUGACUUCCCCUUGUUGAAUAGUAUAGCUAUAGAGAAAGGGGCGAUGCCAAAUCUCCAGGCCUUACGGAUUAGGCGUUGCGCGGAGUUAAAGACAUUGCCGCAGGGCAUUGAGUUCCUUGCUGACGUAGAACGCUUGAUUCUGAUUUCUGUUCCAAUGCAACUUAUGGAGUCCGUAAAAGGAGGCACGGAUCAUCCAAAGGUACAACACAUUCCUGAAAUCAACAUGUAUUACGAGAGACAAAAUAGGCGGUGUCAUGAAAGCUUUUCUGGUAGAAGGUACGCACUCUUUUAUCCUUGCAUAAAAAUUUAAUUAAUGCUAGACUUACUAUAUAUUUUGUAUCACAUUUGUAACCUCUCUUUUAUAAAGGUAAGGCUCAUUGACAUAUGUGGGUCUCAUUUUUAUUAGAGAAGUGGUACAAAUGUGGUAUGAAAAAUAUGGUAAAAGUAAGUUUUUGUAAAAAUUUGUAAAAAAAAAUUUCCCCAACGUAAUCAUUUGAACUAUUAUGUUAGAAAGUUAAAAGGUAUGUGAUUUUUAUACUCCUAUUUUUUUUUUCUUAUGCUCUCCUCUUUUUUUUGUUUGUUAGUGUUUUAAUUUAUUCAAUUGUUAGGCUACGAAAAAGAGGAAGUAGUGCAUCGGAGUGUAAAAAUCAUUUUCCCUUACAAUUUGCUUGUCCAAUCUUAUACAGAAGUCUGGCAAAGACAUAAAACAUGCAUGCAUUGAGAUUUUAUUCGAUAAAUGUGUUUUUUUUUUGUUUUGUAAUAUCUUUUUUGUAGAAUCAAGCCUCAGAAGCACUUGUGAAACUGCAGUGAGUUCUCCUUUCUGCCAGUUGAUUUUGCAGUGAAUCUCGACUUUCGUAAUAGUAACAGAGUUGGCUAUACACGUGUUGAGUCAUUUGCCCUGCAAGGAAGAAUUCGUUCGUUGUUUGUGUGUUGUGAAGUUGCAAACAUUGAUCGAUCUUGGUUUCUUAUUUGCCCUUUGUGAAAUUGAAUAAUGCCCAAGAUUCUAUUUGUGUAACUAAAACUUAUAUUAUUGAUUGCUUGCGUGUGUUUUGAUGUAAUAAUAUUGGUUUGAAACUGAAUCUAUCACUGAUGAGAAUAAUGCCCAAGAUUAUGUUUGUGUAGUAUGAACUUAUAUUAUUAUUUGCUUGCGUGUAUUUUGAUGUAAUAAUAUUGGUUUGGAACUGAAUCUGUCACUGAUGAGAUCAAUUCUAACUAAACCAAUGAUUAUGACCCAUUUUUCAUUUUCGAUAUUUAAUGUUUUUAUCAAGUUUUCAAAUAUAAAUUUUGUGGCCGAUGUUUUAGUUUAUUAUAGUUUUAUCUGAAAAAUUAUUAGAUGGUACGGUAUUAUCAGGUCGGCAGGUGAUUCUUCUAUUCAAAUUUAAACAUGUGUGCUGUUUCUUACAGCUGAAUUAAAAAGCUUUUUGUUGUGAUAAUAUGUGGAUGGCCCACAUGAAUAGUUUGUUACUAUUUAUGCACAGUAUUUUCACUAUUCAUUUGUGGAAAAUUUGUAAAGUGAAUAGUGCUUUCUUUUGUUUAUAUAAAGGAAGAAGAGGAAUGAAGUGAGGAGAGUUCACGGGAAAGAAAGAGAGGAAGGAAGGAAGAGGAAGAGAGAGAAGGAAGAGGAAGAGAGAGAAUAGAGGAAGAUGAGAGGAGAUAAUAGAGAGAGUUAUCUUUGUACUCCUAUUAUUCUAAAUUAUAAUGGAAGCACCACUGCUGCCCCGAGGACGUACUCCAGUCACACUGACUGUAGAGGAACCUUGUAAAUUUUGUGUCUUGCUUAUUUAUUCCACUGCACACACCGUCGAUUUCACAACACGUUAUCAGCACGAGAAGCUCUCAUGUCAGUGGAAAGCACAAUAUCAUAAAUCUGGUGAAGCAUUAUCUACCUCUCACCUCGGUCAGCUAAAAUCUCACAGAGUAAAGACGGCAAGCCAGACAUGUCAAACAGGGAAGAUCAUCUUGUCACAAAAAUCCAUCAACCUUUCUUUUAUCACUUUUUCUUUUAUCACUCUAACUAUUGAUGUGCUAAUCCUUAUCCCUGCUAGACCUGCAAUCUAUUUUUCUCUCGUGGACAAGAAAGAUGGAGAGAUCUUACAGACAAACAAAGGUGCAGCAAAACAAGCAAAGGUAUGUCCAUUUUUCAUUUCUCCCACCGUGCCAGAAGCGCCCCACCGAAUUCCGGUGCGAAUUGAAAUUUCCAACGACCUGAAGUCGUCACGAGAUAAGAAAACUCGUACCUGACAACUAGUUUCCAGAGAUCCAAAAGAAUCUCAUUAGACUUGGAAACCCAGAUCGUGUCGUUCUCAAUGGAUCUCGAGGACCUCCAUGAAUCCUCAGUUGUCUGAGAUGGUGAUGGCAUGACUGACCCCACACAGGCCUCCCUCUCUUGUGCCUUCGUCAACCUCACUGUCAUCUAUGUCUCUAUGGAGAGGUUCUUGCUUUGCGAUGCCAUGUUCUUUGGGCCAUGCAAGAACAACGCCAGUCUCUGGUAGCCUUUUUGGAUUGAAUUGGUUUUGUGUAACCCCCACAACAACCCAGCUGGUACUGGGUUUCGAGACUGGUAGAGAUAGACAAAGAAAAGGGGAAAUGGGGCCAAUGAUUUAGAAAGGUGCGUUGCACCAUGUAAAAUAAAAGAAAUAAAAACAAAAGUUGUUGGAAUGUUGUAACAUGUGAUUGAAUAAGAAAAUAAUAAAAUAAAAUAAAGGUAAAGGUUUUUGGAUGGUGUUACACCAUCUGAAAAGAAAGAAGAAAAUAUGUAUAUAUUUAUGUGAAUGGUGUUGGCUUAAAACACUUUCACAAGUUCUAUUUAUUUAAAGCAAUUUAUUUACAGUGGGUAGAAUUAUUACCCUUUGCUUUAAAGCUUUGAUAUUUAUGUGCAUGAUGUUGGUUUAAAGCCCAUGUCACAAGUUCUAUUUACUUUAAAACAAUUUAUUUAUCAUGGACGGUUUUACCGCCUACUGCUUUAAGUUUUGAUUUAUGUGAAUGGUGCUGAAUUAAAGCCCUUGUCACAAGCUUUAAUUUAUUUAUUGUUCAAUUUAUUUACUAUGGCUGGAAUUACCGACUAUUGCUUUAAUUUAUUUAUUGUACUUAUCUUUUGUUACAAUGAGUAUAUAUAAGACCCAAAGUUCCUUGAUCAGAUCAGAACCUGCAGUUUCUUGAUCCUCAUCAUAUAAAAUGAUUGGACCCGAAGUUCCAUCAUACAAAAAGAUCAGGCAUGAAGUCCUUUGAUCCUGAAGAUCAGAACAUGAAAUUCCUUGAUGAGUACCUUAAGUUUGAAGUGCCACAGUGCCUCAACUUAAUUAUAAUAAAGGUCAUAAAAGUCUCAGUCCAUAGACUAUUUAAUAAGGACCAGAAGUUCCUUAUGUCCAUACUUAAAAUGGUUUAGCAGAAGCAUUUAUUAAGCGGAUGAAAUUGAUUACCCGCGAUCUGCUCAUGAAAACGAAAUUACCAGUUUUCUACAUGGGGACAUGUCCUUUUACAUGACGCAUUUUUAAGUUCGGAUGAGACCAGUUUCCAACCAUCAAUAUUGCUCAGUACAACUCGUGUUUGGGAACUAGCCAAACAUUAUACAUUUACGGGUUUUUGGUUGUGUUAUCUAUGUGCCUGUAAGACUGCCACAACGUACUGAAAUGAGGCAUCAUCGUAGAUUAGGCAUUGAUGUUGAACACCAUCUAUCAUUCAAUAUUUGGAACCCUUAACUGGGGAUAUGUCUACCGCAUGAUUUGCGGACUAUGAUUUUGAUAAGACAAUUUUCCUGCCAUUAGGGGGAGAAAAUAACAUCGUUCCAGAAGAACGAUGAGAAAAUAUCAUUCCAAAAUAAUGAUGAGAAAAGACCGUUCCAGAAGAACGAAGAGAAUUUGUCUUAUUUUGAUUCACGAAGCAAUCAAUGAGAAAAUGAAAUAUGAAUAAUUGAAUGAUGCAACGAAAGUGAUGAAAUCAUAUAUACUUACUGCAAAUGUGCCUACAAGAAUUGAUGUCUCUGUUGGAUAAAAUAAUGAGACAGUAAAUGAUUUAUCUGUUGCACGCCUGAAGCAUGGCAGAUUUUUAGACUCAAAAGGUUCAGUUAUUCGAAAGAAGAAUAAUAUGACACUAUUGAACUAUUGCAUUCCCGAAGCAUAACUGUUGCAUGCCAGAAGCAUAACAGUCACUGCAUGGAUACACGUCCCAGAUAGGACAAUCCACAGACAUGGGAAUGUUGAUGUCUCAUACAUGGAGCAUAAUAGACAUAUAGGUUCCAAUGACUCAACUCCCGGAAGUGGAGAUUAAAAUCCAAGCUCUAUAACGCUCAAGAGGAGGUUAUGAUCCACAUUCUCUAAAUUAUGACUAUCCUGGAAGAGAUAGCGUCAUGCCCUUGAAGAGGCAAUGGAUAUCCAAAGAAAUGAAAAGCUUUUAUGCAUGCCCAUGCACAUGAGAAUAUGGGAUCACGGAUUGAUGAUAACCAAUGGUAAUUUUGGUUUUUACAAGUAGCUACUAAAUUCAUCAAUGAGCUAUGUUAAUAUUGAGCCACGUUCUUUUGUUUGUCGACAAAAGAAAAAUUAUUGGCCAAAAUGGAGAAAGGCAAUUUCAUUACAAUUUUGUAAGAACGUGGGCAAAUGAACCUAUAUAUAUUUGAAUACAAUACAAAUAGCCAAAAGAUGUUGAACCCAGGAGGUUACAUUGGGCAUUUGUAAUACAGUGAAAUACACUCACAUGAUAUGACACAAGGUUGUAAACGAGUUCAUAUGAAUGGAGAAUUAUAUACGAAGGGUUGUGAGUCGCCCACAUUAUAUCUCCAUAAGUAAAUCCCUCAAGUAUACAUGAGAGCAAAUUGCUCUGUAUAAAUUCCAAAGGAAAAUGUGUCAUGAAGUGUAGAAAACCCUUGAAGGAUUCAAAUUGCUUGAAGUAAGCCUCUGAAGGGUAAAACAUAAAAUAUGUACUCAAUACCAAUGGAUGAUAUAAAUUGCCUUAGUGAGUACUAUCAUUAUGAUAUUGUUGCAACAUACUAAAAUCUCUUGCAAGAGUCAAUGACAUUAAAUUAUAACUCUUGAAGAGUUGAUGAUAUUAAAUUGGGACUCCUGAAGAGUCUAGAAAAAUUAUAAAGUGUUGAAGGAAUUAUUGUCUCGAGCUGCAGAUCGAACAAUCUACCAACACGAAUCUUAUCCAUGAUAUUUGUGAUAUUAAAAGAACCAUAUGGAUUGAAGAUUAUGAGUUGAAUACUCAUAUGAUUUAGACACUAAGAACGAUCAUUUAUCUUCGUGAAUGUAAAGAUAAAUUGAUAUUUGGUCCAGAAGUACCACAUCUUAGUGAAGUAUAUGCUUUAUUGUAUUUGGCACAAUACAUUGAAUGAAAUAAAGCUUAUUUAUUAAUAUCUCCAAGAAAUUACAGAUAUAUACAUACACAUGAGUUAAAACAAACAAACAGGAUGGAGCCUUCAUAAAGGUUGCUCAUGUGAAGCCUCAGUACUCGGAAGUACCCCAGAAGGGGGAGGCACUGGAGAUUGAUCAUGUGGCACCCCAGUACUUAGCAAAACACCAGAAGGGGAAGGCAUCAGUUGCUUUCGGAAUCUAGCAACGAACCUCUGGUGAUCACUUUGAAUCCGAUUUUCGGAUUCCUGCAGUUGGACGAGCUUUCUUUUCAUGCUCAUAGAGUAACUAUUUGCAAGCACGUGUAACACCCUAUUCUCGUGCUUGAGCCCUCUGAUCUCUUGUUUAAGACUUGCCACCUCCUCCAUCAAUGAUUCAACUUGGCGAGUUUGAGCAAGUAGGCGUUGGCCCAUAUUGGACAUAGAGCCAGCACACUGAACACUGAGAGCCAAGAAGUCUUGAACGGCCGACUCUUCAGACCGUUCUGAAAGGAUCUUGUUAUCCCUUGGAGUAAGAAGAUUCCUAGCUACCACAGUAGCGGUUAUGUUAUUCAUCACAGAGUCCCCAACCGUAAGAGGACCAUUAGAAGAUAAGAAGGACGGGCGCCAUAUAUUAUCUUGAUGCUGCUCGUCUGUAUCACUCCUAAGACUCAAAUCUAAGCAAAUGUUAGAUGGGCAAGUCAUUUUUCAGAAAUGAUGAAGGAAAAAUAGAGGUCAAAUAAAAUUUCAAAGGUGCAAGAUAGAGGAAAUUUCUACAAGCAGCAACUUUCUGAGCAUACUCUUGAACAUAAUUGAUGUCUCUAUAAAAGAAGAGGCAGCAGAGCCACUCGUUCAAAGAUCGAAGAGGCACCGCUCUUCGAAUUUCAAAAGCCAGAUUUUCCUGAAUAAAGUUCGUUGGCAUUUUUCAGACGUAAUCCCAGCUUUUUCAGAUGUCGCGUGCAAUUUUGUCAAAGAUCUCUGACAAAGUUGAAAACACGUAAAUCUUACUGUUCUAUUUACACCACAGUUGCUGACAGGAGUAAAAGCACAGCACCACCACUUGCUAUUGAGAAAUCUCUAUAUAUGUCGACCUCUGUUCUCCAUAACAAGGCAGACCUGCAACACUGCAAGAAUACUCAACUCUUCCUCAUCUCCGAGAAUGCAUCUUCAACAUAGCAUCUCGAAAUACUCAGUUUUCUUCCUCUCCGAGAAUACCUCUUCAAACAUGUCACACCAGAGCAAGAUUAUCACAUAUCUUCAGGGACCAGAGCAAGAUUAUCUCAUAUCAUGCAAUCUCCCUGUCUUUUCUUUUGUCCUUGUUCUUACCUGCAAAGACAAGGAUAAAGAAAGCAGUAUGUCGGAACCUCCACUCAAACUCCAGGUAAGGAACAAACUGCUUGGAACCUUUCCCGAUUGCUUACCUAGCUCUUGAGUAGUCAUCUUCAACUGUUGUUGGAACUGGGUCUCCGGUCACCAAGAAGUGAUGAACCAUCCAAAUGCAAGGGUUUGCAUUCCACUUCUGCACCAGGGGACAAAUCCUACAAGAGAAGAUGCCACAUAUGCAUGGGGGGAAAAGCAGUGAAAAUACUACUUAAGCAAGGGGAGCAAGUAAGGAAAGUGAAAAUGAUGCAUUGAAGCAUGUGGAGACAAGUGCAAUGAACAUAUGCUGAUUCAUCCCCAACUAAGCCGAAUAUCACUUGUCACGUGAAGCUCCUCAUGGUCCAAUUUCAUUCAAGAUCAAGCCUCGAAAGUCCUUGAAGAAAUCAAAAGUCGGAUUCAAGAUCAAGUGUCCACCACACUUGAAUCAAAUCUGCUCCAGAUCAAAGGAGUAAAUUCAGACCUUUGGAUGCAAGUCUAGUAGAAAGUCCUACAACCCAGUUCAAGAAAAAGCCUGUGGAAAGUUAACAACAAGUAAAACACCUUUUUCGGCAACUCUCCCCGCUAAGAGACUGAAGCAGAAUGAUCAGUGAUCAGCCUAAAUGAUUUGAAAUCAGGGGGAGAUACUCAUCAAGGGAAGCAUCCAAAAACAGAUCAAGAUUUUAACGAAUCAAUCGAAGACUUAUGACCAUCCAAGGGGGGGUGUUGUGAUAAUAUGUGGAUGGCCCACAUGAAUAGUUUGUUACUAUUUAUGCACAGUAUUUUCACUAUUCAUUUGUGGAAAAUUUGUAAAGUGAAUAGUGCUUUCUUUUGUUUAUAUAAAGGAAGAAGAGGAAUGAAGUGAGGAGAGUUCACGGGAAAGAAAGAGAGGAAGGAAGGAAGAGGAAGAGAGAGAAGGAAGAGGAAGAGAGAGAAUAGAGGAAGAUGAGAGGAGAUAAUAGAGAGAGUUAUCUUUGUACUCCUAUUAUUCUAAAUUAUAAUGGAAGCACCACUGCUGCCCCGAGGACGUACUCCAGUCACACUGACUAUAGAGGAACCUCGUAAAUUUUGUGUCUUGCUUAUUUAUUCCACUGCACACACCGUCGAUUUCACAACACUUUUUGAAUUAUUAUUUUUUUAAUUAAAAGAACUAAAAAUAAGAGGCGUUUUGACAGACUUAAAAUACCUCUUUUCCUCCCCUUCCUCUUCUCUUCCAUGGCGACUGCAAUGCUGCCAAUAUCCGAGCCCGCCAGAAAGCAACCCCGACCGGGUCGGGGCGGAUUCAAUGCCCAUGGACCAUCCGAAAAAGAGGCCCGGGUUCAAGCCAUCGCCGAAAUCGUCAGCUCCAUGGUCGACCUCUCCCGGAAGGGCCAAAACGUCGACCUAAACGGCCUCAAGACCACCGCGUGCCGCAAGUACGGCCGUUCACGUGCCCCCACAUCGCCAUCACCGGGAAUAUUUGCGUGUACUGCCCCGGUGGUCCCGAUUCGGACUCUGAGUACAGCACUCAGUCUUACACUGGAUACGAGCCUACUAGCAUGCGCGCAAUUUGGGAAAGGUAUGGCUUUCUCUAGUUCAUUGACGCAUUUUAUCGAACACUUGAUGGGGAAUUCAAGUUUUAUUUAUUCAUCAUUCGUUUCAAAGCUUAAAGUUUUUGGCUUGAUUGAUUUUUCACCAUGAAGUUGAGAGCUUUGUAAUGAAGAGAUUAUUUGAAGGAAUUGGUGUUUAAAAUUGGAUUAGUGAAGUUAAUUUGGUAGUUAAUCUUUUGGUUUUGUGUGCUUAGAUACAACCCAUAUGUCCAGGCUAGAAGCAGGAUAGAUCAGCUGAAGACAUUGGAUCACAGUGUAGACAAGGUUUGGCCUGUUCUAUGUUUAGAGCUUAAAGAAUUUAUUUUCGGGUUUGCAGAUUUCCAUGAUAGAGUAAUAUGCAUAGUUGUCGCCUCAUAACUGGUACUGAAUUUAUGUUUUCAGGUUGAGUUCAUCUUAAUGGGCGGUACUUUCAUGUCGUUGCCCGCGGAUUACCAUGAUUACUUUAUUAGAAAUCUGCAUGAUGCGUUAUCGGGACACACUUCUGCCAAUGUUGAAGAGGCAGUUGCCUACUCUGAGCAUGGUGCUACUAAAUGUAUUGGAAUGACCAUUGAAACGUGAGUUUUUAGUUUAUUUUAGAAGCCAUUAAUUUCUCAUUCUUGUGUUUAACUUGGUUGACAGUAAUUUUUAGCUUACAUUCUAGUUUCCAGUUCAUCUGGUUGGUCCAGAAAGUUAACGAAGGUAGUUGUAACUUUUUAUUCUGCCGGAGGCCAGAUUAUUGCCUUGGACCUCACUUGAGACAAAUGCUUUCUUAUGGUUGUACAAGACUAGAAAUUGGAGUUCAGAGUACAUACGAGGAUGUGGCUCGGGACGCCAAUAGAGGUCAUACCGUAGCUGCAGUGGCUGAUUGUUUUUGCUUGGCAAAGGAUGCUGGUUUUAAGGUCAGCCUAGUACCUCACAGAUUUUGGACCUUUUAUAUCAUAAAACUCACUUACCUUCACCAUGGGAAAAGAAAGGAUUUUGGACCUUUUAUAUGUACAGUGACAGGAGAUUAAUCUUUCAUCAAAACAAUUUGUGAGCCUGGAUAUAUUUUUCAAAUUAUUGUGCUCUCCCAUAAUUCAGCGUGAAUAUUUUAUCAUAAUCUAGUUGGUUUUGGUAUUACCAUUCACUUUGUCUAAGUUCAAGAAGAAGCAUUUGUUUGUAAUUGUAUGACCGUAAUCUUUAUGAACUGCAAUAUUAAAAGCCUUGAGGACUGUUUACAAUAUGCAUUUUUGCUGUGUAUUCCUGUCGUUCAUUCUGAGUUACUUUUGUUUCACACUAAUAAUUUUAUGCAUUUGAUCACGUCGAAUCCUUAUGAAAAUGAAUUCAGAACAAAAUUGCGCUAAAGCUAGGGCGUCACCCGUAAGUGGCGCGCUGUGUGGCCCGAGCACAGUGAUAAGUGAGCAAGGGUCGCUGUAUCUCCAUUGGCACCCGGAUGCAGUGUUAAAUGAGCAAGGGGGCCAUAGAAACUUUUUUUCGAACGACUCCACUCCAAGUUGUUUGGGAGCAUAUGCUCCUAUCAACUUUACACGGGACACACAAAAGAAGUACUUUGAUCCUAUUAGACGGGGGAGGGUGAAGAAGCUAGGACAGAAGGGUAGAGUUCAAGAGAGCAAAAUGCGUUUAGGAACGUGGAAUAUAGGAACCUUAACGGGAAAAUCUAUGGAAGUAGUGGAAGUUAUGGUGAAGAGAAGGAUAAAUAUUAUGUGCCUACAAGAAACUAAGUAGGUUGGUAGUAAGGCAAAUGAUCUAGAAAACUCAGGGUUUAACUUUGGUAUUCGGGCACAAAUAGAACGAGAAAUGGUGUUGGCAUCAUCGUGGACAAGACCUUGACACAAGAUGUUGUAGAUGUCAAGAGGGUAGGAGAUAGAAUCAUGGCAAUCAAGAUUGUAAUAGGACAAGAACUUAUCAAUGUGAUUAGUGCGUACGCACCUCAAGUAGGGUUGGAUACGAGUUCGAAGGAGAAAUUUUGGGAAGACCUUGGAGACUUGGUGCAAGGAAUUGCUCAGACGGAGAAGUUAUUUAUAGGAGGAGAUUUAAAUGGACACGUGAGCAGGGAGACAGGCAACUAUGGAGGUUUUCAUGGUGGCCAUGGUUUUGGGGAGAGAAACGAGGAUGGGGAAGCUAUCUUGGAUUUUGCAAUGGCAUAUGAUCUCUUCUUAGCCAACACCUUCUUUAAGAAGAGAGAAGAACAUGUGAUCACCUACAAGAGUGGGUCGUAAAAAACACAAAUAGAUUUUCUUCUAAUAAGGAAAGGGGAUCGUAUAACUUGUAAGGAUUGCAAAGUUAUACCAGGAGAGAGCGUGGCUAAUCAACAUCGCUUGUUGGUGAUGGAUGUACAUAUCAAAAGAGUGAGACAAAAGAACAAGACUUGGAAGUGCCCAAGGACUAGAUGGUGGAAUCUAAAAGAAGAAAAACAAGUCAUUUUCAAAGAGAAAGUAAUCACCCAGUGUGUGUGGGAUAGAGAUGGGGAAGCUAGCCAAAUGUGGGAUUCCAUGGCUAGUUGUAUCCGAAAAGUAGCAAAAGAGGUAUUAGGAGAGUCCAAGGGCUUUGCCCCACACCAAAAGGAAUCUUGGUGGUGGAAUGAGGAGGUACAAACAAAGGUGAAGGCUAAGAAGGAAUGUUGUAAAGCCUUAUACAAGGAUAGGACUGAUGAAAAUGGUGAAAGGUAUAGAAAAGCGAAGCAAGAGGCGAAGAAAGCUGUGAGAUAAGCUAAGUUAGCGGCUUACGACGAUAUGUAUAAACGACUAGAUACCAAAUAAGGAGAGUUGGAUAUCUAUAAACUAGCUAGAGCAAGGGAAAAGAAGACAAGGGACCUAAACCAAGUGAGGUGCAUCAAGGAUGAGGAUGGAAAGGUUCUUGCUACAGAGAACGCGGUUAAAGACAGAUGGAGAGGUUAUUUUCAUAAUCUUUUCAAUGAAGGACAUGAAAGGAGUGCUUCUUUAGGGGAGUUGAGUAACUCAGAAGAGUGUAGAAACUACUCUUUUUAUCGUCGAAUCUGGAAGGAAGAAGUGGUUGUAGCUUUGAAGAAGAUGAAGCAUAGAAAAGCAAUAGGCCCAGACGAUAUACCAAUCGAAGUGUGGAAAGUUUUGGGAGAGACAGGUAUAACAUGGCUCACUGACCUUUUCAAUAGGAUUUUGAAAACGAAGAAGAUGCCAAAUGAGUGGCGAACGAGCACUUUGGUGCCUAUCUACAAGAAUAAGGGCGACGUACAAAAUUGCAUGAACUAUAGAGGUAUUAAGCUAAUGAGUCAUACAAUGAAGCUCUGGGAGAUAGUCAUUGAGCAUAGAUUGAGGCAAGAGACACGGGUUUCGGACAACCAAUUCGGGUUCAUGCCAGGGCGCUCAACCAUGGAGGCAAUCUAUCUCUUACGAAGAUUGAUGGAAAGAUAUAGAGAUGGGAAAAAGGAUUUACACAUGGUCUUUAUAGAUUUGGAGAAAGCGUAUGAUAGGGUCCCAAGAGACAUUCUUUGGAGGAUUUUAGAGAAGAAAGGAGUACGAGUAGCAUAUAUCCAAGCUAUAAAGGAUAUGUAUGAAGGAGCAAAGACUGCCGUAAGAACUCAUGAAGGACAAACUGAAAGCUUUCCCAUAACUGUAGGAUUACAUCAAGGCUCAUCCUUAAGUCCUUACCUUUUUGCGUUGGUAAUGGAUGAGUUAACAGGACAUAUUCAAGAUGAUAUUCCUUGGUGUAUGCUUUUCGCAGACGAUAUAGUGUUGAUAGAUGAAACUCAGGAAGGGGUAAAUGCAAAGCUUAACCUUUGGAGAGAAGAGUUGGAAUCUAAAGGUCUUCGCCUAAGCCGAUCAAAGACAGAAUAUAUGGAGUGCAAGUUCAGUGCAAAUGGAGGCCAAAACGAGUUAGGGGUGAGGAUCGGAGAUCAAGAAAUACCAAAGAGCGACCGUUUUCGUUACCUAGGAUCUAUCUUGCAAAAGAGCGGAGAAUUAGAUGGAGAUCUCAACCAUAGAAUACAAGCUGGAUGGAUGAAGCGGAAGAGUGCAUCUGGCGUGUUGUGUGACCGCCGUAUGCCACUGAAGCUCAAGGGAAAAUUUUAUAGGACGGCAAUAAGGUCGGCGAUGCUGUAUGACACAGAAUGUUGGGCGGUGAAGCGUCAACACGUACACAAAAUGGGUGUAGCAGAGAUGAGGAUGCUUCGUUGGAUGUGUAGGCACACGAGAAAGGAUAAGAUUAUGAAUGAGGAUAUCUGGGGUAAAUUAGGAGUAUCCGAAAUUGAAGGAAAGAUGAGAGAAAAUCGGUUACGGUGGUUUGGACAUGUGUAAAGAAGGCAUACUGACGCUCCGAUUAGAAGAUGCGACUAUGGGACAGAGGUUCAGGGCCGAAGGGGUAGAGGAAGACCUAGGAAAACUUUGGAAAAGACUCUAAGAAAAGACUUAGAGUACUUGGAUCUAACGAAGGACAUGACACAGGAUCGAGCACAAUGGCGUUCUAAGAUUCAUAUAGCCGAUCCCACUCAGUGACUUGGAUUUUCCAAGUCUCCAACCGAGAAGUUUUCCUCACUCAGGAAAUUAAGGGAACACUACCUCAACCUAUAUGCUCCACUCACAAAGCUUCAACAAAAGAAAAUUCAAAGAACUUAGCGAAGAAGGCUUUGGUGUAUUUAACACAAUACGUUGAAAUGAAGGAGAGCUUAUUUAUUGAUAUCCCCGAUAAGCUACAAAUAUGUACAUAUACAUAAGUCAAAAUAAACAAACAAGAGGGAGCCUUCACAAAGGUUGCUUAGGAGAAGUCUCAGCAGUCGGUAGAGCCCCAGAAAGAGAAGGCACCAGAGGGGGAUCAUUCGGAGCCUCAGUACUGGACAGAACCCUAGAAGGAGGAGGCAUCAGAGGUUGAUCAUUUGGAGCUUCAUUACGCGGUACAGCCCCAGAAGACGAAGGUAAUAAAUGCCUUUGGAAUAAACCCACAAAUCUCUGAUGAUCAAGUAAAACCUGACCAUCAGAUUCCUUCAUCUGGUCAAGCUUCCUCUUCAUGUUUGUAGCAUAGUCAUGUGCGAGCCGGUGCAACUGUUUAUUCUCAUGCUUGAGCCCUCUAAUCUCCUGUUUGAGACUCAUCACUUCAGUCGCCAAUGAUUCAACUUGGCGGGUUCGAGCAAAUAGGCGUUGGACCAUAUUAGACACAGAACCUGCACACUGAACAUUGAGAGCCAGAGAAUCCUUAACAGCUAACUCAUCAGACCGUUUGGAAAGUAGUCUGUUAUCUUUGGGAGUGAGAAGGUUCCUGGCCACUACCGCAGCGGUCAUAUCAUUCUUCAUCACGGAAUCCCCAACGGUAAGAGGACCAGUAGGGGAGACGAAGGAUGUACGCCAUAUGUUGUCAGGAGAAGGCGGGGCUGCCUCUUCAACAAGGUUCAAGUCAAAACGACGGUCGGAGGGGCCAGACAUUUUCAAAGGUGUUGAAGAGAGAAGAGGUCGGACAAAUCAAGAUCUUAGAAGUGCAAGAAUGGAGCUUCUACUGGUGGAGAUUCAAGGGUGCUUUGGAACUUAAUGCCAGCCUCUAUAAAAAUCUGCACUCGACGGAGCUUCAGAAAUCGAAGAGGCGCCUGCUCAGAAAUCGAAGAGGCGUUUGCUUUCUCAAAAGCAAGGCUGCUCAGAUACCACGAGGGUCGAUCUCAGAAAUCGAAGAGGUGUUUGCUUUCUCAAAAGCUGGGCUGCGCAAAGACCACGAAGGCCGAUCUCAGAAAUCGAAGAGGCGCUUGCUUUCUCAAAAGCUGGGCUGCUCAGAGACCACGAGGGCCGAUCUCAGAAAUCGAAGAGGCACCUACUUUUCCAGCCUUGUCAGCACCUGUCACACGCACACUCAGCUUUGCGGAAAUUAUGGGCAUUCGGUCGAAGACUUCUGGUGAAGUAGAAAGCACAUGAGUCUUACUGUUCAAUCACCCACUUCCCACACGCAACAGUAGCUCAUGGGUACCACAGAUAACUUUGCCAAAGUUCUCUGCCAAAGUUGAACACGUGAAGCUUGCAGCUCCCACUACAUCGCUCUGACCAAGAAGGGUAAAAGAAUAGCAAAGAAACAACACUAACAAAGUUUAGACACAUAAAUUUUGAAGGUCUAGCUACCAUAUUAUUACCCACAAGGGUAAAGGAACAGUACCACCACUGGAUAAUUGGAAAGUCCCUGUGUGUCAACCUCUGUGCUUCGUGGCAAGGUAGAUUAGCAAACAUGCCCAACCUUUAAUCACAUUCGAGAAAACACUCCCAACAAGAUUGCUUGCUCCAAAAUCGAAGAGGCACCGUCCUCCGAAUCUCGAGAGCCAGACUCCCAACAUGCCUACUUUCUCAAAAAUCGAAGAGGGUAAAGGAACAGUACCAUUGCUGGAUAAUUGGAAAGUCCCUGUGUGUCAACCUCUGUGCUUCGUGGCAAGGUAGACUAGCAAACAUGCCCAACCUUCACUCACAUUCGAGAAAACACUCCCAACAAGAUUGCUUGCUCCAAAAUCGAAGAGGCACCGCCCUUCGAAUCUCGAGAGCCAGACUCUCAACAUGAUUACUUUCCAAAAAAUCGAAGAGCCACCGCUCUCCGAAUCUCGAGAGCCACACCCCCAGCAUGAUUGCUUUCUCAAAAAUCGAAGAGGCAUCGUUCUCCGAAUCUCGAGAGCCAGAUCCCCGAUAGGAUUGCUUGUUCGAAAAUCGAAGAGGCAACACUUUCCCAACUUCAAGAGCCGGAUCUCCUUGGAUAAAGCUGUCUGUAAUCUUCACACGCAACAUCAGCUUUCCAGAUACCACAAACCACUUUUUCAAAGUGCUCUGACAACGUUAAAACAUGUGAAGCUGGCAGCUCCCACUACUGUGCUAUGACCAAGUAGGGUAAAGGAAUAGCAUUACUACUUGUUAAGGAGACUCCUAUAUAUGUCGACCCCCAUCCCCAACGGACAGGCAGACCUGCAAAAAUGCUCAACCCUUCCUCAUAUCUGAGAGGGCACUCCCAACGAAGCCUUUCGAAAUAUUCAGCUUUCUUUCCCCCCGAUAAUACCUCUACAAACAAGCUAUACUAGAGCAGAAUAUCUCAUAUCAUCAAGGUUAAAAGCAAGAGUAUCCCAUAUCCUGCUUUUUCCCUGUCUUUUCCUUUGACCUUGUUCUUACCUGCAAGAUAAGGAGAAAGAGAGCAAUCAGUCAGUACUUGGAAUCAAGCUUCCAUCCAGGAACUGACUGCCUGGAACCCCUUACCUGAUUACUUACCUGACAUUGCUCUCGAGUACUCAUCUUCAACAUCUUAUGCUUCCAGGGAAGAUACCGCAUCUGCCUGAGGAACAGAUAGGGCAAGGGAGAAGGAUACAAGGAAGCAUGUGGAGACAAGCGUAACAGCACACGUGCCGAUACAUCCAUUACUCUGUCAAAGCAAAAGUAUCCCAUAUCAGCAGGGUCGAACGUACUCUAGAUUUGAUGGACUUGUUUUGACCCUCAAAUUCUUCAGUCGGCCUUAUACUCUAGAGGAAACCAGAAAACCCUUCAGCUCAGUUCAAGAAUAAGCCUGUGGAAAGUUACUUCUUCAAAAGCAAAAGUAUCCCAUAUCAUCUCUUCUCAUUUUCUUCUCUUUAUCCUUCAUGCUGCCUGCAAGAUAGGGAGACUGUGAACAAUCAGCCGGAGCUAUGAUUGCUUACCUUGUCUGUCACCUCUUUCAACAGAUCCCCUAGCUCGGCGACUUGGGGGACUCCUACUACAUGGUUUGUAUCGUGCUUGACCAAGCCUGAAACUACAAGUAAGCUUCAAGUGAAAUUGAUACAUUACCUUGUGCAUCUCCACCAGUUAAAGAUACCACCCCUGGAUGGAGGAAGAGUACUUCCAGAGAAGAUGCCCUAUCUACUUAUGAGACAGAUAAGGCACGUCAAGACGAUACCACACUCCGAUACUUAGAAGUUUCGUGAUUACGAGAUCAUUCUCCCACAAUAUUUCCUAAUGUCAUUUGUACUAAAUCAUUCACUUGUACUCACUAAAGGAGAGCUUGAACCUAUGUACUUGUGUAAACCCUUCACAAUUAAUGAGAACUCCUCUAUUCCGUGGACGUAGCCAAUCUGGGUGAACCACGUACAUCUUGUGUUCGCUUUCCUAUCUCUAUCCAUUUAUAUACUUAUCCAUACUAAUGACCGGAGCAAUUUAGCGAAGAUCACAAAAAGCGACCGUUUUUGCUACCUAAAAUUUAUCGUGCAAGAGAACAGAGAAUUAGAUGGAGAUCUCAACCAUAGAAUACAAGCUGGAUGGAUGAAGUGUAAGAGUGCAUCCGGCGUGUUGUGUGACCGUCAUAGGUCACUGAAGCUCAAGGGAAAAUUUUAUAGGACGACAAUAAGGCCAGCGAUGUUGUAUGGCACAGAAUGUUGGGCGGUGAAGCAUCAACACGUACAAAAAAUGGGUGUGGCGGAGAUGAGGAUGCUUCGUGGGAUGUGUGGGCACACGAGAAAGGAUAAGAUUGGGAAUGAGGAUAUCCGAGGUAAAGUAGGAGUAGCCGAAAUUGAAGGAAAGAUGAGAGAAAAUCGGUUCCGGUGAUUUGGACAUGUGCAAAGAAGGCAUACUGAUGCUCCGGUUCGAAGAUGUCACUACUGGACAGAGGUUCAGGGCCGAAGGGGUAGAGGAAGACCUAAGAAAACUUUGGAAGAGACUCUAAGAAAAGACUUAGAGUACUUGGAUCUAACGGAGGACAUGACACAAAACCGAGCGCAAUGGCGUUCUAGGAUUCAUAUAGCCGACCCCACUUAGUGGAAAAAGGCUUUGUUGUUGUUGUUGUUGUUGUUGUUGCUCUAGGUGGUUGCAUGCAUGAUGCCUGAUCUUCCAAAUGUAGGGGUGGAGAGAGACAUGGAGAGUUUUCAGGAGUUCUUUGAAAGCCCCUCGUUCAGAGCAUAUGGGCUUAAAAUUUAUCCAACACUCGUGAUCCGUGCAACUGGACUCUAUCAGCUUUGGAAAACGGGCAGGUAUAGAAAUUACCCACCUGAGCAACUUGUGGACAUUGUAGCUCGGAUCGUAGCCGUGGUCCCCCCUUGGACGCGUGUUUAUAGAGUUCAGUUAGACAUUCCAAUGCCUUUAGUUACUUCUGGGGUUGUGAAAGGAAAUCUUCGGGAGUUAGCUUUGGCUCGGAUGGAAGACUUGGGCUUGAAGUACCGUGAUGUUCGUGCACGAGAGGCUGGAAUUCAGGUAUGUGGGUAGUCAUUCUUGUUUGAACGUGUUUUAUGCAACUGAGGCCACAAACAUGACCCCUCAAAUCCCUAAAAAAAUCUUUAUAGAACAUUUUUGCUGGUUCUAGGACAUACAUCACAAAAUUAGGCCAGACCAAGUGGAGCUUGUUUGUGGGGAUUAUAUGGCAAAUGAAGGAUGGGAAACAUUUCUUUCAUAUGAAGAUACUCGUUGGGUAUUCGUUCUUUUUAUGUGAGAGAGUGCUUCGUCACACGAAAUGUGUAGCGAUUUGUAUAGAUUAUAGGGAUUAUAUUUGAUUAGCCUUAUUAGGUUUUUAUUUGUUUCCCUGUAUAGUCUACUUACUUGUAUAACACUCUUUGUAAACCCUAUUUAUACUCUAUUCUCAAAGAGAAUAAUAUAUCAUAAUUUUACCCAUAUACUGUUUGACUUGGCAUCAGAGAAGUAAAGUUCUGGUGACCGUGCGUGCCCACCAAAACCAAAAAAAACCUCCUACCCGUGCAAAACCCUAAUUUGAGAAACUCUAAAUCUUGCCGUUGCUGUGGAAAUUUUUCUGUGAAAAUUUUCUGCGUUCGUGUCUUGUUGUGUUGAUUGUUUCCGCUGUUAUUUGGUGUGUGUGUUCUACAACCAUGGCUGGUGAUGAUGUUGUUAAACCCAACUUCGGUUCAUCUGGUACCAAGGAUGAACGACCCUACCGUGAUUAUUCUGCUCCUAUUGCACAAGAGAAAUUAGAUGGCUCCAACUAUGUCUCCUGGUCUCGUAACGCCUUUCUUACGAUAACUGGACCACGUAUGGCGGGGUUUAUCAAUGGCAAAAAACUUGCUCCUAAGGAUGGUGAUUCUGUGGAAUACUCCGAAUGGGAAGAGGAUAAUUGUUUGGUACAAAUAUGGCUUCUCAACUCUAUGACUCGGAGUGUGAGAAGUCUCUUUGAGCGUUGUACUUCAGCAUAUGAUGUGUGGGAGGCUGCAAGGAAGACUUUUACAGUCACCCAAAACAGCUCCUGGUUGUUUCAACUUCGAAGACAGUCCGUGACUACAACCCAAAAUGGUGAAUCUGUUGCUAUGUUUUAUGAGGAGCUUCAUGUUAUCUGGGAGGAGAUUGACAAUCUUCGUGCUAACCCACAUACCAAUCCUAAGGAUGUGGCUCUUCGACAUAAGGAAAUUGAAUCUGAGAGGGUGUAUGAUUUUCUUGGAGGGCUAGAUCCACAGUUUAAUGGUGUUCGUAGCCGUAUCUUGGCUAUGACUCCGGUGCAUUCUGUCUUGGAGGCGUAUGCAUUGGUCGUGGAAGAAAGCACACGUCAAGUCACUAUGCUUGGGGUGCUGCUGCUUUGAAGAUUGGUACAAGCCAGCAUCAGACAAAUGGUGCUUCCUCAACUGGCGGUGGUGGUCGUCAGUCGUCCCUUGUGAGUGCACGUUCCGGAGGCUCUUCGAACUCCAAGUCUGCCGUCUCCCGCCCUCCUGCAGCAAAGGCUCAACCUGGUUCUCGUGAAUGUGCCCAUUGUAGAGGUGAUCAUCUUUUAGAAAAAUGUUUCCAGCUUCAUGGUGUUCUAGAUUGGUUUCCUGAGUACAAGGCCCAUAAGUUUGGACCCAAAGCUGCUCAUGUCGUGACUGCAGACGAGCUUGAGUCGCCUCGUCCUUCCAUGAAUUUGAGUGUGAUAAAUUCCGUACCAGGUAACAGUUCCAAUACAUGGAUAAUUGACACUGGUGCUACUGAUCAUGUGACUUAUAAUUUUAAGAUUUUUGAUGAGUUGUCUAGCCAAACUUGUGACCCUUCUAUCACGUUUGCCAAUGGUAUGCCGUCUCCAAUUACUGGAGAAGGCACAAUCACACUUACCCCUACCUUGUCCCUGGCACAUGCGUUUUUGGUACCCAAUAUUAAUUGUAAUUUAUUAUCUGUGGGACGAUUACUGGACUCACUAAAUGCCUAUGCUACUUUCUAUCCUACAUGGUGUAUGUUUAAAGAUCUCAAAACCCACGAGACGAUUGGACGUGGUAAAAGGAUAGGGGGUUAUACUACUUGACUCUACCAACAGACGUGGUUCAUGGUAGUCUUGCUAAUAAAGUUCAGAGUGGCAGUGACAAGGACAAGCAUGAGUUGUGGUUAUGGCAUCGUCGCUUGGGACACCCUUCUUUUGGAUAUCUUAAACCUUUAUUUCCUUCACUAUGUCGUUCAUAUGAUGAGACUUGUUUUAAGUGUGAAACAUGUGUAUUGGCCAAAAGCCAUUGUACUGUUUUUCCGUUAAGUAAUAAUAAAGCUCUUCAGCCAUUUGCGUUGGUACAUUCCGAUGUAUGGGGUCCUGCUAAGAUUACUUCAAAUGGAUUUCGUUGGUUUAUCACUUUUAUUGAUGAUUGCACCUGUUUAACUUGGGUUUUCUUGAUGAAGAAUAAAAAUGAUGUGACAUUUAUUGUACAAGAAUUUACUGCCAUGGUAUCUACUCAGUUCUAGACUAAAGUCAAAGUGCUUCGGUCUGAUAACGGAGGAGAAUAUGUGAACACUGCCUUGAGUUGUUUCUUUCGUGAACAAGGUAUUAUUCAUCAGUCGACUACUCCGUUUACACCCCAACAAAAUGGUGUCUGAGCGGAAGAAUCGUCAUUUACUUGAAGUUGCUCGUGCUUUGCUCUUGGGAAUGUCGGUCCUUAAUUAUCUUUGGGGACAUGCAGUUUUAGCCGCAUGUUAUUUGAUCAAUCGGACUCCUAGUCGAGUUCAUGAUUUCCGCACACCUUUUGCAGUUUUACAAGAACAUAUCUCACCUAUCGGUAUCUCCAAGCUUCCUCCCAAGGUGUUUGGAUGUGUUGUGUAUGUGCAUAUUUAUUCUCAUCAACGGAGUAAGCUAGAUCCUUGUGCUCUUCGAUGUGUGUUCAUUGGGUAUUCAAAUACUCAAAAAGGUUACUAGUGUUAUCAUUCUCCUACUCAAAAGACUUAUGUCUCCAUGGAUGUCACCUUCCAUGAAGAGGUCCCGUAUUUUGCCUCAUCAUCUCCUAUCCCUCCACUUCCCGAUGAGAGGGUUUGCGAAGUGUUUAGUGAAGGAGCAACAGAAAGUGCAGGAAAUAGUGAUAUUGUGAGAUUGCUCGAGCCACCUUGUCUUACCAGACCCCGGAAAUGUGGGAGGAGAGCUUGAGGUUUACGGUAGAAGCUUGUCUUACCCAUGUGUCAGUUUAUGAUUUGCAAGUCGAACAAGGCACGAAAUUCGGGUUGUCGUAAGUGGAGUGAGUGAUGAAAUCUACGGUUUUAGUUUUGGAAUGAAUUUGGUCCUGAAGUUGGAGUUUCCGUUGCCUUCAGAAACGCGGUCUGCUGAGUUUUAUAAGAUGGCAUCUCGGACACUUUCGGAUGCAGGUUACAACCUCUAGAAAUUAGCAGUUACUGCAAGAGUGGAUAUCACUGCAAACACAAUCCAACUUAUUGGAAGAACAAGCCUUUCUAUGCUUUUGGCCUUGGCUCCGCUGGCUAUGCCGAUGGCGUUAGGUUUUCGAGACCAAAGAAGAUGAAAGAGUACACAGGACGAGGAGAGAAGGGACAUCGCUGCAGGUGAAUUCAACACCUUGCUAGUAAACGAGGACGAAACUGAAAGAAGUCCUGCCUACAUUCGGUUUAGUGAUCCAGAUGGUUUCCUUUUGUCGAACGAAUUGAUAGCACUUGCAUUUGCGGUUGUAGCUCCAUAAGCGAAGAGCAAUUCCAUGUACCUGCAGCAUCUGGUGGUAGAGUAUACUUGAACACAAGCAUUCAAGUAGUGUCAUGGCAUCGUCCAAAGCUGAAGGCUUCGAAUUUUCUGUAUAGCAUAGCAUCAGAAGAGAGAUUCAACCCUUGCGCCUAUCGUUGCCAUAGUCAUCGAGAAAAUGGUGCAGCAGAGAACCAUGGCCGGGACAUGCGUCAUUCAAGUGAUAAGCGACCAGCUGAGCAUAUCAAGAAACUAACAGGUUCAAGUUCCCGGCAUUGGAGAGGCAUCGCGGAGAAGAAUAUGUUGAGGUCGAUUGAAACAUGAGUAGUAAAAGGAAGGCUUGUAAGAUUUGUAAUCAAAUAUCGUUCGCAAAGGCAUUUCCUUCAGUUUUUUGUUUGGUCAUCCAACCAGAAUCAAAGUACUUGUUGUCUUAUAUAAAUUAAGAAAAUCAAUGUUCCACAAAACGUACCAACAUGAGGCCGAAUUACAAGUUUAGACGAUGAACUACAACAAACUAUAGACGAUGAAUUACAGGUGUACGGAAGAAUAGAUUGUUAGCACCUAGUUCUACUUUCGUCAUCCACCAGCGGCUAUUAAGGGAAUGAUACGUCACGUCAGGAGCAACAUACUCCUCCACGUGACGUAUAGCAUGCCGAUCUACAAGGAAAUAUGUUGAACGGCAAGUUUGUGCCUGAAAAAUCCUUGAUGUUCAUUUCAUCGACACCAAGUCCCUGAAUUGAAACAUAGGAAACAUAUAGAGUUUGAAAUCCGAGUCGCAUUUUGUGAUUUACAAGCGACUACGAGGGUUUUGUUUUCUGCCCAACUUUUGAGAUGCGCCUAAGCUCUUGGGUUCCUUUCCUCAUCUCUCAGCAAAUUGCAAAGAAAUUAGGAAAAUCUUGCAACAAAUCCAAAUGUGAAAUCUAAGUGUCCGAAAAAGUGAUACCUUUGGUGCAAAUACACCAUCAGAUAGAAAAUAGGGAGCAGCAUCAAAGUCAGUAUGGAGAUAGCCAGGUAGAAUACACUUAUAUGUUUCUGCAAAAACAAAACAACGUGACAACAUAUUCUCCGUGACGCAAAAAUCCUCAAAAGAAAGAAAAAUACGGAAAUAGAAAACAACAGACAAUCAUGGCAAACUGCAAUGGAACAUAAGCCAGGAUUGAAACUGCGGCACAAUUCAUUCUUUAUAGCGAAACCAACUGCAGUAACAGACUGAGACCUUACCUCUCCUCCUCUGGGAAAAAGUUUCCGUUUCCCCGAGCAAGUAUGAGCGUGACAAAAUUGGUGCAAGAAAAACUCUAUAAUAAACCCAAGUAUAAGCACAAGUACAAUAAAAGCAGUAGUGGUAGAGCUUCGGUUGACAACAAAAAAAAUACCAUUAAGACGGCGUGCUGAAGGACUUUGAUUAAUCGGGAAACAUCUAUUGGCAAGACCCUGCAUUAUAAAAGGGGAAAAAAGUAAAAAAGAUUAAACAAGGUAUGUAUAAGAAUCAACAAUACAAACAAAUAAAGUGCCUUGACGCAACCUCACAUAGGUGGUGAUUCCAUGCAACAGAUGCAGGAUUGCAUUUGGUUUUGCUCGACUUGGUAUUCAUCACAGCAUCGCAAUGCAAAGCUCCGCAUAAAUCAGCUAAGCACUUGCUGCUACUCUGCAUUCAUCAAAUUUUUUUCAAAGAGCACAAGAGAAACCAUAUGACGGAAACAAAAAUCAUACAUACGAUUAAAGAUAUAAUAGAAAAGAUAGAGAUCAAAUAAAUUUAUAAUCAUGUAUUGUUGUAUAAUGCAACCAUGCUUGAAGCAGACGCAGAAUAGCUCUUCGGACUUUGAAACAACUCCAGAUGCUAACUACCCUUCCCCGGAGCACCAAAGUACAAAAUACACAUCUUAAGAAAGGAAAGAUUAUCACUUGGAUAUUUCUUUAUCUGUGUUAUACAAUGCCAUCUUGUACAGAAGUUUAAGCCAUGUAAUUGUUCUUCGUCAUUUUUUAAGAAAUAGUUUUAUGAUCUAAUUUAUUGCAUCAUGCUACAAGCCUACAGCUAAAAUGAUAACUUUAAAUUUGCUUAAUUAUUUUUUUGAAAGCACGUUUAUGAAACCCCAACACAACAGGGAACUGAUAAACAUGGACUAGAUGCAAACGCUUUUAAAAGAAAAGUUCUUUCAUUUGCAGAUAAGCUGAAUAGAGAUAACUAGUAAUAUGCCCACGCGAUGCUGCGGGACUUGAAUGCACCAGCCUUAACUAUAUGAAUAAGACACGUUUAACCUAAAAAACAUUCAAUAUAAUCAUGAACGAACAAACAUGAUAGAUCUAGGAAAUUAUAAAAAGCAUUGUAACUCCAAGAAAUUAUAAAAAUCCAUCCAGUCAAGAGACAAUAAAAUAGUUGUGGGAAGGUGAGUAUGCAACCAAGAAUCUAAGAUAUACUUGACUUGCAAUUCCAUUAUAAUUUCACACACAAAAAUAGAUCAAAUUUUGAUUGAAACAUCAAACAAAACAAUCUCGUAGAUUGGACCAACUAAAUAAAGAAUAUAUCAAUAUGAUUUUCAACGUAACCAUAAAAAAGAGCUUUAUAAAUUCCAUAAAAAAAACUGAUUGCAUGUUAUCAAUUCCAUAGGUAAUUUGAUUUUGCAGUCUCAGACACCCAACACCUCUCUCCCUCAAAUAGAGAAACAUGCAGUCUCAGACACCCAAGAGGGGAAAUAUCUAUUUAUAAUUCCAUAGGUAAUUUGAUUUUACAUAUCAUGAACGAACAAACAUGCAGUUUCUCUAUAUAACUUUUUCGUUCCUCGAUUCUUUUCAUUGUUUCGAGCCUCAAUCAGUUUCUUUAAAUUUUUAACCAAAACUCCUAGAAUUUGUUGUUCGCUUUGAUCAAUCUUUUUCACCAUUUCAUCUACCUUGAAUCACAAAUUAAAUAUAGCGUUAAUAUUUAUAUUUUUUAGAAAAAUCUGUUUAGCUUGUAGGUCUUACAAUAACAAAGUUAAAAUUUUCAAAAAUUUAAAUAUGGAAGUUGUGAUUUUUUUUUGGAAAUAUGUCUGGUUUGUUGAGAGAUUGCAGUUCUUAACAACACUUAUUAAAGCACUUCGGGGCUGAUGAGACAGUUGACUACUAGAAAAACCUAACGAAAACAUCAACCAACCAAAGUAACCAACCUUCAAAGAAUGAUUUGGAAAAGUUAGAACACAAUAAGGAAAGGAAGCAACCAACAAAAAACAUAUAAAACGCCUAAUAACAUUUGAUAAACAAUUAAGAACACUGGGUUAAAUAAGAAUCACAACAUGAAGAGACCUUCAAACAACAACAGAAUUGCAUAGACAAAAUUUAAACCAUAAAAAAGAAAGAACUAUCAGACCUCUGGACAAUCAGAGGUCACAAAGAUAAUCAUGAAUGAGAAACAAAGCACAGAACAAACAUAUAAUAUAAGCUGAAAAAAAACCCAAACAGUGAUUUUUAAAAUUACAAAAUCGCAUUGUUUGAAAUGGAAAGCAUAGGGAAGUAACGUAUUCAAGUUCAGGACAUACCAAAGGCUUGAUUGAAAUGUAAUGGCUCAGAACCCCUUCAUCAAAGGCAGCAGCAAGAGCAGAUUAUGAUUCAACGAUGUGGGCCUGAUCUAAACUGCAAAAAAGUAAUGAGAUUGCGAUUAAGAAUUCGAAGUGCAAACAAACAGAUACAAUAAAAGUAACUUAAAUUGUUAUGGUAUAAAGGACUCAAUCUGUGAAGUGCACCAAAUAAAGGGUAAGUCUCAGAACAUUAAACAUAAAAACUAAAACACCCCCAUCUCUCUACAAAUCUUACAAACAAAAUCCUAAACGUAAUCGUUGAAAUCCAAACAGACCUAAUUUUGAAACCGUUUCUCACCCCAUACCAUAGAAAAUGCACCCUAUACCCCAAAAAUAAUGCUCAGUGGCCAGAUAGCAAUCUGUGCACGUUGAUCAAGAUGUCACUAAUUAGUUUUUGCUAACAGAUGGUUAACCAUUUUGCCAAUAUUUUUUUUUAUUUUUUUUUUGCAGAAAGUGGAGCAUGUUUAACUUUAAAAGACGAUCUCUAUUUUGCCUAGACAGAUUGCAUGACCAAUGCCUUGCCAUACAUUCACAAAAAUGAGCAGUGCCGAUUGACAAAUGGACAUACCUGAAUGGUACUAACCGAAGCACAACAAUCCUCCCAAGGAAAACAAACAAUGAAAUGACUUCAAGAAAAAUCUGUAUCAUUUAUUCAAUGAAACACCCUAAGUUGGAAAAGAGUGAAAUUAAAAUUGAAAAACAAUAAUCUAACAGAGACAAAUUUAAAAGCAAUUAAGCAUUAGAAUCUUUACAAAAACCAACAAAAAUGGUUGCAAGUUAAAAUUUGAUAUAUGGCUGAAUUUCCCUAAUGUUUAUAAUAAUUAGUGAAAACAAAAUUGGAUACAUCAGUUAAGAAUACACCAAAGCUUAAUACACCGAUGUAACAUGUUGCAACCAUUAAUACAUGUACAUAGAGACACACAUUUGAGAUGGGAAACCCUCCCCCCCCCCCCCCCCCCAAAAAAAAAAACACACACAUUUUGAAAAUAUAGCAAAAUAAAUUUAUAAAAGCAAAUGUGUGCUGCUUCACCUAUCUGAAAUGAAAUGAAAGGCUAUACUGAAAUGAAAGCCUACCAGGUGCAAAUAGAAUUAAACCAUAUAGAUGGGCCUUGUACAUGGUUAAAUCCUUGGUCUCCAGAAAUUAUGGUAAAAGGAAGACUAAUCAAAUGAUUACUCUUAGAACUAUACUAUUGUUUCAAUUUUUAAAAAGUGUUAACUGAGUGAAAAACCACACUAUUUAAAGAACCAGCAGAAAUCAGAAUAACAAUAGAAUACUACAGAGGUAAAUGAACAACCAUUGAUAUAAUUUUUUUCUCAACAUGGCAACAACAAUCAGAAAAAGAAAAGGAGAAAAUCUAUGGGAUAAAUGUAAAGUCUGUUUGAAAAGUUCAAUAUAUCUGUUUGUUAAACUGGGUUAUCAAACUUCACACCCAUGCUUUUCAAAAAGAAAAGAAAAAGAAGAACUGAAAUCAUUGACAAUUUCAAGUAAUAUAGCAGCUAUUAUUAAGAUCGAAAAUGAAUUCUGGAAAGUAUGGAGACCAAAGACUAUUAAAAGUUGGAAAUAUAUGCCGAUGCAGCUGUUUGAGAACACAGUUUGGGAAACUUUGUGUAGGAAAUAUGCUCGAAAGGAAAAUCAACAAUAGGUGAGUAUCACUGUCAAAGCUGGUUUAUGUUUAAAUUACUGAAUCACCAUAAUCGUUGUUGGUUGGUUUUCACUCAUGGUCUACUUUUUAUUCAAGUUCUUGUAAAGAAAAUUGGUCUUUUAACAUGCUCUUUUCUAAAUUUAAAAAAGGAUCAUAAUUUUGUAAAUACAUUCAAUUCCCAAAUUGAAAUUGCAGUAUAAGCAAGCCACAGUUGAUCACAUGGUUUUUUAUCAUAGCCAUAAUUAGACUAAUGUGAUUUAUACUUAGAGACAAAUAUGUUUUUUCAAAUGGUUUUUUCUGUCAAAAUUAAUAGAAAUAUGAAAAUGAUCAUCACAAAUUUCAAAACCCGAAUUAACCAAAAUUAAAAGGAAAUGGACACCAUGAGUGCUUGCAAGAUGAGAGAAGGGAAACAAAAAAGGAAAUGGUGCGUUUGAACAAAAUGAUGAUAAUUUAAAACCUUAGGUAUGAAAAUGCUUAAUUUUCAUGUGUUAAAUGAAUGAGGAUAUCUUAAAACUGUAAUUGGAAUGACCAGAAUGUUUUAAAACCUGUUAAAAAAAACAGAAUCACAGACAUAAUUAAAAAAAAAAAAAAAAAGAACCCAUCCAACAUCUGGAUAAUCAGGGGAUCACAAAGAGAAGAGAGAAAAAAAAGGAAAGAAAGCCGAAACCAAACGAAUAACAUAAGGUGAUCAAACUGAACAUUAAAUAAAAAUUUCAUAAAGUCGCAUAGUCUGAAAUGGAAAGCACCGGAAAAGAAAAUUACAUUUGUUAAAACAAUGGACUUAUAAAGCUGGUUUAUUUUUGCUUCAGGUUAAUAGAGUGGUAACUACAGAACUCAAAGUUAACAUGCACUGUGAGGCUUGUGCAAAGCAACUCAAGAAAAAGAUAUUCAAAUUAAACCCUAUUACCAAUGCAGAAUGUGAAACACUUCUGUAUAUUUGUUUUGGUUUUGGUGUAGUACAACACUGCACGUUUGUCAAACACUUAUGCAGAAUGUGAAACACCUGUGCAAAGGCAUGUAUUUAUCGUGCUAUAAAUAGCCUGUAGUUUGUCAUUUGGGAGAGUUUUUUUUUUUUGAAUUUUUUUUUUCCACAACUCAAAGUUCAUUUGCCAUAGCAUAUCUGCCCCCCCUCCCAACCCGUAAAAAUAACCUUACAAAUAAUAUUAAGCAGCACCAUUUAAGAAUCUAAAAACAGCCCAAACUAACCACACAGACAGGACAGACACCGAAACACGGAGACAUGCAACACAAAACCUGUAAUUAGAUCUCAAUCACAAAAUGGCAAAACAAAAUUCCUAAUCUAACUAUCCCUAUACUAAUAGCCCAUCCAAGCAAAUACAAUUCUAAUGGGGUUUAGAACAAAUAAACCAAUCAUCCAAUUCAAAUGGCGUUUGGAACAAAUACAGCAAUCAUUCAAUUGGAACAGGGUUUGUUACAAAUACAUGCUAAGCUAUCUCAAGCUUUGCAUAAAUAGAGAGAUACAGAUACGUGCACAAAAUAGAAAGAAGCCCAAUUCCAUUCUAAGGUAAAACAACCAAAUGGAUGCUUAAUUAUCUCAAUCGUGGCAUAAAUGGACAAAUACUGAUAUGUACACUAAAUAGAAAGAAACUCAGUUCCAAUAUAAGCUCAAACGACAAAAAUUGAAUUAUAUAUUUAAAAUCUAAGCAUGAAAGCUUCACAAAUAUAAAAUAAAAAAUAAAAAAUAAAAAAAAAGGUAGAUAGCUAAAUAGCCUUUGAACAAAGAUGAAGGGGUAUAAUUAUAUACCUCAAAACGGCAUGGAACCAACUUCUUCCUCAAAUGAUCCAAAUUUCUAUAAUCUGCACAGAAAAUAGAUCCAUUAGCAACUUAGACACUUUCAAAUUUAACAGAGAAAAUCUAAAAAAUUCUUGCUAAAUGACCAAAAUAUAUGGAAGAGCAACAAAAAUGAUAUCCAUUGAAAUUGCAGUUCCUCUGUUAACAGAACGAAAACAGAACAUGAAAAUGAGAUUCAGUUUAUGAAUCCAAUUUGGUGCAUAAGGGAGAAUUUCAGCAUUCAGUCAAUUAAAUGUGUUCAAUGCCAUUUCUUCAAAUUAAACCCCUACCAAUUUGUGAUCAGCUAAUUGUUUAACUCAAGCAUCUGAUUCCUCUGUGUUUAAGGUGAGUGCUUUUGUAUAUCGAAAUUAAAUUCCAAUCCAAACUCAAAUUCCAAGACAAUUUGUUGUGGUGCCCUUCGUGCAUAUAUAAUCCAUGUUUCCCUCUUUUUUCAUCUGGUCUAUCAGAUAAAUGUGAGUACUUAUUGAGUGCAUUUAAACCAAAAAUGUUGACAGAGGCAUAAUUGGAGAAAGAAAAGGUCUUUAUAUCAAUAAAAAUCAAAAGAUACUUAAUAAUUGGACAUAGAAAUGAGUCUCUCUGAACCCUCAGUUGAGAACUUUGUUAUCCGACUAUUAUAUCAUCUAUAAGCUAGUCUGCUAUGCGAAUCGUGUUUCCGGUGUCUUCUAAGUUUCAAAAAACUCUGAUGUGGAAAUUAUUUAUUGUGAAGGGUAUAACAAUUAAAUAUGAAAUUUUUUUUAUGGUGAUGCACUCGUAAUGUUUGUGCACCUUCGUGAGUUCGGAGUGCAUCACCACCGUCCCCCAUAUGACCCACUGCCAAACCCACUCAAACACCAUCUUGGUAACCUAACCCUGAUGCUACAUGCCCAAUCCCCCCUCUACUAACCCCUCGCCCCUCUCCAGAUUUCCCAGUCCUGUUGAGCCACCCUUGACAGGCAUUCUCAGCAAGUCAAAAAACAGAGGCAUUCGCAAACAGAAGAUACAAUAUACAGUAAAAGGAAAAUAACAACUGAGGAGAAAAAAUAAAAACCAAAAAAUAUAUAAACAAACAUCCCUCCCUACUUAAAAGCUUGUGGUGCCAACUAUUUCAUUUGAUUGAAAAUUAUAUGUUUGAAUACUCACAACCUGCUUGCUUGAUAGCCAUUUUUUCUAUCUUAGUGUUUUUCAAAAUCACUCAUAAUCAUUUUGGUCCAAUUCUAAAACAGAAAAAUGGCAAGAAAAGGGCUUUUUACAAAAGCAUAAGUACAUACCAAUUCGGCAGUGAAUCCUCGUGAUUCCUCCUGGGACCUUGAUGAGAUUAUUGCUGGUGAUCUGAAGAUAGAAAGCUUCAAUUAGGGUGGCUUGUUUUCCGAGUGCACAGAAAGACAAAAAGGGGAAAUAGGGUUCCUAGCAUAACACAAAACAUAUUAUUGUAUACAAUGGAAUUCCUACUGCUAAAUAAGAGCAAUGCUUUAGAAGUAAAAAGUUGAAAUUGUUUACCUUGAGCACAGAGGGCUUUCUAGGCUGCAAAGAAAAGGCCCAAAAAACGAAAAACCAGAGUCUCCUGAAACUGAAAACAAAACCAAAUUAAAUACACAUGUAAGAUCAAAACCCCUAAAAUUACAAAAAGUAAAUUUGAAUAGAAAACCCUCUUAUUGUUCAUCUUCAUCUGUGCCAAUCAAAACUGAUUCUUUACAGAAUGUGUGUGUGUGUGUAAAAUUUGCGUUUUUGAAAUAUAUAGUUACCCCUAAUUGGUUACCCUGAUUUCAUAGUCUCCAUUAUUGUUAAGACUUGGAAGCCCACUUCCUACAACCAAUUUCAAAACAUGCAUAGAAAUUUUGCAUGUUUGAUUUCUGAAAAAUAAUUUGUACCUAAGCUAGUAGAACUUUAGAAAUUUAUCUUGCAACCUAAUCUAUUGCCUAGUUCCAUUCUAACGUAAAACUACCAAAUGGAUGCCUAGUCAUCUCAACCCUGACAUAAAUGGACAAAUACUGAUACGCACAUUAAAUAAAAAGAAACUCAGUUCCAAUAUAAGCUCAAACGGCAAAAAUUGAAUUAUAUAUUUAAAAUCUAACCAUGAAAGCUUCACAAAUAUAAAUAAAAAAAAGGUAGAUAGCUAAGUAGGCUUUGAACAAAUGGAACCAACUUCUUCCUCAAACGAUCCAAAUUUCUGUAAUCUGCAAAGAAAGCAGAUCCGUUAGCAACCAAGACACUUUCAAAUUUAAAGCCACAUUAUGCAAUUUAAGCUAAGUAAAGUUAAACCCUCAAUUAAUCCCCAACUACAAACCUGAAUUAAACCUUCAAUUAAACUCCAAAUUAAACUAUUAACAAAACCCAAAUUAAAUCAACAAUUAGGAAAGAUAAAAAUACACCUAUUAAAAGCAUUGCAUAACUGAGAAAGCUACAUUUCUAAGAAAGAUUAAAACCUUUUUACAAAACACACCUACUGAAAAGCCUCACAGUUUUAAAGAUUGGAAGUUUUUGCUCAAAUUUUGUUUCCUUCAUUUGUUUAAAGUUCAUUUUCUCUCUCUGUUUUACAACUCUACUCACACAUAUAUCAACACUCAAAGUUCACUCUAAAGCACAAUACUAAAUCAAACUAAAGUUUUACCGUGCUAAAGCUGCAAACAGGGGAGCUUGGAAAUUAAAAUUGUUGUGGCAUGUGAAUUCCCAAGUGGUAUUAAACUAUCAAUGAUCAUAAGAAAGCUAAUGAUGAAAAAGAAACUGACGAACGAAAAACAAUGAUGCAUUUGAACACAUAGAGAAGAAACUUGUUUCAAAAUUAUACUACCUAGCAACAGAGAAGCAAAACAAUAAAUAAAACAGCCUUCUAACACCCUUAUCACACAAAUAGAGAAGCAACAAAACAUGGAGAAACAACCUAGCAACAGAGGGAUAUUAAAAGGAUGAAAAGCAGAAAAGGAACCUGAAUUCAACUUGUUGAGAAGGAAACAACAGCAAAGCAUGAAGAAAACAAAAAUGAGCUUAGUGCAACACCCCAAGUUUAAAAGACACAACCUUACUUUAACAGUGUACAAAAUAGUGCACCAAACAGACUUAUCUUCCUAACACCCAACUAAACAGGCUAUAAACAUCCAUUACAAUUUUGCCGAAACAAAAAAAAUGCCAAUCAUAGUUUUAACAAAACAAAUGGGAAACAAACAAUAAACAAUGAUUUCUGAACAGUGUUUUACCUGUUGAAUCAGAUGACAAAACUGAAAACCCUCUCCUCUCCCAUACCUCCCUCAGACAUCCUCUGCUCACCAACCCCGUGGGGUAAGCCCGUUAACCCCAGAAAAAUGCACAGCAUGCUCUCUGCCCUCUCUCUCUCCCUGUCCAUCUGUCUCUCAAAAAGUGGGAAAAAAAUCUCCAAACAUCUCUCCCACUCAUGAAAUCGAGGAUCUGCAGCAAUGGCGCUGAAAUUCCCACUCCUCCCUGUCGCUCUAUCUAUCACUCUCUCUCUCUCUCUCUCUCUCUCUCUCUCUCCCUCUCUCUCUCUCUCUCUCUCUCUCUCUCUCUCUCUCUCUCUCUCUCUCUCGGAGGCAUGGCCUCUCAUCCCCGAAACCCUCACUGAAUGACAGCAAACCCAAACCUACCCCAAUCCGUCUCAAACGCACAGGACAAAAUUACCCUUCCAACCCAACCCCAAUACCACCCCAAACCUCACGGUUUUGUUGUAAAUAGCAUGAAAUCGAGUGGCUCCCUGAUAAGCCAUAUGGACAAAAUUACCCUUUGAAUUUUUGAGAAUUACCCUCCCAACCUAUGCAAUUCGGCCGGUAUUGUUGUAAAUAGGGUGAAAUCGAGUGGCAAAGAAUGAGUCAGCUACAGUGCCGUUCCCCCUUCAAUUUUAGAAUAGACGAGAAAAUAUGCCCGCACGUUGCUGCGGGAACCUGUUGUUUCAGGUGUAAUCGGAUGAAUAAAUUCAACACAAUAAUGAACAAAUAGUUUUUUUUAUAUACAUUCAAGUGAGCUGGCAUAUAAACACAUUGUACAAUGAGUGGUAAGAAACUUAUUGUCUUUGAUUAGAAAGAGAUGGUUUCCAAAAAAGUUCUGUUUCCUUAAGAAACAGAAGAAACAUACAUAAAAUUUCAGUUACAAAUCCAAAAAAAUAAAACAAAAACAAAAAUGUGACUCUAUGGCUUUCUUACUACACAAAAAUAUCCCUUAGUUAAAGCAUGCCACACAUCAUCACAUUGCUAUUAUAUGAAGUAUAUUCCUCAGUGGCAAGUAAUAUACUCUCCUUAGCAUGACCUCUCAAUCCCCUCUCUUUAUCUCCCUAGAAUCGUACAACAACCCAUAAAUACAGUGCCCCUUUAAAAUCCAAGCAUACAUUAAGCCAAGUAGUCAAGUUUGGAGAAGUCGUUAAAUAAUCACUAUCUGAGGAUUGAGAAUAACCUACAUUCACAUUGCACAAAGUUCUAUGGAAAAAGGGGACAAAUUAACAUAAUUAAAAUAAGUAUUAAGAUGCAAAUAUUCUUAAUAUAAAUUAAGCAGAAAAAUGAAUACACUUUACCAAUUGUCAGACAUUGCUAAUUGCCAAUAUAGCAAGAUAAUGAAUUCCAUGAACAAAAAAAAUGAUUUGCAACUUCAACUUACCAUGCCAAAGAAGCUCCAUAAUAGUAGCUUCCUCCUUACUUCAUGCAUCCGUUGAUCAUGGAAAUUAUAAAAAUCCAUCCAAUCAAGAGACAAUGUAAAAGUUGUGAGAAGGUGAAUAUGCAAUGAAGAAUCUUAAGAUAUACCUGACAAAUUUGAGAUUCCAUUAUAAUUUCACACAAAACAAUCUCAUCUGUUACAGAUUGGACCAACCAAAAAAAAUAUUCUAUUAACAUGAUUUUCAACUCAACUAUAAAAAGGAGCUUUAACAACACAAUCAAUAUCAUUUCAACCCAACCAAAAAGAAACUAAUUGUAUGUCAUCAGUUUGUAAAGAGAAAAUGUAUCAUAUUUCAUGACUAAUGAAAAGCUUACAAAUGUCAUGUAAGAACCUACUUAAGUUCAAAUGCAAGAAUGCAAAUGAAGACAAUUCACUCCAUUGUGUUCAGCAAGGGAAAAAAAAGUUACGAAAAUAGUAUGACAGUGAUUCGUACCUUUAACUUGAUCUGAUGGCAGGGCCUUGAAUGUUGACUGAACAAAACUUUGCAAGUAAUGAGGUUGUGUAAAAACUUUCACCUGAAAAUUUAAACCCACCAUUAUAUGAAGGUAAAUAAGGAAAAUCCAAUCCAAUAAUCACAGCAAUCUGAGAAGUGUAUUUUAGUUUAGAGAGCAUGCAUGUAUUUUCUAACAGCGAAAACAUGAGCAAAUAUGAUUGGGCAGAAACAUAUAAUGGGCAGAAACAUGAGUGUAAAAAUUCUAAACCUCAAGAAUAUGAUUGUAUUAUAGCAAAUAUGAUUGGGUCGUACUCGAGGAUCAAAUGGGGACUUGAGAUUUUGGUAACUGUGUAGAAGAAAAAGAACACCAAUGGAACAUUCCUACAAACUAACCCUCAAACCCAUCCGAAUCAGAUCAACUAAUCAACCAAAUUAGCCCAAUCAAUAACCCUAUAUUUACUCAACCAAAUUUGCCCAAUCAAUAAUCCUCAAGGAUAAGAUUAUUUUAACUAUACACAAAUUCACAUGCUAGUCAUUUGAUACAUUUAACUAAUUCUGCAAGUUGUAUUUCUGUAAAUGGGAAUGAAAAUGUAACUUUUGGUCAUAUACUUUCAAAACCAAUACACAUCUCAAAUGUGGGAGUCUCAAAAGUUGUUUCAUUUGUUUCAUUCCAAAGAAAUUUUUUGUUUAGACAGAUAUUCUAACAAAAUACUCUCUGAUUGACACUCACUUUAACCUUAGAAGAACUCACAUUUCUCUAUCUGAAAAGGAGUUCAGGGAUAUGAAAAAAAUACUUAAUACCAAAAGCAUAAACCACACUCAAUACAAUCAAUAACUAAACUAACAAUUUAUCAAAAACACCAUCAAAUUAAACACCUUUAAACCAUAAAAACCAAAGGAACAAACCAUCUAAUUAAUGAGUGGUGAGUGCAGACUUUCUGGCAUUCAGGGCACCAAUUAUCCCAACAGAGAACGCGUUUUGGUCCUCCUCCUUUACCAUUUCCUCCUCAUACCCUGAAUCCUCAUCCCCUGCACGUUCCAAUGCCGUCUCGAGAAGCGCCUUAGCAAACACCGGGGAAGGAAAAACUAAUUAAUUUUUUUAAGACAAAUAUUAGUGCACUACAGAAAUACAUCAUCUAUAAUAAGGAAACACGUGAAUGCCUAAAAACACUAUUAAGUCUAAUAUAUCCUUGCAUUUCUAUUUGAAUUCAGAGUACGUGGAAAUCACAUCAACAAAUGAAAGCCCUAAAUUUUUAUCAUCAUGAAUUGGAAAAAUCUGCAAAACCUAAAAAAUUUCACCGCAUCAAAAUAAUUACAAAUUAAACCCCCCAUUCUCUUAUAUAGCUGAUAAUCAAAACCAAAUUAGUAAAUUACUCAGCUAAAAGCCUUUUUUCACCGAAAACACGGAAGGCAAGCCUGAGUCCUAAUAAUCCAAAAUCACGUCAAAUGGAGGAAAAUGAUAUAUCAGAAUCGAAUACUCAUAUAUUAAUAGAAAUUUUUUCCUUAAUUUAUCUAAUUAUAGAAAUAAAAAAAAUUAGAUCAAGAAAACCAAGAGCCAGAUACAAUUUUGAUGCAAAGAAAGCAAAGUUAGAAUACCAAGAGCCAGAUUAUGCUAUUAAAUCAGAGAAAACUGAGAUGCAAUGGAAUAUAUACAAUCUAAUCCAAGAAAGCAAACCAAAACCCUUACUGUCUGAGAGAAAUUGGGAUAGAACAUCAUAGAGAUAAAGCAAGAGGAAAGAUAUACCUGGCUCUGGUUGGAAUUGCUGCCGAUGAAUGUUUGGAGAGAAGCUUUACCUUUCACUCGCUUUUGAUUCCUGUAGCCACAACAGACACAUCACUUGUGACAGUUUCCAAAGGGAAUUCCGAAUUCAGAAUUCUACAACCUAAACCAUAAUUAACUCACAAUUUAGUUCCAUCAAUAUGAUAGACAUACCAAACUGUCAACAAACUAACAAAAGUAAACAUAAACGUCCCUAGAAAUAGCCCAAUGGUAGGAUUAUGUAGUCCGACUGUGCUGAACUAAAUAAGAAAAAAUUCAAGCGAUCAAAGCUAAUCUAGAGCUUUCUCCGCUCCCAAACAUAGCAAGAAUCAGAACGUGCGUCGUCAAUUUCAAGAAAUUCACAGAAAGAGAGAAAGAAAGGGAUAGAGUAGUACAAACCUCAGAUCGAUUGGCCUCGAUCCUUUGGAUUCCCUCAUUAUCUUAGCAGAAAUCGACAAAAGCAUAUAUACAAUGACAUUUUAUCAGCUACUGGUUGGACCACGUUUAUUACCUGCCAUAAACGGAGAAACAAUUUGGUAUAAGAAUCUCAUUCCACAAAACUUCUUCAGUGUUGGCCUAAACAACUGCAAGCAAAAAAAUCCCCAAGAUACAUACUUUCAUCCAAAUCAUCCACUGCCAUUAACAAAACCACACCAUAUCUUCCUCUAGCUAAGAUUAAAAGAGUGAACUUAUCACCCAAAUAAAAUAGGUAUAUUAACGAAUAUGAGUUAAAAAGUGGAGGAAAGCAACAAAACCAAUCAAACAACGAAUUGUCAAUAGAAUAAAACAACAAAUAUAGAUAUCUGAAUCAAAGUUUUUUUUUUUUUUGUCAAAUGAAGACUUAAAUUUCACUCAACAUUGUUUCUAAUCGUAGCUUCCUCUCUACCUGUAAAGCAUGGUUGUCUUAGCCCGACAUACAUUUUGAUCAUGCAGAAUCGAGAUGGAGACGUUAUCUGCUAACAACAGAAAUGGAAGUUCAAAAUAUUAUUGAAUCAUCAAAUGUAGAAAUUACCAAUCAAAUACAGAUAAACCACCACCAGCAACCAAAACAGUUUUUUUUUAAUGAAAUUAUACUCCUCUCAUCCAAGCAGCAACCAGUUUUUUUUAACUGCGCUUCUGUAAAACACAUGAGCACGGAUAUAUUAUAGAGAGCAACAAUCACUAAAUUUCUAACAUCACCAGCAUUUACAACAUUAAGCAUGUAGGGAAACUAUUUCAUUUCAUUUUAAUUUUAGGUGACACAACUGAUAAGAAGGGGUUGAGCAAGUAGCAUGGCAUCAAGAAUAAAGGAAGAUAUUUAGGAUGGAACAAUUAAAAGUUUCUGUAAACCAUUAAAUUUAUGCUUAGUGAGUAUACCAGAAUAUCUGCGUGCAAUGAAAGUACGGCAAACAGGGGUCUGUGGUUAGCUGGAGAACUCUGGAGACACGAAAAUUUCAGGGGUCUGAUUUAAGCGUCGAACGAACUCUUUCUCUCUCUGCAACCAAUUUUAGUUUUAAAAAAAAUCCAAAUUAUGAGCACCGACUAAAAAGGUCAACAAAAAGGAAAAUUCAUACUUCUAGACAUAGUGGGAAAAAACAUGAACUCAGAAUGAAACAUAAUUUUUUUUCCCUAAUAAGCAUAAGAAACAGAACAUUUUCAUUUAACAUUUUCAUUUUUUUCCCCUAAUUUUUAGAAGUAAUGUAGAUAGAUUUGUUUAGUUGCAUCAGGCUCCUCAGUUUCCAAUUGACAUGUCAAUUUAUGGUCCACUGCCCUUUCUUUUUCAGACAAUAAAUCUCAAACAUUUAUAUAACCAAAUGCAUCCAAUAAUAGAAAACUCUGUAAAUUUCCUAGGAAAGUGCACAUUCACAUAGCGAAGGGUUGCGUGAGAAAAUGUAUCUAAAAAAAGUAUAUUGGGGUACCUUAUCUGCAUUAUAUUUCACAGGUGUAGCAGGAUAGGCUUCAAGCAGUAAUCUUUCUUCUGCUAUUUCCUUCACGGUUUGUAACUCAUUGGUGAGUUUCGUUGCAAGGCAUUCAAAAGAAUAUAAAUAUAUUAGAGUUCAUUUUUAUGACACAACAACAAAGUUAUAAAUAAAUUAUCAAGGAAUACCAUAUAUAAAUGACAAAACCAAUUAUUAUAGUUAUUGCAAUGAUUUCAGCUUUGUUUAUUUUUCUUUUAUAAUGGUCUUGUAUAUGUGUUAAUUUCUUAUAAACUAUUAUUUGGUUGAGUCUAUAAUUUUCAGUCGAACAUUCCAACCAUAAAAACCAAACCUUCGAUCAUUCAAACUACGUAUUAAAUCUUCAUGGCCAACAACUUCGCUUCCAAAAUCCAAUUCACCACGUGAGGGAAGGAUUUAUGAGUAGAACGACGGGUACCGUCAUUGAUCAUUGCAAACAAAAAGCCAAGAAGAAUAAUACGACUGGGACUAAAUUUGUGCAAGCAUAGUUUCUUUUGACAAAUAUAUGUUCCCAAUUUAAUAGGCCAUUACUACUUAGCACAACAAAUUAGUUUUCGUAUCGAAACCAACAUAAAUCUAAGCAACAUACACAUUUUAAUAGUAAAUAAAUCAAAAAGCAGAUUAAUAACCACAUCACAAAUUCCCCCAGAUUAAAUAGUGAUGUUACCUCACCAGCAUGAGCAAAAGGGUGGUGUGCAGUUGUGCUGUGGCCUUGUACCAAGAAGGAUGACGACACUUAGGAAGAUAUUUGGUUGCCGUUUAACCAGAAAUUACCCGUCAGAUUUCUGAAACUCACCGGAAAAAUGCAAAUGUGAGGAUUACCUUUGAUUAACCUUAAAAUGAACUCAAAUCCAACAUGCAAUACCUGAAUUUAUCUCUUGGGAGUGAGAGUAGUCGUUUCCAGGUAAUGGCAAGGGCCAAUUCGCCUGAAUUUAUCUCUUGGGAGUGAGAGUAGUCGUUUAAUAAGAAAGAAUUCAGACCACAAUACUAUAGUUGAUUAUUAAAUCAACAGUGUAAUGUCUUGUUGAGAUUAUGUUUCAGCAUGCACUAAGAAUAAUCUCAAUGGCAUAUUCCUCUUCCACAGGUCCUGAAGAUUUCGGAAUGCGGAUCUUGGGUUCAUUUGGUUUGCAAAAUAUGAAUUCAUAAGCUCAAAAUCUCAAAACUUUCCCAAAAUUCUUCAAAUGAUGAUUUUUUUAUUUUUUAUUUUUUGAAAAGUAGAGAACUAACUGACCAUCUUCUUCCUUGAUGAAACACUUGAGAAAGAAAGCGAAGCAGCUUUGAAUCUCAGCUGCUACAUAGCUUAUAUAAAAAGCCAAAAUAUAAAAAAUUAAUCAAAAGGUUGAGAGAACUCACAUCCCAAUCAUGCUCGUUGCUGAUAUUGACACCCACUGACAGCAGCCUUCGAUUUUUGGAAUUCCCACGUUCAACUCCAUGACCUCUGUCUCUGCCAUCCUUCUUUCCCUCACAACCAUACCCAUUUUGGACCCACCCCUCAAUCCCGACACCAACCCUUGAUUUGAGGAGGAAAAAUCAAUCCAACACUCUUUUUGGCAAGCUUCACUACUCCCUCUUCCUUCCCCUCCCUGCCAAUCCACGCCAUAUCCCUCAUUGUAGCCCUGCAACCCACGUUUUUGGCAGACCUCCCUUUCCCUUCCUCUCCAUGACAUUCCACACCCUCCUCCCCCAUUCCAUAAACCCAGCCCAAGCUUUACCUCAACUCCGGCCCCCUCACUUUCUCGAAACCAACUUUCAAACCCUAGAAUGUAGCUCAUUCACUCUCUCGCAACCCACUUUGAGUGACACGGAUGCAACAACCCUCGCCCUCUCUCCCGCAUUCGCCUAACCCCAAAAUCGCUCUCUCCCUCUCCCUCUCUCUCUCUCUCUAUCUCUCUCUCUCUCUCUUUCUCUUCCCAAAUCGAGCAUCACCACUCAAUCCCCUCUCUUUCUCACCCUCAAAUCGUACACCCCAUAUGACUCUGUCUGCCUGCAAGCCGCAUGCCUUCUUCUCACCAAAUCCCUAUCUAUCUCUCCCUCUCUCUCUCUCCUCUCUCUGCUCGCUCACUCUCUCUCUCUCGACAGCAUGGUCUCACCGAGUCCCACUGUAGCUCAGAAAGAAAGGAAAUGAAACUCUCUAACUCACCCAACCCGUUCGAAACCCUACAGACCAAACUGACCAUCGCACCCCUGCCUUUCCACGAUCAUCAACACGCGGCAUGAAGAGCAGCGGCAGAGAGAGUCAGUGGCAACCUCGUAAUAAAGGGAAAUUCGGCUCCAAAAACUAUUAAUUUGUACAGUGCAAUUGAAAAGCUUUCUUUAGACUAAAGUAAUAAUUUGAGGAUUAUCAACUAGAAGAACAAAAUAUAAAUAUAACAGAGGAUAACAAAUGCGAAGAGGGCCAGCUGAAAAUGAAAUUGCUUCUUGCACUAAUUGGACAAGUGUUCCUAAUUCCUAACAUAUUAAGGCAAGGAAAUACAGUCCACAUACUACAUUCAGAAUGUUGUAGUGUCUGUUGUCAAAAUGUUGAUCAAGAAACAUUUCAGCACGGAAGCUUUUCUUACAGUAUCCGCACUGCCAUUCGUUUAUAUCCAAAUGAAUCUUGUGCUCUUCCUGAUCUCUAAAUAGAUCAUUGUCGGGAUGAAGUCGACAGUUACUUGGAAUCUCAUAGUGCUCGUGUUUGUUGGAAGUUUUGAGACUCUUGUCCCACAUUGGGGAAAACAAGAUUCUCAAGGGCCUUUAAUAGAUUUAGUGCUUUAGUCUAGUAAUUAGAAUAUGGGUCAUUUGGAAAUGGAUUGAAGGCUUGGGCCUUAUGGUUGUGUGGAUUAGGCUUGUAUAAUAUAGCCUAAAUACAAUUAAUAUUAAUUAAUCAAGACAAGAGCCUUGGGAUUCAUUAAUUUUAAUUUUCGGAUUAAGUUUUUAAUUAAUUUAUUAUUAAUUAAAAACGUUUUGAUUAAAAGACACAACUCUUAGAAAGAGUUGUGAACCUUCAAAUACACUGAACUGGUAUUUGAAAGGGUGUGAAACAGCCUAUAUAUCUGCAAUCCAUAGUAUCCAAAUAGAUAAUCUUUUUCUUGCUCUUUUCUUCUAUACGAAUUUUCUAGAGAUUAAACACACAAAAAGCAAAUUCGCUAGAGUUCUAGAAUCCAAUGCGGAUUGUAGAAUUUGAUACGCCCCGACCCUGAUAUUCCCCAAAUACCAGGAUAGACAUGUGCUGGCCGACACCCGAGGGUGACGAAAGCCAUUAAAUGAUACAAAAGCUAAGAAUAAGAAGUAAAUAAAGGUUAGAAAUUUUAAAUACUAUGAAUUAAUAAUUUAAGGAACGUGCUCAGAGCAUACAACUAAACCUAGUCACUAAAAAGAAUUAAGAUAAAAUUUAAUGAAUGAAGAAGUGAGUCCUACAUCGAGAGGAUCCGAAGAUGCUGCUGCGAAAGUGUCUUGACGCCGGGAUUGUAUGCCUCGAUUCUAAGUCCUGAAUGGGGACGCAAAACAAAUGUGAGUGGACCAAGUUCAUAUAUAUAUAUAUAUAUAUAAUAAAACAAUGAUCAAGAUACUAACCCCCACAGUUUAUAUAAUGAAAACUACUAGCAUAAUAAAUUAUGGAUUUAAUAAAAAUCCUAGCAUGCCAAAAAUAUAUCUCAAAAGCCAUAUAGCGGAAUAUCAUCGCAGAAAUCAAAAUAGUAAACGUCUCAUAAAUCGUCUCGUAAGCGCGGUGUGCUGCUAGUAAGAUCAUUGAAUAAAUAUAACUCCCGGUCCAAUGCCUGUUCCAUGGUCUCUGUGCCCGUAGCCAAAGAUUACCAACUCCCGGCCCAAUGCCUCUUCAUGUCCCUCAGCCCGUAGCUAGGGAUUAUUUCUCCCGGCCUAAAUGCCAACACCAAAUCCUCGCCCUAGGCGGUAUAGUGUCCACUAGGUACGCACAAAAUGUUACGCCUCUCAUAAAUAACCACUUCAUAGUAUAAAUACCGACCAUCGUUUAUACUAUAAAGAGGGGUUCAAAAACAUGUUCUAGCAUCAUAUCGUCAUCUAUUAGAUAGUCUACCAGUUCAUGAUUUUUAUAGAAAAUACGAUAUAUUAAAAUAUAGCUCAAUAUAGGCCACAAUUAAUUCCUCAUCAAAACACGAGACGAUAAUCAAUAUAUUCCAUAAACAUGCUUAUCAUAAAUCAAAUCAUAAACUCAUAAGGCAUGUUAUUCAUUUAUGCAAUUAAAGCAUAAAAUCAUAUAAUUUUAGAAGGGGUCCACUCACAGUACUUAGUUGCCAAAAGCUGCGCCACUAGCGAAGACGGAAACAUCACAAUAAUUGCCCCUAAGCACAUAAAGGGUUUAGGGUGAAGAAAUGUGGUUUGGGCCUAAGCCCAAACACACACACGCACCACACAAGCACACACACAACAAACACACACAUGCACGGCAUGCACAUGCAUGCAAGCAUGCAUAUACACACACGUACACAUGCACUUAAACACACACACACACGCCUAAUACACACACACACAAACCACAAAGGCCUUAAGGCCUCACACAAAGGACCGGGCUUUAAGCCAUUUCACUUAAAACCGGCCUAAGGCCCCUUGGGCUGCUGAAAAUAAAUAAUUAAAUAGAAUAAAAACGGGCUAGGAUGGGCUAGGCAGGGAAGGCCCAAAGGCCUUGGAUUUUCUGGGCUACAGGAUUCAAAAGGCCGGAAAUUCGGCCGGAAAACCACCCAACUUUAAACGACCAUAACUUUAUCACUACUCAACGAAAUCAAGCAAGACAAAAAUGAAAGUUGUAGCCCUCAAAGAGAUGAAGAGAAUGGUACCUCACGUGACGUCUAACUAGCCGUGUUUUGGCCGGAAAAUGCCUCAAAAGCCACUGAGGUCGCCGGAAACUGGGUAAGAUUCAAAUGCGUAUAACUUAUUCAAUACUCAACAAAAUUGAGUGAAACAAAAAGGAAAGUUGUACUACUCGACGGGACAAAGAGAUUGAUACCUUACACGCUGGCCAACGCACCGUGGUUUGGCCGGAAAUGGCCUCGAAAGGCGUCGGUCUGCGUUGGAGCUCAUGUAUGAGGCUUCCUGGUUCGACUUCCAAGAUGCCAAGACUAAGGUUGAGUUCGUAGCGACGAGAUAAAGACGGGGUGAUGUUUGUUGGUAAGAAAACUCUCGGAUGGGUUGAGAUAGAGAAGGCCGAGAGAGUGAGUUGCGGGAGAGGUGAGGGAGAAGAGAGAACUGAGAGAAGAGAGAGGGAGACCGGAAAACACAAAAAUAAAACAAGGUGGGCCCCAUGGGCUUACCAAGGCUUUAAAACAAUUUUUAAAUAAAAUGGGGUUGGGGUGUUUUAGAAUUGGGUAGUUGAAUCUGGUAGAACAGACGUUGAAGAACCACAAGCACAGAAGUGUGACGUAAAUAUUGUUCGAAGGACAUAGCUAUUAUUUGGUAAAAUAUAUUUUCAUUUCACACUCUGAUAAUGUUACAGCUUAGGUAUAUAUAUACAUCAAACUAACAUGUUAUCUUAACCACUAAGCUAACAACUAAGAACAUUCAUUUACGAUUCAUUUACAGUAUUGCCCUUUAUAUCCCCCCUCAAACUAAACUUGGGUAUCCGAAGUUGAAGUUUGUCACGAAGGAAGAAAAAUCGAAGCUUGGACAGAGACUUGGUGCAGAUAUCAGCUACUUGGUCUUGAGUGCAGACAAAAUGGACAGCAAUCUGUUUAGCAAAGACUUUUUCCCUAAUGUAAUGAUAGUCUAUUUCUACAUGCUUUAUCCGAGCAUGAAAAAUAGGAUUUUUUGCUAGAGAUAUAGCUGAAAGGUUGUCACACCAGAGGUGAGGUGUUGUAGGUAAGCAAUAGCCAAUAUCCACCAAUAAUUGACAGAGCCAGGUUAUUUCAGAUGCAGUGUUAGCAAGAGACCUGUACUCUGCUUCGGUGGAAGAUCGAGCAACAGUCGGUUGCUUCUUAGCACUCCAGCUAAUCAAAGAAUUGCCCAAAUAUACACAAUAACCUCCAGUUGAUCGGCGGUCAAGAGCACAGCCAGCCCAUUCAGCGUCCGAGAAAGCAGUGAGAGUAGGAGGAGUGGAACACUUGGAGAACCAGAGACCAAUAUCAAGAGAUCCCUUUAGGUAUCGGAGGAUACGCUUAACAGCCUGAAAAUGUGAAAUUUUGGGAGUGUGCAUAUAUUGGCAGACAAGAUUAACAGCAAAACUGAGAUCAGGACGAGUUCAGGUGAGAUAUUGCAGAGCACCAACGAGGGAACGAUACUCAGAAGCAUUAGCACAUAAGGGAGAAUCAUGAUCAAGUUUGGAGGUGCUGAGAGGAGUACUGCAAGGUUUAGCUCCAGUCAUGUUGGCUUUGGAUAACAAAUCCAAUAUGUAUUUGGUCUGAGAGAGAAAGAUACCAGAAGAAGAUCUUUUGACUUCAAGACCAAGAAAAUAGUGUAGCGGACCUAAAUCCUUGAUGGGAAACAGGGAACUAAGUUGCUGAAUAACUUGUUUACAGGCAGUAGAAUUUGGACCAGUAACCAAAAUAUCAUCAACAUAGACAAGAAUGAAAAUCAUAUCUGAACCCUUUUUGAUAAACAAUGAAUGGUCACUGGGAGAUCCAACAAAGCCAAGAGAAGUAAGAGCACCAUGAAGCUUGUCAUACCAAGCCCGCGGAACUUGCUUUAAAUCAUACAACGAACGAUGCAAGUGACAAACAUGAGAUGGUUGAGUUAAAUCCUCAAAUCCAGAAGGUUGCUGCAUGAAAACAGAUUCAUUGAGUGUCCCAUGUAGGAAAGCAUUACUGACAUCGAGUUGAUUCAAGAACCAAUCAAACUGAAUGGCAAGAGUGAGGAUGAGUCGAAUAUUGACUGGCUUGGCUACCGAACUGAAGUUUCAGUAUAAUCUAGACCUUCCUGUUGAUUGAAGCCCUUGGCAACGAGCCGAGCUUUGUACCGGUUUAUAGUGCCAUCGGGCUUUCUUUUGAUGUGGAAGACCCAUUUACAGCCAACAAUAUUCUGUGAUAGAGACUGGGGAACAAGAGACCAAGUUCCAGUUUUGAUGAGAGCAAUGACUUCCUCUUGCAUAGCUUGGCACCAAUGAGGAUAUUUUGAAGCUUGGAGAUAAGUUUUAGGUAUGUAAUCCACUGAGAGAUGAGAGGGUAGAAGGUGUUUAGUGGUAGUGAGUGCUUUUGGUUUGAAAAUGCCAGAUUUGGAUCGGGUUUGCAUCUGAUGGGUGUUAGGGGGUUGAAUAGGAAUGGAAUGAAUGGAAUCUUGAACUGGCACUACAGGACUAGAGUGGAUAGGUGGGGAAUUGUUAUGGGAGAAGAUGGAUGGUGAAGUGGAGGGGGAUCGAGGCAAAGUGGUUGUAGGACUAGAGGAUGAAGAAAUAGGAAAAGUAAAAGUAAGGGUGGAUGGUAUAGGUGAUGUAGGCCCAGGGGGCAGGGAGGAAGCUGAAGGUGUGAUGGGGGAGAAAUGAUGGAAUGGAAAACUGGAUUCAUUAAAGAGGACAUGGCGGGAAAUAUACACUCUGUGGGUAGCAGGGUCAAGACAUUUGUAGCCCUUGUGAUUUAAACUGUAUCCAAGAAAGACACAGGCUCUGCCUUUAGGAUCCAGUUUUGAGGAAGAAUAAGGCUUGAGCCAUGGGAAGCAAGCACAACCAAAGACCUUGAGAAGUUCAUAGUUUGGAGCUCGAUGAUAUAGAGAUUCCCAAGGAGACUGUCUGGAUGCAGUGGGCAAUCGGUUGAUAAGAUAGAUGGCAGUGGUGAAAGCCUCCACCCAAUAGAUGUGGGGUACUUUGGAAGUUGUCAAAAGAGUGCGAGCAGUUUCAACCAAGUGACGAUGUUUGCGCUCUGCACACCCAUUUUGUUCAAGUGUGUGGGGGUAAGUGAGUUGAUGAUGAAUGCCAUGUGCAGCCAAGAAUUGAGAGAAAUGAUUGCUCAAGUACUCUCUGCCAGAAUCAGAUCUCAAAGUGAUAAUAUUUGUACACAAAGAAUUUUCAACCAGAGAUUUGUAUUCCAUAAAAGUUGACAGUACAUCAGAUUUGCAUUUCAAAUGAUAAAACCAGCAGUAUCUAGUAAAGUCAUCCACAAAAAUGAUAUAAUACCGAAAACCUUGAGAAGAAGCUAGAGGUGAUGGUCCCCAAACAUCCGUGUGGACAAGUUCUAGAGGUUUGCUAGUUGUACAAGAUGUAGAUACAAAAUGAAGCUUUGAGCUUUUAGCCCAAUGCACAAUCUGAGCAGAAUGACUUAGUUGUAUGAGCCAAAACAGGAAUACAAGAUUGAGAAGCAAGUUUAUGAAGAAUCUUGACUUAUGGGUGACCCAAUCUUUGAUGCCAGACAUCCUUAGAAGCUUUUGCAGUAGCUGUGAGAGCCUUAUGAUUGCCAGUUGCAGAUGAGGAAAAUGAAAAGGAUAGAACCCUUGCUGAACAGGACCUUUAAAAUGCAUCCUCCCCGAAGAAAGAUCCUUCACAGUGAAGUGAGAGGGAUAAAAAUGCAAUGAACAAUGAUUAUCAAGCAGAAAUUGAUUCGCAGAGAGAAUGUUAUGUUUCAAAGCAGGCACAUAAAGUACUUUAUUGAGUUUAAAAGCACUAGUAGAAGUAUGCAAAGUAGUAGAACCAGAAUGAGUGAUGGGCAAACCUUUGCCAUCACCAAUAUACACUUGUUCUGGACCUGUGUAUGCUUCAGGGUUCUGCAGAGUUGCAUAAGAGUUGGUCAUGUGUGAUGUGGCGCCAGAAUCGACAAUCCAAGUAGGAUUGGAUGAAGAAGCAUUAGCAACCAUCGCUGCAGGAGAGGAUUUUCCACUAUAAGCGAGAUUGAGGCGAUGAGGACAAUCACAUGCUUCAUGGUCAAAUUGAUGACAAAUCUGACAAGGUUGUUUCUUGGUGUAGGAAGAAAAAUUGUUGCGACCUCCAUGAUUAUAACGCUGAUUAUUGCCACGAGGAGUAAAAGAUCUCGGAUUGUUAGAAGAUCUGUAAUUGCCAUGAUUGAAAUGACCGCGAUUAUGAGAGCGAUCCAUCCCACGACUUUGAUGACUGAAUGUAGAAGGAGAAUGAGCCACAAAAGCCUGAGAGUUAGGGUUUGAUGCAGGAAGAGGAAGAAUGCCUGCAGAGGUGUUAAGAGCCUGAAACGAGGACAUCUCAGAGAUACUUUUCUUGCGAGUGGCUAAUUGAAUCUCUUUGCUCAGAAGCAAGCCAUGUAGUUCAUCAAUUGUUGUAGAUCCGAGACGAAAUUGAACAACAUCAACAAAUGAGUCAUACUCUGAGGGAAGACUGUGGAGAGUGACAGAGAUCAGAUCGGAAUCGUCAACCGGAAAGCCGGCACUGGCAAGAGCAUCAGCAAUUGCCUCAAUUUGCUGAAAAACUGAGCAGCAGUGGAAUUUCCUUUUGUAAGAGUACGAAGUCGAGAGCGAAGCUCAUGAAUGUGAGACUGAGAUGCCGUGGUAAGUCGAGAUUCCAAUUUCGCCCAAAGAUCGCGAGCUGAAUUCACACCAACAGUAUAUGGAAUUAGGGAUUCCAAGAGCGUGGAGUUGAGCCAGUUGAGAAUAUUUUGAUCAUUCUCAUACCAAGAAACAUAAGCAGGAUUAAGAGUGCGAUUUCCUGAGGAAUCAAGAAGAAAUUGAACCGGCGCUGCCGUAGAGCCGUCUAUGUGACCAGUCAGGUUGUAGCGACGAAAAAUCGGAGCAAAAAAAGCACUCCAGGUCAAGUAAUUUGUGGUAGUGAGCUUGAUUGGCACCAUGGAUCCAAUAUUUUGGAUUGUGAUUGAGGUAGAAUGUGAAGAAUUAGGGUUGGGAGAUUCAGUCGGAAGGGGAUGAACGGGAGAGGCCGAUUCUGACGAAGGAGACGCCAUUGUCAAAAGGAUGAGGAGGAAAGAGCACGAUCAAAGAUCUUCAAACACGAGCGAAGAAUCGAUCAAGAACACAGAAAGAAGAAGCAGAAAAGAUAGGAUCGAAGAACGAGAGUCGUUGGACAGAGAAGGCGGUUGAUACCAUAUUUGGUAAAAUAUAUUUUCAUUUCACACUAUGAUAAUGUUACAGCUUAGGUAUAUAUAUACAACAAACUAACAUGUUAUCUUAACCACUAAGCUAACAACUAAGAAGAUUCAUUUACAAUAUUGCCCUUUAUAGCUAUUACGCUAGCCUCUACCUUCUGUAAUCAAGUUAGUCAUAUUUAUUUCUGUAUUAUUGUGUAAUUAUCAUUUUACAUAGCAAGUAUAUUUUGGUUAAUAAAAUAUUAGAAUUUCUAUUAUUAUUGUUUAUUUCUGAAUUGUUCUCCUACAGUGUUCCACAAAUGGCAUCAAAUACUACAAAACACAAAUUAGAAGUAGCAUUAAGUAGACUAUUAUGCAUGACACGAUUUUGUAAUAGCACUCAACGUUUUGCCCAUACCUUCUCAAUAAUUUGCCAAGCUGCCCUGCUUCUUUCUCUGGAACAAUGCACUUCAUGAGCAUUCUUUGAGUUUCAUUGGCAAGAUUUUAACUUCUGAGAAAACUUCACAACUUGAAAAGAAAAACUCAUUCAUUUUGUAUAUCCUUGCACAUUUGAUAUUUUGUAGUAGACUAGUAGUGUAUUGGUGCUUUUUUAUUAGGCUCUUAUUUUGUAGUGUCGAUGUAGUACUUAACGACAAAUGGUUUUUUUAUGUUUUGAAGUAAGAUUUAUGUGGCAAUGUGGUAUUUGCAAAUUUAAGAGUAAAAAAAAAAUCUUAAUAGGUCAUAAUGGGUGGGAUAAUUUUACUUGUUGGGUAAAGUGACCUAACCUGUUAAAGAUCCGUUAAGAUAAACACGACACGAUCAGUUAAGAUAACAGGUAUUACACGAAACACGAUAAACACGAUUCGUUUGCCAGACCUACGUUUACCUGCCGUAUAAGAACUUGAACGUCAAUUAAACCCUAUAAAUAUGUUGAUGGUGCAGCAUGAGUACACAACAUAUUUGGAUGUAAAAACUCUACAAGUUUGGAAUUUGGAGAUCAAAUUUUCUGCACUCAAAGUGGGUGUGACUUCUCUGCGAUCUCAAUUAUUGACUAACACGUAUUUAUAAACUUAACUUUUCUAAACUUUAUUGUCAAAAACUUAUUAUGUGUCGGUCAAUAAUUAGGACCACAAAGAGCCUACACCUAUUUUUGGUGCAGAAGAUUUGAUCUUUGGAAUAUGAGACCUAUGAGACUCAAAUGCAGUAGUGCUUCGAUUCGAGAAUACUGUUAAAAGGUGAGGUUUGGGUGACGGAAAAAUUGAACACAGGAUUUCGUGGGCAUUGGGUGAAUGCUGUUAGAAGUUCAUUUCAUAUAUCCAAGAAUAUGUUACUCUACAUUCUCACUACUAUCCUUUUAUAAUCUCCAAGAGUAUUUAUUUGGCGAUUCUCUUUUCAAUUUCAUAAGGUUCCUAUCAUGUCCCUGAAUUUUUGGUUCCUACGUUCUCACAUAAAGAUAUGGAAAUGGAGGGUAGAGUCUAAACUUCACCCUAUAUCAAAGAAACUCUAAUAUUUCAGUUAAAAUUAACAGAUUUCGUUGAUAUUUUCGAAAUAUAGGUUAAAUAUCGAAGAAACUCUUAUAUUUCGUUUCAACCAGUGUUUGACAGUUCCUAAAGUUUUAUUUUAAAUUUUCAUAAUUUCCAUCAAAAUGAACCGAUAUUAAUAUCAAUAUCGAUAUAUCCAUAUAUUUCCACAAAUUUAUCGUUAUUUCUACCGAUAUCGAUAUUUUAAACACUGCUCACUAGAACAUGCGGACCUAAUUAAGUCCAGCCAAGGUAUUAAAAAUCGAUAUUAUCGGCGAUAUUUCGCUGAUAAUAUCGUUUUUUUGCCCCAGCGAUAUUUUUUUGACUAAAAAUAAAAUAUCUUUAAAAUAUCGCUAAUAUCGCGAUAUUACCGAUAUUAGCGAUAUUAUCGCGAUAUUCGGUGUCGUCGCCGCCGCCGGGAGGUGAGAAAGGGAGGAGGAAACCAGAUCGAAGAAGAAGGAUGAUGGAGGUGAGAAAGGGAGGAGGAAACCAGAUCGAUUACGGAGAGAGUCGAGACCGAACCGAGGGAGAGACCGAGACAGAGAGACCGAGGGAGAGACGGAGACGGAGAGACCGAGGCAGAGACGGAGACGGAGAGACCGAGGCAGAGAUAGAGACGAAGAGACCGAGGGAGAGACUCCAUCGUCCCAACGGCAACCGAGCUUCCUCUGCGCGUCGCCGUGCUUCCCAGAGACGGAGGAGAGGGAGGGAGAGUUCAGGAGGGUGGUGGAGAUGCAGCGCUGGCAUCGGGGUGGACGGAUUUGGGUGUGCUGGGUGUGGGUGCGAUCGGGGAAAUGGAGUGAGAGAACGAGAGUUCGAGAGAGUUCGAGAGAGAGAAAGCCUUUAGGUUCUGACGGGGUGCAAGUGAGAGAGGGAAAGCCUUUAGGUUCUGACAUGGGAAUGGACAAAAGAGAGCCGUUGGCUCUGGGCUCGAGGUGAGUGGAAGGGGAUCCAAUGUGUGUUCAAGAAUAGCUAGGGUUUUCAAAUGACAGAUGCCGCUGCUACACCAGUUUAAAUUGUAGCUGUUUCUAGCAUUUGACACAGGUGGACUUGUGCGGGUUGGUCAGCGAAUCUUCGCCAUUUCUAGCUCUCAGGUCUUGCGUUCGAAGCCCCGAGGUGUAAUGUAGUGGUUUAUUUUUUCAUAUUUUUGUUAGCUCACCUUGGCAAGCUCACAGUUCUUCUCUUCGAAUCUCUUUGGUGUGUCAAUUUUUUUUUUCCUUUUCUUUUAUUUUCUGUUUUCUGUUUUAUUUUAUUUUCGUUUAUUGUUUUUCUAUUUCUCUUUCCUAUUUUAUUUUCUUAGUUUUUUUUGUUUUAUCUUUGAUCGUCCUUCUACAUUUCCUAGGAUUUCGUAGUUUUGUUAUUUUCUUGUUUGUUUUUCUUUAUUUUAUUUCUCAUACCUUGAGGACAAUGUGUGAUUUAAGUUUGGGGGUGGGAAAUAAGAAAUUUUAGGUUUUUAAUUCUUUGUAUAUAUAUGGUUUUGUUUUGAAUUCUUUAUAUAUAAAUGAUUAUGGUUUUGUGAAAAUAUGAAAAUAUGCUAAAAUAUUCGAACCCCUCCCAUUGUACUAAUUCAUUAUAUAAAUGAUUAUGGUGUGUUUAAACUUCUUUCAUUAUUUACUACAUUUUUUCUACACUCACAAUGUUUGCCAGCUCGCUAUAUAAUCAACUUAAAUCAGUUAAAUCCAUCAUGCAAUGCAUUUCCUUCCAAUUUUUUGUGAUAAACUAAUAGAUAAUUGACUAAAUAAACAUCCUGCAAAGUUUCAAUAAAAAUUUCCAAGUUUUUCUUACAAUUUCCGUGGUUUCCAUGUAAUUUUUAUCGAUAUCGAUAUUAUCCCGAUAUUUCUAUUGAUAUUUCCGUGUUUUCGGACUACCGAUAUUUCCGAUAUUACCGAUAUUUUCUUCCUUGAGUCUAGCUCAAUAGUGCCUCGUGUCGUGCUCAUGCUGGCUCAUUUAAUGAAUAAGAUGGGCCGACUCAUCCCAUAUUUGAAACCUUCAGCCCAGUGCACCCCACAACAAUAAUCUAAUUCUGCAUGUGUCGUGCUUGCCAUGCUAGAUGCUGCUUUUUUUUUUAAAUGAAAAUACAUACUUAAUAUAUAAUCACAUAUUAACGAAACUUUGAGUCAAUUAAAAUCUCAUAAAUUAACAUUAUGUCCCUUUAAUCAAAACUGAACAUAAAUAAAAAAAUAUGGACAGUAAUAUAAUCGCACAAACCAAAUAUUGCUAUUUUUUGUAAAGCAUUACCACAUAUGAUUAUAACAUAUCUCUAAAAUUAAAAAUAAAAUAAAAACCUCUCUCCCCUCUCUCUCUACUCUCACCUUCUCUAUCUUCCUCCCUCCUUCCAUUUUAAAAACAAAUGUUCACAUGCACAUAUACUAGUACUAUUAAUAUAUUUCUCAAAAUGACGAUCAUAUCUCUAUUUUUUCUAUUUUAACCUUACUUUUAAUACACAAUAAAAUGUCCACCUAUGUGAUUGAAGAUAUCUGAAAGAGCGGUCAAGAAAUUUGACCAAGGAAGAAAGGAAUAGAUCCCUAAACAUUUGAAUUCCAUGAGUUAAAGAAUUGGUAAAGACGUUGAGCUACUUGGAGUCUAAAAUUUGGGAAGGAAUAAGAAUACCACUUUCGUAGAAGCUUGGAAGUCGAAUCACGUUCACAACACGAAAGUAAGACAUAGCCUUCUUUUCUCAGUUGAUAUUCGUCGAAGAAUAUUAUUGAUUUGAAAUGUUAUUUGGAUAUUGAUAUAAAAUUAUUAUGAACGAUAAAUGUGUCAUGCAUAGUAAAAUCAUUGGAAAUGUAUCAAUGAAAAUGAAUAACUAUAAUCAUUCGUUGGAGUCGUCAAUUAGAAAGGUAUGAGAUUUAUAGAAACAUGGAAGUAAAAGAAGUUGAGAGACUCUCGAAGCACCAAGAUUUAUGUUCAGCCCAAAGUCACGAAAUAAGGGAGUGAAGUCCUUUCAGUUAGAGUCCGAUAAAAUGACCAAAUCGUGUUUAGACAUUGCAGAUUGAGAGUUAAAAAAAAUGACUAAUAAAAAGAGAAAUUUAGUUAUCUGUUAACUGGAUUAACAUUAUAGAAUGAAGAGAAAACAUUACAUUCAUGUACUAUUAUUGCUCCCGGUGAAUUAAAUGCAUUGUGAUUAUUACCUUAUCGAACUAGUAGCUCAUCCAUGACAGUAAUUGAAUUAGAGACUUGAAAAGUAGUUUAUUUUACCGGUGUUGAAGUAGAGACUUGAUAAGUAGUUGAUUUUUAAUAAAGUGUGAAUUUAAAAAUGCUAAAAAGAUUCUCUCAAAGUUUUCAAAAAAAAAAAAAGUAAGUUCCUCAUGAACUUUCCAUCGGAUCAUAUAUUUUUUUCAUAAUAUUUUAUAAUGUAAUAAGAGAAUUAUGCUAAAAACGUAAUGUGCUGGAAGAAUUCUAUUUUAAAAAAAAAAAUCUCACUAACAUUUAUCAUAAACUUUUGUACAGUAAUUCCAGUGUGCUUGAGUGAUUUUCUAAAACCUUGUGAUGAUGUAAAAUAAGAGCUUUCUAUUUUUUUCUCUAUUUUAUGUGAGUUUUUGAAUUUUUACUAUGCUUUUUCGUCGUGGUCUCAUAUUAGUUUGAUAUUUUUGGGAGCGAACUCCAGUGUCUUCGUUUCAUAUUUGAUAUUUUCAUUGAGUUCAUUGACAAAGGAGUAUCAUUGCAAGUUUUCACAAAAAAAAAAAGGAGUUUCAUUGCAACUCUUUUUGUGAGCUUCCAAGUGGCCCCAAGUAUGUUAUUCUGCACUUUUAUUACCAUAUGCAAUAUGCUUCUAUAAAUUAUCUGGAAGAAAGUAUUACUUAUGAGCUAUAUCUAAUUUUUUGUUUCACUUGUUUUUUCUUAUUAUAUAUGUCACUUAGGUUCGAGCAUUUAGCCUUGAAAACAAGAUUUCAAAUUCGAUUUCGGCUUCAACAAUAUUUGCUAGCAUAAAAAGAGGGUUAAGUUAUUGAUUCGUACGCCGUUAAGUUGAAUUUGGUUGCAAGUCUAAUCAAUAUUAUUUGGUGUUUUAUUUAAAUAAUUUAAGCAGGCAAAUGGGUCAUGUUUAUCGUGUUUUUGUUGUUUUUGUGUCAUACCCGUUAUCUCAAUGGGUCGUGUUGUGUUAAACCUGUUAUCUUAAUGAAUUCUUAACAGGUGAUCCGAUAACUACUUAAUUUGUUAACCAAUCGUGUCGUUUCAUGUCCAGUUAAGAGGCCAUGCAAGAAUUUAAUAUACCUAAUAUCUAGAUAUGGAAAACCAUAUCUUAUCAAGUUCUUAACGGGCUACCUGAUAAUGAACCGCAUUGUUAAUGAAUCACGCUAGGCUCUAGUCUGGUGGUGAACAGAGGCGUCUAGGUGGGCAGGUGCCUAGGUAGGUUUAGGCUUCCUUUCUUAAUUUUCAAAUGCCUAGGAAUUAAUCUGGGCGGUAGACAACCGUCUAGCUCCUAGGCGGCGCUAUGUGGAGAUUUUUAGAACAGUGGUUAACAUGUUGACCAAAAUCCUGUUAUUUUCGUAUCGUUUCUUGUCUAAUUAACGGGUCGUGUAAAAUAUUAUUAGGCCUUUGUGUAGAGUUCAAUCCGCUAUCUUCUUUUCGACGUGUGUACUUUCACUUAACAACAAUUUUGUGGAACUUGUCAACUGCCACCUACAAAGAAUUGGAACUUUUUGUUAUCCUUAACACGGACAAAAAACCAUGACAUUUGGUGGAAGAAUUAGAUUGAAUGAGUUCGAAAAUUAUCAAGCAUAGAUUUUUGUUCUUGAACCAAAUUUUUUAAUUCUGUGUUCUUGGAAAAAAAACUCGAGAAAGUAGUUUUUGGACUAAGUUUGGCCCCUUUGUUAAACUGAAUGAAAGUUAAGAACAGAAAUUUAAAUUUCUUGAGUACUAGACAAUUUCAGGUACCUUAUUUAGAUCUUGAUUUCUUUUGGUUUGUGGUUUCGUUUUGAAAACUAAGCACAUAGUUUGUAAAAUACAAAAAUUUAUCCAUUGCGUUAUUUUUUUUCUUUUUCUGUUGUUUUGAAACUUGUCUAUUCUGCAGACAGAUUGCAUACCAAGUAUCGAAGGCCAAAAUGGAGUCAGCUGCAUCACUAUUGAUUGGGAAAAUUGCGGCCAUUCUUGAAAACGAAGCAUCUUCCAUAGCGGCAGUCCGUGAUGAAAUUGAUGAGCUUAAGCUGGAGCUCAUAAGCAUGAAAUCUUUCUUAAUAGAUGCUGAAGGCAAGGAACCACAGACAGAAGGAGAGAAAAAGUGGGUUACAAGCGUCAGAGAUUUGACCUUGGAUGCGGAAAAUGUCAUUGAUGAGUUCCUGUAUCACAUAUAUGACCAGCAAAGUGCGACUCCAUUUGAAAAAUGGCUCCACAAACCAUUCACAUUCCAAAGAAUCUUUGGUUUAGGCAUCGAAUAGCCAAAAAAUUACAGAAAAUCACAAAAAAGAUCAAAGCCAUUCCUGAGAGGAAUCAGAGAUAUGGUGUCUCUACAAUAGAAGGAACAAGUUCGGAUAGUGUUCCCAGAUGGGUGAAGAACAAAGCCGAGUCUUCUCUUUAUAUUAUGGAAGACGAAUUAAUCGGGAUUGAAGACAAGAAGCAAACGUUAAUGGGAUUGUUGAUGAAUGGCGAGGAAAAUGAAAUGGUUGUGUCUGUGGUCAGGAUGGGAGGAUCAGGCAAGAUAACUCUUGUUGCCAAUAUCUUCAACAACGAAAAUGUAAAGCGGCAUUUUGACUGUUAUGCAUGGAUCACUGUUUCUCAAACUUUUGUGAUCGAAGACUUAUUCAAAAAUCUGAUCAAGCAAUUCCACCAAGGAAGAAAGGAAGAGGUGACUGCACAAUUGGAUUCCAUGAGUAACAAAGAAUUGUUAGAGAUGUUGUCGACAUACUUGAAGUCUAAAAGGUACCUAGUUGUAUUGGAUGAUGUGUGGGACAUUAAACUUGGCAAGAAAUAAGGAUACCACUUCUUAAUAGACAUCGUGGAAGUCGAAUCAUGCUUACAACUCGAAAGAAAGACAUAGCAUUCUAUUCUUUUGAAGUUGAAAGUCGUCAUAUUGAAAUUGAACCCUUGGGAAACAAUGAAGCUUGGGAGCUCUUUAGCAAGAAAGCAUUCUCAACUUACGAUAAUAAAUCUUGUCCACCAGAGCUUGAAUCCUUAGCAUGGAAACUUGUGGAUAAGUGUGAAGGCCUACCUCUGGCAGUGGUAACUUUAGGUGGUCUAAUGUCUUCCAAGAGGUCAUCAUUGGAAUGGAGAAGCGUAUAUAACAGCUUAAAUUGGCACUUGACUAACCAUCCUAUGCUGGAACCAAUGAGCAGCAUCUUGUUGCUUAGUUUCAACAAUUUGCACAACCGGUUGAAGCCAUGUUUCCUAUACUGUGCCCUCUUCCCAGAAGAUUAUCUCAUCAAAAGGAAAAGGUUGAUCAGGUUGUGGAUAGCUGAAGGGUUUGUUGAACCAAUUGAUGGGGUCACACCAGAAGAAGUUGCAGAUGGUUAUCUUGUGGAACUGAUUGUUCGUAGCAUGCUACAAGUUGAAAAGCAUGAAGCUGGAGGACUAAGAGCAUGUAAGAUGCAUGAUCUUGUGCGUGAGCUUGCUUUGUCGAUAUCAAAAAUGGAAAAGUUCGGUGCUACGUGUAUUGGCAGAGAAAUAGUAGAUAAAGUUGAAAUCCGCCGAUUGUCAAUUCAAACAACUGAAAGAGAAAUUAAUUCUUCCACAGGUAUGUAAGAGCUUCGCUCCUUUCUUGUCUUUGGCUCUUUAGAGAAAUUGCCUUCUGGAUUCAAGUUGUUGAGAGUUCUAGAUGUGCAGGAUGCUCCAAUUGAUAGAUUUCCAGAUGAACUAGUGUACUUGUUCAACUUAAGAUAUUUAAAUUUGAAGAGAACUUUUAUUGACGAGCUUCCAGAAUCCAUCGGACGGCUUCGCAACCUUCAAACCUUGAACAUCCGUGACAGUAAGAUAAAGGCACUUCCGAAAGUAAUCUCCAAGUUACUAAACCUACGUCAUCUAAUCAUGUAUUGUUACACUGGUGAUUGGGAGGCCUUUAGAUGGGCCAAUGGGACAAAAGCAGCAUCCGAUCUAAGUAAAUUACAGAAACUGCAAGUUUUGCAAUGUGUUGAAUCAGAAGGAAAGAUUGUUAAAGUCAUCAGGAAUAUGACCCAACUUACAAGCCUCGGUAUUACAAAUGUGAAAGCAAGUGACGAGAUGGACCUAUGUGACUCCCUUCAAACGUUAGAGCUCCUUCAACAUUUGUUUUUAAUGGCAAGUGAUGAAGAGGAGUUUCUUCGGGUUAAUGCACUACGUUCGCCCCUUGCAGACCUUCAAAUUGUUAAUUUGGCCCGAAAACUAGAAAAAGUACCUAUUUGGUUUGGUUCGCUCCAUAACCUGACACGCAUGCAGCUAAAUUGGUCUAGACUUGAAGAAGAUGUGCUACCUCACAUUCAAGCAUUGCCGAAUCUUGAAAGGCUUGGGCUAAUUAAUGUGUAUGUUGGCGAAAAAUUGUGUUUCUCCAGAGGCUUCAUAAAGCUCAAGCAUUUGAUGUUGCGCAUCUACCCCUUAUUGAAUAGUAUAGCUAUAGAGAAAGGGGUGAUGCCAAAUCUCCAGGUCUUAGACAUUGAUGACUGCAUGAAGUUAAAGACAUUGCCACAAGGCAUUGAGUUCCUUGCUAACGUAGAACGCUUGACUCUGCAGUCUGUUCCAAUGCAACUUAUAGAGUCCGUAAAAUGAGGCAUGGAUCAUCCAAAGGUACAACACAUUCCUGAAAUCAACCUGGAUUAUGGGUGGUAUCGUGAAAGCUUGUGGUAUUCACUCUCGUAGAAGGUACGCACCUUUUUAUCCAUGCAUAAAAAAUUUCCACAACAUAAUCAUUUGAACUAUUACAUUAGAAAGGUUGGUGAUUUUCACUCCUAUUUUUUCUUAGGAAAACUAAUGAAAAUGAUUUAAAAACUUUAAAACCUUUUUUCUUAUGCAAUUUUCCUUCUGUUUUUGUUUGUUAGUAUUUUGAUUUAUUUAAUUUUAAGGCUACAAAAAAGAGGAAGUAGUGCAUCAAAGUGUAAAAAUCAUUUUCCCUUAUAAUUUGCCUGUUCGAUCUUAUUCACAAGUCUGGCAAAGACAUAAUGUAUGCAUGCAUUGAGAUGUUUUUAGGUAAGCGUGUUUCUUUUGUUUUGUAAUAUCCUUUUGUAGAAACAAGCUUCAGAAGCACUUGUCGUGAGACUGCAGUGAGAUCUCCUUAUUGGCAAUUGAUUUUGCGGUGAGUCUCAACUUUCGUUAUAGUAUCAGAGCAGACUAUAUACAUGUUGAGACAUUAGCCCUGCAAGGAAGAAUCCAUUGUUUGUGUGGAGUUGCAAACAUUGCCCUUUAUGAAAUUGAAAAAUGCCCAAGAUUCUGUUUGUGUAACUGGAAUUUAUAUUACUGAUUGCUUGCGUGUGUUUGAUGUAUUAAUAUUGGUUUGGAAUUGAGGAACUUAUAUUACUGAUUGCUUGCGUGUGUUUUGAUGUAAUAAUAUUGGUUUGGAAUUGAAUCUGUCUCUGAUGAGACCAGUCCUAGCUUAAUCAAUGGUUAUGACCCAUUUUUCAUUUUCAAUAUAUAUUGUAUUAGAGGAAAAGAAGUGAUUUUUGUUAAGUAAAUAAACAAUAAGAAUAAUGCUAGGUACACUAAAUGAUGUGGCUAAUUACUUUUUUAUUUUAAUUCAAAUUAGAUUUGAUUAAUAAUUAUAAUAAAAAUUUAUAUAGUGUAAUACGUGUGACAUUAUUUAGUACAUAAAUUUAAUGUAUAUAACAUCACCCAAAUAAUAAUAAUAACGAUUGACCAAUUUGUGUAAAUAUUUUACUGUAUAAAAAAAACUAUAUUCAUUAAAAACCCACAAACCUCAACAUUCCUAAGCAAGUUAUUUUUAUUUUUUCAACAAACGAUAUUAUCUACACUAAGAGGGAAGGGGGUAAGCUAAGCCUCAUAAUGGGCUAGCAAUAAUGUGGUUCAAAUUUGUCUUUGGCAGAAUCAAAUCUAAGAUCUCUCACUUACAAGUGAAGAGGAAUACCACUAGACCGUAGUACUAAGCGGCAUGAAUUUAUGUACUUUAUCUUAAGACUAUUAACAAUGAGCGCAUUCUAGAAUUUAGAGGUUAUUGUGUUCAGUCCUACUCUCAUAAUGUCCUCAUUAGUCAUAAGAUUGUAUUAUUUUAGAUCUAAAGAUUUAAAAUAUUUGACAACUUAAUAGAGCAAAAUCAACUAAAAAUCCAUGAAGUCAUUUGGAAAUGCAUACUACACACCUGUUAAUGUAUGCAAGAGGCAACACCCAAGGUAUUCAUGGACAUUCAUCGGGUUUUGGUAGCCCUGAAGUCGGUUGGAGGUCAUGUAUGAAGCCAACUCUAAUCUUCAAAAUGGCAGCACUCAAGGUAUCCAUGGACAUUCAUCGAAGUUCAGAGGGUCAGCACCUAAGAUUUCUAUGGACGUUCAUCCAAGUUCGGGGGGUCAGCUUGUAACGCCCCGGUCCCGAAAUAUUUAUUUUAUUUCGAGAAAUAAUAAUAUUAGUGAUAGGCCCAAAAUAAAAAUCUUAUUUAGUUUAUUAACUUUAGCUAACAACUCCAAUUCAAAUCCUUCAUUCCACAAGCAAUUUAUAAGCAUUAUUCAUUCUUCCAAAACAUCCAAUUUAAAUUCCAAUUUAGUACCAUUUCUUUGUAAGGACCAAUUUCCAUUAUGUAACCUUUAUUCUUGAAUUAAUUUAACUUCACAUAUUUUAUGGCUGCAUCUAACGUCUUGUUAGACUGCCUACGUACCCUCAACAGGGAUCAAGCCUUUCGUAGUUCAAAAGUUCAAAGUUUCGAACCAAAGACAAACUAUUCAUUUAAUCCUACAUACACCACAAUCAUAUUAAUAUUUAAACCAUAAAAGUUAGAUAAAAAAAAAUAACCUACUUAAAAUAACGAAAUUCAUAUAACAACGCAAAUGUUAGCUCCUUGGCCGUGUGCCACCGCCCCCACCGCCGCAGGUGGCGGUUGGCUGCCCGACUCGCCGGAAAAUUCAACUAUUUCUAAAAUUUCUCAAAAAUUACAGAAAUGAAGAUCUCAAUGAGUAGAGAAACUUUCAUACCUGAAACCAAGGCCAAUUUUGCCUGGAAAGGAUCCAAUUUCAUCAAAACCCAUUGGAACCCUAGAAUUUGGGUGUCCUCAAUUUGACUCCAUAGCAACUCCGACGCCCAAACUAAUGAAUGGGCUUUGUUCCAGCUCUUAAGGGGAGUCUAAUGGUAGUGGCAUUGGACGUAAAUCAUUUCAAAUUUUGGUUAAUUUGGAAACCAUGCCACCGCACCCCCAACGUCCGGAUCUACCCAUUUCAAGCUCAAAUCCCAUGAUUUUUGAGGUGUAGUAAGAUAAGGGAAGGUUAUGGACGGUUUUACAAUAGUUAAUUUGGUGUAAUUCACGGGAAAAAUGACUAAAUUUUGUCGUACAAGGGCAAGGAAACACGACCGGGUCGGGUUUGGCCACUUGGGUCACGGGAUCCUCCGCUUCCCCCAUCCUCUCCUUUUUCCUCCUUUCUCUCUCUCUCAUUGGUCACCUCUCAUCCUCCCCUUUUCUGAUUGGCCCAUCUCUCCCUCCUUUCUCUCCUUUAUCUUCCAUCUCCACCGCCUAACUUUUCUUACUUUCAAUCUGGGCCACACACGUGGCCUUCCAGAUUUGGCUCCAAAAAUCUGGAGCAUUCUAGUAAUGGUAAAUUUACAAUUUUAUCCCCAACUUUAAACGUUAAUAACUUCUGCAUUCUAACUCCGUUUCAUGAACGGUUUGCGCCUACGCGUUCGUGAGGUCGAGCUCUAUUCAAAAAUAUAAAUCUUGACCUCGAAAGGUCUACGUAUUUUAAAAAAUAAAGGUCCAAACUUUAAACCUCGUAACUUGUUUAAUUUAAAACUAAACUUACACAAAUUAUUAUAAAUUCUUGAAAAAUCAUAUAAAAGCUCAGUUAUAUUCUCGAUUUAAUUCUUCAAAAUCAUCAAUCGAUUUAUUUUGAUUUUCUACACAUAUUCAUAUAUUUAAAAUUUUCAGGGUAUUACACAGCUGGCCCCCAUUGCCCCUUAAUGGAUCCGUCAGUGAUCUAAACUAAUAUAAUUUUGUGGCUAAUAUGCAUUUGGUCCUCACAAGUCAUCAAAAUAAAGACCUUACGAUAGCAUGACUCUAUGGUGUUUCCAACGAGUCCAGUUGAUAAUGUUCUCAUAUGAUUAACAACGAGCGCAUUCUAUAAUUUAUCAUCGGCCAACAUGGUCGGUCGAGUAUAAAUGUUUAGAAGACCCUAAAUUAUAUGUGCCUGGAGCUAGAUAGACCCCUAUUAGGAAUGGACACAAGAACAAAUGUUUGAGGGCGUAGGGUGAGAGAAUGACUUACAUAAUUUAGGUAUACUGUUACGUUUUAUGCCAAUAAUACAAUGUUGAUAUGUGUAAGUUUUUAUCUACAAAACAAUGUAUCACAUCAAUAAAAUGUCACAAUAAUAAUAUACUUGUGUCAUAUAAAUUACUAUCAUCAAGAGCACACUAAGCGGUGACACUACCAAUUAUUAUUUUAAAGACACAGUAGAGUAGGAUUAGGACAAAAACUCCGUAAUUACUUAGUGUUGUCAUUAAAUCUUGACCAUUCGAUCGAUCUAAGGGCUGUAAUCAAAAUCCGGGAGAGAGACGGACGCAAUCUCCGACCAGGAGUAUGAGUACUUGGCUUCGACAUCCUAUAUAUACAACGAGACACACCAUUUACAUGCAUACAUACAUCAUCGACGUUCAAGUUUCAAACCCUAACGUUGGCUCUUUCCGUCUUGUCUCGUCGUCUGUUUUUGUUCCUUCCAGAAAGGGGAAUCUGAAGAAUCCGACGGUAACGAUGUCGAUGAUAGAUAACGUGUUCAGGAUGAUGAUAACUUCGAGGACUGGUUUAUAACCAAACGCCAAGAGCUUCAGAACUCUGCGAGAGUCGCUAUGGAAGCUUUGCUCUCGGAACCCAGAAGUUUCCUGAACGUUUUGAAUUUGGCAAUCAAAUUGACCAAGGCAAUCGUAUUGGUGCCCCUUUGUGUGCUGGCCUUCUAUGCUGUGAUCCUGAUUAGGGUGGGAAUCGCUUGUUUGAUCUGCGUCCCAAUACUUUUUAUUAUUUUCAUCGUCCUUGUCGGUGUCCGUAAGUUACUGACCAUAGACUUCGACUUGCAAAUUAUGUAACUAUGAUUUCUAGUUGUUUGUUCGUUGCUCACCAACUGUCUGUUUAAAUGACUGAAUGAGCUUUUUUGUUUCGUUUCUUUUCUUGCAGGUUACGGUCGGGCACACUAUCUGUUCUUCACAAGACGAAACCGCGCGGGGAUGUCGUAUGCCGACUUCAUUGACAAGUUCGGCGCGUGGUUGACAAACAAUCCUCUUCCACCUUUCGAAUCAUUUGGUGAAUCCGCUCAACAUUGGGCACAUCACGUGUGGGGCUUCAAAUUGGAAGAAGAUUGAGGAAGAUUUCAGAGUUACUAUGGAAUGUAUGUAGAGAUUAUUAGGUUGGAUGACCAUAAAAUGAAAAUUGCUGCUUCUGUUUAUUUUUCUCUCUCUCUAUUAAUUUAAUUUUUCUUUCUAAAUAACUACGCCAUUUAUCGGAGAGCGUAUUGAACGACAUAGUAUCCGUAAGAACGACUUGUGACAUUACAAUACAAAAAAAUAAAAAUAUGAAGACCAGUUUGUGACAAAGUAUCUAGGAUUAUGGUUAAAGUAUAGCAUCUAUGUGUUAUUCUUCAUCACUUGGAAGCAACUUUUUUCAAUUAAUUACAGAAGCACGACAGUGAUUGAAACUUUAACAUAGAUAAUCGAACUAUUAGAGUCUAAGAAAAUUUAUUUGGCAAGGAAUUCGGAUUGCGAGGGUUAAAAGAGAGGCCAUACCCUCACUUUUUGUUAGAAACAGACUCUAUGUAUGUUGUUCAUCUCCUUUCAACUUGUUCUAUGAAAGUCCCCUUGUUUCUCAAAGCUGUUUAGGGCAAAUUGCUUAUGAUAUAGUGCUCGCUUAAGCUUGCAUUUUUUGCAUAAAUGUAAGGAGUGGAAUUGUUUGGCCAAUGAUUUUGCUAAUUAUGGUUAGGCAAUUUGGCUAACCGUCUUAGGUUUUAAAACGAUCUUUCACAAUCUUUUUCAUCACUUCUUGUUGCUUUUUUUAUUUUUUUUUUCUAGCGGUUGAUUGAAUAAAGAUUCCAAUAAAGCGUCGAUGUUAUUCUUAGGCUAAUUAGAUGUCUUGAGUUCAUUUUUGGUAGUUGUAUGACGUAGGUUGAUUGUUGGAAUCUAAAUUAUCUACGUUACGUUAAUAGAUCAUUGUAUGAAUUGACGAUCCGACCGUUGGAUCGUCACCAAACUUUAGUAGCUUAUAAUACGUAAUAUUUGAGGACCAUAGGAACUUACGGAUUGAGAAUCCAAUAUAUGGACCUUCCCAAAAUUGGAUUUGUAAGUUCAUAAAAUAAAAGGUUAACCGCCGCUUGGUUUUGACAAUUUGCGGAGAUCCGACCGUUGAGUAAUGGGACUGUAGGAUGUUGUUCUAGAAGUAUAAUGUGGAUCUUUGGAAGCAACGGAUUGGAAAUCCGUGAUGCAGAUCUUCCGAAUUGAAUUACGUAGGGAUGUGUUUUAUGUAAAUUGUGUAUUUUAUCGUUAUGAACUCUAAGAUGUGAUUUGAUAAUUGGUUAUAGGCGACGAUGGUUCGUGAUGUCUCGAUAUGCGUGCUAGAGAGUCGUGGCGCGGACCUCAGUUAAGUGGGUCUUUUUCUUUUUAUCGUACAUUAUAUAUAUAUAUGAUUGACAAUUCCACAACGUUUAUAAAAUUGCUUAUUGCGUAUAAUUAUUAUGAAUGCUUUGAAGUACUAAUGUGAACUACGAAUGGCUUGAUCCUUGUUUAGGGUACGUAGGCAGUCUAACGAGACGUUAGAUGCAGCCAUACAAUAUUUGAAACAGAAAUCUUGUUUGGGAAUUGAGCAAUGUGAACGAAAUUGGUGAAAAUAUGAGAUUUAACCUUAUAUUUUUAGUAAUUGGAUGUUGGUCAUAAAUCAAUGUGGAAGGAAUCAAGAAAUUGAAAUAAGGAAACAUAAGUAAUGAUAGUUAAUUAAACUAGUGUUUAGUUGGAUUUAUCCCCGAUAAUUAUUUCCGAAAAUAAAUAAUUCGGGAGUAGGGCAUUAUAGAUUGUGCAUUUUACACCACAUUAUAUAUAUAUAUAUAUAUAUAUAUAUAUGUAUAUAUUGGAAAAAUAUUAUGAUAUGGUUGAGUUUUAGAUUUGCAUUAUGGCAUAUCCAUGUAUAUAAUACCUGCACAUAAUUAUUGUCAACGCUUGAAGUGCAAGGGUGAAUGCAGGACACCCAGGUAAGUUCAGGUAAGUUUAUGGUAUUAGUUGAAAUGAUGGAGUUAUGGCAUGACUACAUGCAUGUUUUAAGCAACUCUGACACUGUCGUACGAGUUGCCCAUGAGUCGUACAUGUUAUGUUGAGAUACAUUGAGAGCUCAUAAACUUGCACCCCGAUGUUAGUGCUCCCGCCCGUGGCUAGGGCACAGUCCUUCACGUAAUGUUCACCUCCCACACCUUACGCUCACCUUAGAUCCAAGGUAGGUGCACAGUUCUAUCGUGCAGACCACUAUAGGUGGUUCUGACUCGUAGGUGACCUGCGAUUAUUCACACAGUCUUCAUGUGAUCGUAGCACUUAAGCGUAUUUAUUUACACUCAGUCAUGUCGUACAAACCGCUUUAGGUGGUUCCAACUUGUGUGCAGAGCUAUGGAUAAGUCGUACAGGUCACUAUAGGUGACUUCGAUUUAUGAGCUAGCAUAUGUGAUGAAAUAUGUAAUGAGCUAGCAUAUAUGAUGAGCUAGCAUAUGUGAUGAAAUAUGUGAUGAGCUAGCAUAUGUGAUGAAAUAUGUGACGAGCUAGCAUAUGUGAUAAAAUAUGGGUAAGUCGUACAGGUCACUAUAGGUGACUCCUGUUGGGUUUUUUUCUAGCCCAUGAUAAGUUGUCCUAAGUCUAUUAGGAAUUAAUAGUCUUAGAGGAUUAAAUUGUUUUCUCAAUUGGAGUUAGUUUCUCAAUUGGAGUAGGAUUCAUAACUAGAUUCCAAUUAGGAUUAAUAAUUCUUAUUGAAGAAGACCUUUAUUAUGUCUAUAUAAAGGGGCUAUUGUACUAGUUUUGAGGAGGGAGCAAAACAAUAAUUGUAUACCACUCUAGGGAUUAUAGUGAGAGAAUAUUGUAAAGUGUGUGCGAGAGAAAAGAAAAGAGAUAGUGUAUUACUUGUUCUUGUUCUUUCAGGUUUUUCGUCAAAUCCUAGUUCUAGAGAUUUGGCAAGAUUAUUGGUUGUACUCAUUAUUGAUAUAGUGAAAGAUUGUUGUUGCUGUCCCGUGGACGUAGGCACUGAAGGAUUAUUUUGUGAAAACAUGUUCAUUUAAGCAACAUCACAUAGCAUGCAAUUAACAAUUAAAGGCGGAAUCAUGCUUGCAUGCACUUAAAAACAAAACAUUAACCAAGAAAUUCAAAGCCUAGUAGAUUGGUGAACCAAGAUUCAACUCAAAUCAAAGUGAGUUGAGAAAUAUACCUUUGUAGAUUCCUCUUUGCAUAAGCAAAGGCUAAUCACCCAAAGAGAGGGCCUUCAUUCCUUGCAUCUUAAAUCUCUGGAUUUGGAUGGAUGAAAAGGUUUCUCCAAGUUCCCAAAAUUGAGAACCUCUAAGUAUCUUCACCAAGGUUAGAUUGGAGAAGAAAUGAGUGACCUUGGAGUAGUUAGUAUGGCUAGAUACACCCUCCAAGGGGCCGGCCUCUUUAGAGAGAAAAGGAGAGACAAGUUCUCACCAAUUUUCUCUAAAAGAAACCCUAAAUGAAUUUUGGCUAUAAAGUCAUAUUUAUACCUUUAUUCAUUUGAGUGGCAAACUUGUAAAUAAGUCCAAGUUCACUACCCUUAACAAUAUGGCCGGCCUUAGGGUGUAUUUGGGUUGUUUGGACCUUUGUGAAUAUUUAGUCAUUAAGUUGUCAUACAACUUAAGUCAAUGGGCUUAACGUUCGAAGCCCAUUGGGCCUUAAGGUCCAAAACUAUCCCGAGGUCUUUAACGAACUUAUUCGUUUGAUUAAUUAACAUAUUAAUUAAUCUUUGCCAUAAAUAAUUAAACCAUUUAAUUAUUUUUACUCAUCUCCAUUGUUUCUUCAAUCUCCACCUUACACGGUGUACGAUCCAUUAGGUUCCUUUUAGCGAGGCAGUGAGCGAUUCAAACUCUUUCAAAUCGAUUGUGAAUUGAAACUUACUUUCAAUUCUCCCUUUAGUGAUUAUACACGUUUAGGGCUUCCACAAACCAAGAGUGACACCUAGCAGCAUAUCAUGGUUACCCAAGCUAAUCAGAAGAGGUAGAGAACCUAUUCAGUUUAGGAUUACAAAUGCAAUACGGUCUUUCUCUAAUACAAUACUCUUGACCACAUUGUUUGGUUUGAUAGUUUAUUUAUUCAUGUCUACUAUCCAAUGUGAUUCGUGUGCUUAUAUGAUUACCUUGAAUGUGAUUUGGAACGCUUUCCUAAAUCUCAUUCAUACUCUGGCCAGAGGUUCUAAAUAUCAUAGAGUAUUCUCCCUCAAACAGUUUGAAUGUUAGAGAUCCCUUGUUGCGCAUUCACUUGCCUCCAUGACUAAGUGGCUUAACCCCAACGAUGCCAUGGACACCCCGAUGGGGUGACUUUGACAUAAUCAAAGAUCAAGGACUUAGCCACAAGACAACUGUGAUGCCUCAGGUCAAAGAACUACUUUGCAUUAUCCCAACCAUGAGUUCUCAUGUGACAUGAAUAUGAGAACUCUUCAUUGAUCGUGUUCAGUGAACUCAUUCUCUAUUGAGCACCUACGUACUUGUCUUGAUGUCACACACACCAAUAACUCGAGACUAGUCACUCUCCCUGAGAGAAGACACAGUGCGUACUGAUCUUAACGGACUAUCAAUGCCCAAUUGGCAAUCCUAUGAUCAGGAACGUUUAGGAUGUGUCUACGAAAGAAUGGUCUCAUGAAUCUAACUUCUUUAGAUCGUAUUCUCCCAAUCACAUAUUCCUUGGACUUUAUCGUUUAAGCAUAUAACAUUUAUAUGAGACGGCUUAAACAAUAAUCUUUGCCCUUAAUAUUAAACUAGAUUAGUUUAACAUAUGAAAUGUCCGUAAAGUAUCAUCAUAUGAUUGGCUUUAUGGCACAUUUCCAACAGGCACAUAUUGCCGAACCACGUAAAUUCUUGGUGUUAUUUAUAUUGGUUAUUUGUUUUCAAUUUCCAGAGUUUAUUCUAUUUUUCCCAUUCUUAAACGCGAUAUUCUCAACAACUCCGACUUAUGAGUUAACAUCAAUUAAUGAGAUAUGGGUACAAUCGUACAGGUCACCAUAGGUGACUCAGACUUGCAUGCUAGUAUGAGUUAUUAAUCACAUAAUUAUUGAUAUUGCUGAUGAGAUGCGGUGUUGUGGUAUAUUUAUGAUUUUUCUGGAAACUAUACAGGUGUUGUAGCGAGGGGUUAUAAUGUUUUAUAUGGUUUCUAUUAAAAUUUUAUCUCUAGGGCCACUCACCCUUGUUUUGUUUUCACCCUCCAGGUUUUAUUAGCUGAGCUUUCUUAUCAUCGAAGAUUCGUGGCGAUUCUUAGUAUUGGAGAUUCUUUCGAGGGUACGAUUCUUAAUCCACUCUACUAUACUUACUUAUGCUCUAAUGUCACGUGUGAAGUGGGUUCCUUCCCGAUCACUAGCGCACUCGGGUAUUUAGGCACUCUUAGGUUUAAAUUUAUUCACAUGUUUUCACAUCAUCACACUUUAUGGUUUCGUCACCUUCCAGGUGUAGGCCAGCGCAGCUCGAUUUGGAGUCCAAGUGGAUAUUCCGGGUCGGGGUGUGUUAAUGUAUCAAAAAAAGUAUUCAUUUAUUUAUUUAUUUUAUCUAAUAUAUAAAGCCAAUGGCCUAAUAAAUAGUGUUUUUGGGUGUCACAAGCUUCACCAAAAAAAAAAGGACAGAAAUGCCCCUCAAACAAAAAACUUCAAAAACAAUCCAAAUAAUGCAUCAAAUGUGGUAGGGGUAUUUUCGUCAUUUUAACAAUGUUUUUUAAUAAUUAAUUUUUUUGUACAUUUUUUUUUAAUAAUUAGUACCCCACAAUAAGCUAGCAAUAAUAUGAUUCAAUCAGUUGUUCAUUAAAUAUUAUUUUCUCUAUUUUUAAACACGUUCAAAACAUUUUAAGAGGCGUGUAAUGCCGAUUAUUAAAAAGGUCUUCCCCACGCGGAUAAUAAUGUGAUUAAAUUAGUUGUCAAAUGAUUGUUUUUUUUUAACAAACGAUAUUAUCUACACUAAGGUGGGGGAGUGGGUUUAGCCUCACAAUGAGUUAGUAAUAAUGUGAUUCAAUUAGUUGUUUAUUAAAUAUUAUUUUCUUUAUUCUUAAUGUAAAUUCAAUAGAUACCAAUUUUAUUAUGUGGAUUCAGCUGCUUUAAUUGGUUUAUGAGGGGUUUCUUCUAGCAUGAUCUAAGAUUAUUCAUUUACUUCAAAUAUAUUUGACUUUCCUUUUGUCAAUUUACGCAUAUAAAUACAUUUAAAACGUGUAAGUCGCGCAUAUGACGUCAUAAUUCAAAAAAUGUCUUCUGCACGAGCAUGCAUGAAGGAUAGUAUAUUAUAUGAGAAUGAGACCUAUAUAAAUAUUUUAUAAUAUAUUAUUUUACAAAUUUAGCCAACUUUUAAAUUAGCCCGUUAUAAACCGGCCAAGAAUAUUUAAUGGAUUUAUCGGGAAUUUUGAAUGACCGCCUCGUGCCCCAUGCACGGCCAGCAGCUCGAAUGAUCGCGGCUCUGCCUGAGUCCGACCGCGCUCCGGGCCAAGCGAACUGCCGUCGGAGCAGUGGAGUCGAAGCCUCACCGGUGCCGCCACAUCGCCACCACCGCGAAUAUUUUCGUGUACAGCACUCAGCCUACUAGCAUACACGCGCGCAAUUCGGGAUAGCUACGGCUUUGGUUAGUUCUUUGGCGCAUUUUAUCGAACUUUUUGUAGGCAAUUGAAGUUUUAUGUUAUUCUUGGUUCGUUUCGAAGUUGAAAGUGUUCGGCUUGAUUGAUUUGACUGUAUGAAAGUGAGAGCUCUGUGAUUAAGAUAUUAUUUUUGAAGGAAUAUGGUGUUUUAAUGGAGUUAAUUUGAUUGUUAAUUGUCUGCUUUUGUGUUUUUAGAUACAACGCAUAUGAACUGAAGAGAUUGGGUCAUAAUUAAUGUAGACAAGGUUGUGACUGUUUCUGUAUUUCCAACUUCGGAUAUGCAGUAAUAUGCAUAGUUGUUGCCUUCUUUCGGAUAUGCAGUAAUAUGCAUAGUCGUUGCCCACAGAUUACCGUGAUUACAAUAUUAGAAAUCUGCCAACAUGGUCAUCAAAAUAAAGACCUUACGAUUACGAGAGCAUGACUCUAUGGUGUUUCCAACAAGUCCAGUUGAUAAUGUUCUCACAUGAUUAACAACGUGCGCAUUCUAGAAUUUAUCGUCGGCCAACAUGGUCGGUCGAGUAUAAAUGUUUAGAAGAUCCUAAAUUAUAUGUGCCUAGAGCUAGAUAGACCCCUAUUCGGAAUGGACACAAGUACAAAUGUUUGAGGGCGUAGGGUGAGAGAAUGACUUACAUAAUUUAGGGACACUGUUACGUUUCAUGCCAAUAAUACAACAUCGAUAUGUGUAAGUUUUUCUCUACAAAACAAUGUAUCACUGCAAUAAAAUGUCACAAUAAUAAUAUACUUGUGUCAUGUAAAUUACUUUCGUGUAUCAUCAAGAGUACACUAAACGGUGACACUACCAAUUAUUAUUUUAAAGACACAGUAGAGUAGGAUUAGGACAAAAACUCAGUAAUUGCUUAGUGUUGUCGUUAAAUCUUGACCGUUCGAUCGAUCUAAGGGCUGUAAUCAAAAUCCGUGAGAUAGACGGACGCAUUCUAGAAUUUAUCGUCGGUCGAGUAUAAAUGUUUAGAAUACCCUAAAUUAUAUGUGCCUAGAGCUAGAUAGACCCUUAUUCGGAAUGGACACAAGUACAAAUGUUUGAGGGCGUAGGGUGAGAGAUUGACUUACAUAAUUUAGGGACACUAUUAAGUUUCAUGCCAAUAAUACAACAUCGAUAUGUGUAAGUUUUUCUCUACAAAACAAUGUAUCACUGCAAUAAAACGUCACAAUAAUAAUAUACUUGUAUCAUGUAAAUUACUUUCGUGUAUCAUCAAGAGUACACUAAACGGUGACACUACCAAUUAUUAUUUUAAAGACACAGUAGAGUAGGAUUAGGACAAAAACUCAGUAAUUGCUUAGUGUUGUCGUUAAAUCUUGACCGUUCGAUCGAUCUAAGGGCUGUAAUCAAAAUCCAUGAGAUAGACGGACGCAAUCUCCUACCAGGACUAUGAGUACUUGGCUUCGACAUCCUAUAUAUACAACGAGACACGCCAUUUACAUGCAUACAUACAUCAUCGACGUUCAAGUUUCAAACCCUAACGUUGGCUCUUUCCGUCUUUUCUCGUCGCCUGUUUUUGUUCCUUCCAGAAAGUGGAAUCUGAAGAAUCCGACGGUAACGAUGUCGAUGAUAGAUAACGUGUUAAGGAUGAUAGAUAACUUCGAGGACUGGUUUAUAACCAAACGCCAAGAGCUUCAGAAAUCUGCGAGAGUCGCUAUGGAAGCUUUGCUCUGGGAACCCAGAAGUUUCCGGAACGUUUUGAAUUUGGCAAUCAAAUUGACCAAGGCAAUCGUAUUGGUGCCCCUUUGUGUGCUGGCCUUGUAUACUGUGCUCCUGAUUAGGGUGGGAAUCGCUUGUUUGAUCUGCGUCCCAAUACUUUUCAUUAUUUUCAUCGUCCUUGUCGGUGUCCGUAAGUUACUGACCAUAGACUUCGACUUGCAAAUUAUGUAACCAAGAUUUCUAGUUGUUUGUUCGUUGCUCACCAACUGUCUGUUUAAAUGACUGAAUGAGUUUUUUUGUUUCGUUUCUUUUCUUGCAGGUUACGGUCGGGCACACUAUCUGUUCUUCACAAGACGAAACCGCGCGGGGAUGUCGUAUGCCGACUUCAUUGACAAGUUCGGCGCGUGGUUGACAAACAAUCCUAUUCCACCUUUCGAAUCAUUUGGUGAAUCCGGUCGACAUUGGGCACAGUACAUGUGGGGCUUCAAAUUGGAAGAAGAUUGAGGAAGAUUUCAGAGUUACUAUGGAAUGUAUGUAGAGAUUAUUAGAUUGGAUGACCAUAAAAUUAAAAUUGCUGCUUCUGUUUAUUUUUCUCUCUCUAUUAAUUUAAUUUUUCUUUCUAAAUAACUACGCCAUUUAUCGGAGGACGUAUUGAACGACGUAGCAUCCGUAAGAACGACUUGUGACAUUACGAUACAAAAAAAAAAAAGAAAAAAAAAAGCAGUUUGUGACAAAAUAGCUAGGAUUAUGGUUAAAGUAUAGCAUCUAUAUCUAUAUGUUAUUCUUCAUCACUUGGAAGCAACUAUUUUCAAUUAAUUACAGGAGCACGACAGUGACUGAAACUUUAACAUAGAUAAUCGAACUAUUAGAGUCUAAGAAAAUUUAUUUGGCAAGGAAUUCGGAUUGUGUGGGUUAAAAGAGAGGCCAUACCCUCACUUUUUGUUAGAAACAGACUCUAUGUAUGUUGUUCAUCUCCUAUCAACUCGUUCUGUGAAAGUCCCCUUGUUUCUCAAAGUUGUUUAGGGCAAAUUGCUUAUGAUAUAGUGCUCGCUUAAGAUUGCAUUUUUUGCAUAAAUGUAAGGAGUGGAAUUGUUUGGCCAAUGGUUUUGCUAAUUAUGGUUAGUCAAUUUGGCUAAACUGUCUUAGGAAACGAUUUUCACUCUUUUUCAUUCUUUUGCGCUUUUUUAUUUAUUUUUCAAGCGGUUGAUUGAAUAAAGAUUCCAAUAAAGCGUCGAUGUUAUUCUUAGGCUAAUUAGAUGUCUUCAGUUCAUUUUUGGUAGUUGUAUGACGUAGGUUGAUUGUUGGAAUCUAAAUUCUCUACGUUACGUUAAUAGGUCAUUGUAUGAAUUGACGAUCCGACCGUUGGAUCGUCACCAAACUUUAGUAGUUUAUAAUACGUAAUAUUUGAGGACCACAGGAACUUACGGAUUGGGAAUCCAAUAUAUGGACCUUUCCGAAAUUGGAUUUGUAAGUUCAUAAAAUAAAAGGUUAACCGCCGUUUGGUUUUGACAAUUUGCGGAGAUCCGACCGUUGGAUCGUAAUGGGACUGUAGGAUGUUGUUCUAGAAGUAUAAUGUGGAUCUUUGGAAGCAACGGAUUGGAAAUCCAUGAUGCAGAUCUUCCGAAUUGAAUUACGUAGGGAUGUGUUUUAUGUAAAUUGUGUAUUUUAUCGUUACGAACUCUAAGAUGUGAUUUGAUAAUUGGUCAUAGGCGACGAUGGUUCGUGAUGUCUCGAUAUGCGUGCUAGAGAGUCGUGGCGCGGACCUCAGUUAAGUGGGCCUUUUUCUUUUUAUCGUACAUUAUAUAUAUAUAUAUAUGAUUAACAAUUCCACAACGUUUAUAAAAUUGCUUAUUGCGUAUAAUUAUUGUGAAUGCUUUGAAGUACUAAUGUGAACUACGAAUGGCUUGAUCCCUGUUUAGGGUACGUAGGCAGUCUAACGAGACGUUAGAUGCAGCCAUACAAUAUUUGAAACAGAAAUCUUGUUUGGGAAUUGAGCAAUGUGAACGAAAUUGGUGAAAAUAUGAGAUUUAACCUUAUAUUUUUAGUAAUUGGAUGUUGGUCAUAAAUCAAUGUGGAAGGAAUCAAGAAAUUGAAAUAAGGAAACAUAAGUAAUGAUAGUUAAUUAAACUAGUGUUUAGUUGGAUUUAUCCCCGAUAAUUAUUUCCCGAAAAUAAAUAAUUCGGGAGUAGGGGGCAUUAUAGAUUGUGCAAUUUACACCACAUUAUAUAUAUAUAUAUAUAUGUAUAUAUUGGAAAAAUAUUAUGAUAUGGUUGAGUUUUAGAUUUGCAUUAUGGCAUAUCCAUGUAUAUAACACCUGCACAUAAUUAUUGUCAACGCUUGAAGUGCAAAGGUGAAUGCAGGACACCCAGGUAAGUUCAGGUAAGUUUAUGGUAUUAGUUGAAAUGAUGGAGUUAUGGCAUGACUACAUGCAUGUUUUAAGCAACUCUGACACUGUCGUACGAGUUGCCCAUGAGUUGUACAUGUUAUGUUGAGAUACAUUGAGAGCUCAUAAACUUGCACCCAGGUGUUAGUGCUCCUGCCCGUGGCCAGGGCACAGUCUUUCACGUAAUGUUCACCUCCCACACCUUACGCUCACCUUAGAUCCAAGGUAGGUGCACAGUUCUAUCGUGCAGACCACUAUAGGUGGUUCUGACUCGUAGGUGACCCGUGAUUAUUCACACAGUCUUCAUGUGAUCGUAGCACUUGAGGGUAUUUAUUUACACUCAGUCAUGUCGUACAAACCGCUUUAGGUGGUUCCAACUUGUGUGCAGAGCUAUGGAUAAGUCGUACAGGUCACUAUAGGUGACUUCGAUUUAUGAGCUAGCAUAUGUGAUGAAAUAUGUAAUGAGCUAGCAUAUGUGAUGAAAUAUGUGAUGAGCUAGCAUAUGUGAUGAAAUAUGUGACGAGCUAGCAUAUGUGAUAAAAUAUGGGUAAGUCGUACAGGUCACUAUAGGUGACUCCUGUUGGGUUUUUUUUCUAACUCAUGAUAAGUUGUCCUAAGUCUAUUAGGAAUUAAUAGUCUUAGAGGAUUAAAUUGUUUUCCCAAUUGAGUUAGUUUCUCAAUUGGAGUAGGAUUCAUAACUAGAUUCCAAUUAGGAUUAAUAAUCCUUAUUGAAGAAGACCUUUAUUAUGUCUAUAUAAAGGGGCUAUUGUACUAAUUUUGAGGAGGGAGCAAAACAAUAAUUGUAUACCACUCUAGGGAUUAGAGUGGGAGAAUAUUGUAAAGUGUGUGCGAGAGAAAAGAAAAGAGAUAGUGUAUUUCUUGUUCUUGUUAUUUCAUGUUUUUCGUCAAAUCCUAGUUCUAGAGAUUUGGUAAGAUUAUUGGUUGUACUCAUUAUUGAUAUAGUGAAAGAUUGUUGUUACUGUCCCUUGGACGUAGACACAUAUUGCCAAACCACAUAAAUUAUUGGUGUUAUUUAUCUUGGUUAUUUGUUUUCGAUUUUCGGAGUUUGUUCUUGUUUUUCCCAUUCUUAAACGCGAUAUUCUCAACAAGUGGUAUCAGAGCCUAGUUUGGUUGAUAUCCGUUUAGAAUGGAGGGUGCAACCCGCUUUAAUUGGGUUACAAGGAAAUCAAGAGGAGGAUAUGCUUUACUAAAGGUGUUAUGAGCAAGCCAGCAGUGUGUCUGAUGCUGAUUGGACCAAGAUGAACAUAAGCGAUAUUUUCUGGUAAAGAAGUCUAUAAUUGCCUUUGCCAAUGACAAUGGUAAUUUUGAUCAGGGGGAGCCUGGUCAAGAGAAAUCUAAUCAAAAGGGUCUUGGUUAAUGAGUAGUUCGAUCAAGGGGAGCUUGGUUAUGGGUAAUUCGAUCAGGGGGAGUCUAGUCAUGAAAAGUUCGAUCAAUGAGAGUUUGGUCAAGAGGAGCAAUCCUAUUUUAGUAUACCUUCCUCAUGGUCUGGAGGGGGAGAUUGUUGGGUUUUUUCCAGCCCAUGAUAAGUUGUCCUAAGUCUAUUGGGAAUUAAUAGUCUUAAAGGAUUAAAUUGUUUUCCCAAUUGAAGUUAGUUUCUCAAUUGGAGUAGGAUUCAUAACUAGAUUCCAAUUAGGAUUAAUAAUUCUUAUUGAAGAAGACCUUUAUUAUGUCUAUAUAAAAGGGCUAUUGUACUAGUUUUGAGGAGGGAGCAAAACAAUAAUUGGAUACCACUCUAGGGAUUAUAGUGAGAGAAUAUUGUAAAGUGUGUGCGAGAGAAAAGAAAAGAGAUAGUGUAUUUCUUGUUCUUUCAGGUUUUUCGUCAAAUCCUAGUUCUAGAGAUUUGGCAAGAUUAUUGGUUGUACUCAUUAUUGAUAUAGUGAAAGAUUGUUGUUGCUGUCCCGUGGACGUAGGCACAUAUAGCCGAACCACGUAAAUUCUUGGUGUUAUUUAUAUUGGUUAUUUGUUUUCAAUUUCCGGAGUUUAUUCUAUUUUUCCCAUUCUUAAACGCGAUAUUCUCAACAACUCCGACUUAUGAGUUAACAUCAAUUGAUGAGAUAUGGGUACAAUCAUACAUGUCACCAUAGGUGACUCAGACUUGCAUGCUAGUAUGAGUUAUUAAUCACAUGAUUAUUGAUAUUGCUGAUGAGAUGCGGUGUUGUGGUAUAUUUAUGAUUUUUCUGGAAACUAUACAGGUGUUGUAGCGAGGGGUUAUAAUGUUUUAUAUGGUUUCUAUUAAAAUUUUAUCUCUAGGGCCACUCACCCUUGUUUUGUUUUCACCCUCCAGGUUUUAUUAGCUGAGAUUUCUUAUCAUCGAAGAUUCGUGGCGAUUCUUAGUAUUGGAGAUUCUUUCGAGGGUACGAUUCUUAAUCCACUCUACUGUACUUACUUAUACUCUAAUGUCACGUGUGAAGUGGGUUCCUUCCCGCUCACUAGCGCACUCGGGUAUUUAGGCACUCUUAGGUUUAAAUUUAUUCACAUGUUUUCACAUCAUCACACUUUAUGGUUACGUCACCUUCCAGGUGUAGGCCAGCGCAGCUCGAUUUGGAGUCCAAAUUCAUAUUCCGGGUCGGGGUGUGUUAAUGUAUCAAAAAAACUAUUCAUUUAUUUAUUUUAUCUAAUAUAUAAAGCCAAUGGCCUAAUAAAUAGUGUUUUUGGGUGUCACAAGCUUCACCAAAAAAAAAAAGGACAGAAAUUCCCCUCAAACAAAAAACUUCAAAAACAAUCCAAAUAAUGCAUUAUAUGUGGUAGGGGUAUUUUUGUCAUUUUAACAAUGUUUUUUAAUAAUUAAUUUUUUUAAUAAUUAGUACCUCACAAUAAGCUAGCAAUAAUGUGAUUCAAUCAGUUGUUCAUUAAAUAUUAUUUUCUCUAUUUUUAAACACGUUCAAAACAUUUUAAGAGUCGUGCGAUGCCGGUUAUAAAAAAGGUCUUCCCCACGCGGAUAAUAAUGUGAUUAAAUUAGUUGUCAAAUUAUUGUUUUUUUUAACAAACGAUAUUAUCUACACUAAGGUGAGGGGGUGGGUUUAGCCUCACAAUGAGUUAGUAAUAAUGUUAUUCAAUUAGUUGUUUAUUAAAUAUUAUUUUCUUUAUUCUUAAUGUAAAUUCAAUAGAUACCAAUUUUAUUAUGUGGAUUCAGCUGCUUUAAUUGGUUUAUGAGGGGUUUCUUCUAGCAUGAUCUAAGAUUAUUCAUUUACUUCAAAUAUAUUUGACUUUCCUUUUGUCAAUUUACGCAUAUAAAUACAUUUAAAACGUGUAAGUCGCGUAGGACGUCAUAAUUCAAAAAAUGUCUUCUGCACGAGCGUGAGUGCGUGCAUGAUGGAUAGUACAUUAUAUGAGAAUGAGACCUAUAUAAAUAUUUUACAAUAUAUUAUUUUACAAAUUUAGCCAACUUUUAAAUUAGCCCGUUAUAAACCGGCCAAGAAUAUUUAAUGGAUUUAUCGGGAAUUUUGAAUGACCGCCUCGUGCCCCAUGCACGGCCAGCAGGUUGAAUGAUCGCGGCUCUGCCUGAGUCAGACCGCGCUCCGGGCCAAGCGAACUGCCGUCGGAGCAGUGGAGUCGAAGCCUCACCGGUGCCGCCACAUCGCCACCACCGCGAAUAUUUUCGUGUACAACACUCAGCCUACUAGCAUACACGCGCGCAAUUCGGGAUAGCUACGGCUUUGGUUAGUUCUUUGGCGCAUUUUAUCGAACUUUUUGUAGGCAAUUGAAGGUUUAUGUUAUUCUUGGUUCGUUUCGAAGUUGAAAGUGUUCGGCUUGAUUGAUUUGACUUUAUGAAAGUGAGAGCUCUGUAAUUAAGAUAUUAUUUUUGAAGGAAUAUGGUGUUUUAAUGGAGUUAAUUUGGUUGUUAAUUGUCUGGUUUUGUGUUUUUAGAUACAACGCAUAUGAACUGAAGAGAUUGGGUCAUAAUUAAUGUAGACAAGGUUGUGACUGUUUCUGUAUUUCCAACUUCGGAUAUGCAGUAAUAUGCAUAGUUGUUGCCUUCUUUCGGAUAUGCAGUAAUAUGCAUAGUCGUUGCCCACAGAUUACCGUGAUUACAAUAUUAGAAAUCUGCACGUUGCCCGCGGAUUACCAUGAUUACUUUAUUAGGCACGAUGCCUUAUUUGGCCACUGUGGAAGAGGCAGUUGCCUACUCUGCACGGUGCUACUAAAUGUAUUGGAUUGACCGUUAAAAACGUGAGUUUUUAGUUUCAUUUUUGAAGAUCUUAGUACCUAUCUUUGCAGUCAUGUAUAUAAAUUGGUUUACACUUUACAAUACUGAAUUUUAAUUCAGCUCGAACAUUUUAUGGAACUCUAGUUGGUUUUGGUGUUACCAAUCAUCUAAGUUCAGACGAGGCUUUGUAUGGCUAUAAUUUUUAUGCCGGAACAAGUGGAGCUUGUUCAUUGUGAUUAUAAGGCAUGUGAAGGAUGAGAAACAUUUCUUUCAUAUGAAGAUACUCGCCACGUAUUCGUUUAUAUAUGUGUGAGAGAGCGCUUCUUCACACGAAAUCAUCAUUCUAUUCUUCUUAUGUGCAAAUGUGUUGCGCUGAUAAAAGAUGAAUACUUGGGGAGAUGAUGAUUGUAACAUUGAGUAGAAUAUCUAAUUUUCGCUUCAGCAUAUAGAUGAACUUAGGAUCUCACUGUUCCAGAACUUGCUGUUUCUCUGAUUUGCAUAUUGAUUUGUGACAGAAUCUUAUGGCUUGCGUUUUCUCUCGUGAGCAGGUUGUGUAUACUGAUACUUAAGAGGAUUUUGUUUUUAUUCUAUCAUUAAACAGGAUAUUCUCGUUGGGUUGCUGCAAUUUAGGACAUACAUCCAAAACCAGACCAAGUGGAGAUUGUGCGGCAAAUGAAGGAUGGGAAACAUUUCUUUCAUAUGAAGAAACUCGCCAGGUAUUCCUUCCAUAUAUUUGAUAGAGUGCUUCUUCACACGAAAUGAUCAUUCUGUUCUUGUCAUGCGAAAUAUGCGUGUCUCGGAUUUGCUUAGUAAUUAAUUUGUGCACAAGUUCUUAUGGCUUGAGUUUUUCCAGGUGAGCAGGUUGUGUAACAUGAUUUUGUUAUUAUUCUUUUCGUAAACAGGAUUUUCUCGUUGGGUUGCUACGAUUAAGAAAGUGAGGCCAGAAUACUACUUGUCCCAGAUGAAUGAUUAGUGCUCUGGUGAUCGUGAGCUCCAUGUUUAUGGGACUGCUGUUCCAGCGCAUGGGUGAAUUCUGACAAGCUGCAACACCAGGUAAUGUAGCUUGUACAUCAACUGUUUUAUGUUACCGUUAGUGUUGAGAUUAAUUUAUUGGGUAAUAAUGUACUCUGAUUGAUUCAAACAGGAUUAUGGUACCCUGGAGGAGGCCGAGCGGAUUGCUAGCGGGGAGCAUCGAUAGAAAAAGAUUGCCUGAGCUUGAAGGGAAACAAUCCAAAAAAAGUACAACAAAUGACUGAGACUUUAUUGUUAGCACAUUGAAUUGGACGACGUUCAAAGAAGACAAAUUUUCAACAGCAAACUUGAACCAGAAGAACCUCUUAACGAAUCUAUGUAGCUAUUUUUCUUAUUACUUUUUAAUUCUCUGUUCUUGAUGUUGAUUUCCAUCUUGCUCUUCCGGUUCAGACUGUGAACAACAAAACUGAAUCAAAAGAACCACUUGAGGAAAUCUACCAAGCUAUUUUUCUUGUAUUACAUUUUGAUUCUUCAAUCUUGAUGCUGAUCUUGUUCUUCCUCUUCAGACUGUAAUCCUCGAAAGCUACAAUUAUUGGCUACCAAUUGAAAAGUUUCAGUUAGAAACUCUUUCGUUGCAUACGAAUAAGCUCUGACAACUUUGCUGACAAAAAUUGUCAUCUGUCUCAUGAAAUUAACCCCCUCAAACAAGUAUGGACACAAGAAAUUUGCAGCCUCGCCUAUGAAGAUAAUGCACUGGACCCCCUUCGAAAAAUAGCCAACUAAGUCAAUGAAAGCUUUCAGGUCUUGGGCUGCUUUUGCUUCCAAAAACGAGCUUCGCAGAUUUGAUUACAUAUCGAAUUACUUUCUUGAUGUCACCCACCAAAUUCUUGAACAAGUCCGCAGUUUUCCACCGCUCAGAGGACCAAUAUUUUUCCGGUGAUGGGUUUUCCGGCCAUACACUUUGUAACGGUUGCAAACUCUGCGCUCAAUAGUGUAUCGACUUCUGAUCGGGUUGCCCCACGUUGAUCAUUGUCGAAAACCUUGAUGAGUUCUUGAAAACAUUGCAGGUCUGACCUCUCUUCAUCCCCUCGAAGCUUUCCAGCAACUGAUUGUUUAACAAACUCGAACUCAAACUCAAACUCAGACAUCAGUAGAAUAUCAACUUCUGACUUCAUGGAUGGAUUCUGCUUUUGUUCCAUUAAUCUCGAACGCCAUCUUGGUCAGUUCUUGUUCGUCUACUCGGUCUCCUGACAUUGUUGUUCUUUCUUUCGACGAAUGAUCUUUCUGGCGAAAGAAUCAGCGUGAGUGUGACGGAGAGAGGGUCUCUGUAAAAAGAAACCGAGAGAGAGAGAGAGAGAGAGAGGGGGGGAGAAACGAUUUUUGAUUUUGGUACGGUGCGUAGGUGUGAAUUUUGCGAAGAAGUUCAAUAUAUACUAAAACUGUUUAUCAACUGAAACUGUUUAUAAACACAGUAUAGUUCCGAUUUUACCCUUGCUUGGUUUGUGUUAUGAAUUCUGAUAUUUUGAGUAUAAUUUUGGUUUUUGGAAUUUCGAAUUUGUACCCUGACCUUGCUCUAAUUAAUUUUAAUUUCGUCAGUUGUUGUUGGGUUUGAGUAAAUUUCGAACCUUUUGUUUUCGUUCUUAAAAUUUUUGAGUUCUAUCUAUUAAAUAUUUGUUAAAAGACCCGAAUUUUCUAUUUGAACAAUUUGUAAAGCCUAUGAAAACUAAACAAAAAGUCAUAUGAUCUGUGAUUUCUUCAUUCCUAUAGGUGUAGAAGCUCUGUUCUCCCGUUUUUUGGCCAAUUUCAAAGGCUCUGAAUUGCUUAAUUUUCUUUAAAAAUAUUUUCAAUUUCAAAUAUAUUUUUUAUUUUUUUUUCGGUUUUCUGAUUUCUGGUUGUGUUUUAGGGCAUAAUAGUGGGAGUUUGAAUAAUGGAGCUGCAGCCAUGCAAUGGAGUAUAGCAGGAGGCAGAGGACCUUUCACUCCAUCUCAAUGGAUGGAGCUAGAACACUAGGUCUUGAUCUACAAAUACAUCCCAAUGUGCCUAUUUCGUCCACACUUCAUCCCAAUCAAGAAGGCCCUUAAUUCUGCAGGAUUUUUUUAUAUUUUCGAACGGAAUUCUCAGGCGCGCAAUUCAUAUAAUUUCUUCAUUUUACUAAAAAAAAAAAAGAUUUCCGCACACUUCACUUUUUUUUUCUUAUGCACGUGUUUGCUUAUUUUGUUGUUUGAUUUUUGCUUGAUUUUAUUUAAUUCAAAAGCUAGAAAUAAAUCUAAAUUUUUCAUGCCUUCAUUCUAAGUAUUUUUUCGAUUUUCGUGGGGUUGUGUAUGUGCAAUGAGAUGGGGUUCUAUCCAUUUGGGAUUCUCCAAUCACUGUGAAUUACAAGGAUUUCAUAGAUAAUGUACAGAUUAGGGAUACACUUGAGCCUAGAUAAGCAUGAAAAGCAUACGGUUUUGCUUCACCCAUCUAAUCAUAGAAUUGGGUACCAUCAAUUCAAAGGUUGUAGAACCAGUUUCUACAAUGAAACCGUAGUUGGCUGCGUGUGUUUGUGUUCAUUGGGAAUUUGGGAGAGAUUUGUUAUUGAGAGGGUAAGCCAGGCAAAAACAGAUUGAUAGUGUUGAGGAAUUGGGUAACAGUUUAAUUAUGUGUACAAUGAAGAAUCACAUAUGUUAUUAUUAAAAUGGGUCUGCACAAAUUUUGCAUAAUAUGAAGUCACCGUAAAUAAAUGGUUUUGCCAAAAUUAUUUCUUAUUUUGUUCCUUUUUUGUAAAUAGGGUUGUAAGAUUUCCACAUGUAUGUAAAUAGUAUUGCCUAUCAUAUAUACAUUUAUAACUUUCUAUAUAUGUUUUAUACGGUUUUAAAAACCCGCAGCAUCGCGUAGGGACACUUUCGCUAGUAAGGCUUAAAUGUCAAAAUGGUCCCUGUGUGAUAGGAUCAGACAUGAUAAAAAGGAAAAUUGCAAGAAAGUAAAUGCAGAAAUGGAAAAUAAAUUAAAGUAAAUUCAUAUCUUCAUUCAUAGUACUCAUUACACUAGAAAAAAGAGUUUAAAUACAUCCAAAGAUAAGUAGGGUUCGAGCUAUAGACGGGCCUAAUGGUAUUACAUAUGUAAUGGGUCUAAUGGUAUUACAUAUGUAAUGGGCCUAAUGGUAUUACAUAUCUAAUGGGCCUAAUGGAUAGUAAUAACAUUAGGUGGUCCAACUAGUCAUAACCGAAGCCUAAUAGCUUAGAGUUGCAUCAUUGUGUUAUAAUUAUAUGGCCAAUUUAAUAUUUGGCUAAUUUAGUCCCCGUGUCUAUCUAUGUUAGCCAAUUAAGGACAUUUCAUUCAAUCUCUUUUAAAAAAUUCAUAAGAAAAAUUAUAUGAGAUAUAAUUACCCUAACCUUUUACAUAAAAAUAACACAUAUAAGAAAUAAAACUUCCAAUCUGAAAAAUGUUUAAGGUUGCGACGUAGAAAAGAGAGGAGGUAAUGUUAGGGAGGAGGUCGGGAAGUUGGAAGGAGAAUAACUUCUUUUUUCUUUUUUUUUUUAAUUUUAUUUCAUUUUUAAAUAUUUUAAAUCAAAUAAAUAAUUUCAUAAAUAAGUUUAUAAUAAUUUAUAAUAAAAAUGGAGUUUUAACGAAAAGCUCCCAGAACUGUUCACUUUAACGAAAAACCACAUUUUUACUCUAAAAAUUCAAUUUUGGUACUAUUCACUUACAACAUUUUUUUGUCGUUUUCGUUAAAACUCAAAGUUUUCAAGCUCUUUUUAUUAAUUUUCCUUAAUAAAAAAUUACAAAAAUUAGAUGAAAAUGUUCUUAAUUGGCUAACGGAGGUAAACACAAGGACCAAAUUGGCCAAAUUGAAAAUACAGAGACUAAAUUGAUCUAAUGACUAAAACACAUGGACUAUUUUAACAUUUAAGCCAAGAAAUAAUAUAUUUUAACAUUUACGCAUAUAGAUGAGUUUCCCAGGACAAGAAAAUCUCUACCCAGCAAGUCAACACCCUGCCUUCUCUUCUCAAAACCUUGCCUGGCAGGCAGCAUAAAUGCUGCUGCAUACACCGGAAACUUAUUAUGGGGCCAUUCUAUUUGGGCUUCUUGUUUAUUUUCUGAUCUUAGGCUCCACUCGCUUGUCUUUACUCUCUUAAUCUACCCAGAUUUUGAAGUUCCCUCCCAUAAUGAUCGGUCCAAUUCAAUAAAGAUCUUGAUUUUGAAAUCUCUUUCCAGGGACCAGCUCCAGCAGGACCUAAGGCCAUCUCCAACCGAGGGCUGGCCAGAGGGCUCGUUUUAGCCCUCUGGCCCUCCAAGAUUCCCCAAGAUAUUAAUAUUUUAAUGAACAGUACAGGGCCAUAUUUGCCUCCGUCUCCAACCGAGGGCCAAAAGGCUCGUUUUAGCCCUGUCACGAAAAGCCGUCUCAAACCGAGGGUCAAAGGGCCAUAGGGCCAAACAUAAUUUAUUAUUUAAAAACUACAAUUUAAUGUUGUAUAAAUAGCUUAGGAAGUUAUACGAAAAAAAUAGAAUUGAAAAAAAAUAUGAAACAAAUUUUGUGAAAUAGAAGUUAUAGGAAAACAAAUAUGAAACAAAAUUUGAUUCAUAUGAAAAGGAAAAAAAAGGGAAAAAUAGAAGUUUAAAUUCAUUAAAAAAAAAAAAAAGGCCUAAUAAUCCAACGGCUACUAGCCGUUAUAUUAAAAAACAUUUCAAACUAUUAGUGUCGGUUAUAACCGACACUAAUAGUAGAAUUAUUAAAAAAAAAUAUCUUUAAUGUUGUCGGUUAUAAUCGACAGCAAUAGGAAAUCAUUAAAAAAAAAAUAGCCAGCCCGGGGCUGGCUGGCCGGCCGAAAGCAACCAGCCCUCCAGCCCUCUCCGAUCCCGUGGGGCCCUCCCAGAUUCCAGAUCCCUCUGGCCUAGCCCUCGGUUGGAGACGGUUUUAGGACUAUUUUCAGCCAUCUGGUCCUCUGGACCCUUCGGUUGGAGAUGGCCUAAGUCGCUAGGCAGGAACCAAGCUUUGGUCUCUGACGUGGUUGAUACGAGCGGCUUAGCCUGUGUAGGCCUUAUAAUUUUGGAAUGAGCAAGCUCCUGAGCAGCCUCAGUCAUGACAUCAAGUAUCAAUAUGCAUUGACUGAUAUCCAUUUUAGGUGAAUAAAGUAGUUUGUUUAAUGUCUCAACAGAUUCCAAUGGGCAUGUGACAAGCAAAUCAACCAAUGCUUUUUGUCUCGUCUUCAGCUGAUCUUCCUCACCUUCUACAGCCAAGCCAGAACAACGAAGCUGGACAAGUGUUCUCACAAAAUCACUGGCUACGUGCUUGAGCUCAUCAGGUGAUGCUCGGACAAGUUUUUCAGCAACACCAAGAGCAUUCUCCACCUGCAAUAUGAAAAUAAAAUUAAUGAUCCAGGAGCCAAGGAUAAUAUUCAUCCCGCUUGUGUAAUUUACUACCAAUGUUCUAAAAAUCGGCCUAGACGACGCUAGACGGUGAAGGCCCGCUGCGGGGCAAAUCAUUUCGAAAAGUCAGUCUAGAGCUAGGCAGUCCUAAACGACUCCUAGGUGGCAGGCUAGGCGGUCCUAAGAGGUCUUUUUAUUUUUAUUUUUUAUAAUUAAUUGCGUGCUUUCUUUUUUUGGUUUCAUGGCGGUAUAUUUAUAGAAAUGGUGUACCUAAUUUGCAAAUGAUGGAUUUACUACAAGUUCAUUCACUAGUAAAACGAAUUGGAGCACCUUUGAGGAGAUACAUACAAAGAAAAGAAAUAAAUUAGAUACAACAAGGUUAAAUAAUUUAGUCUAUUUCCAAUCCAAUGCAAGGAUCAUGAACAAGAAGAAUUUAGUCUAUCAUCCAAGAAUACUCCUUAUUAUGAUUAUAUGCUUACUGUUUUUUAAAUAUUGAACUUUUUGGAUGUAUAUACUUUGUGUAUUCUUCUACUUCUAUUUUUGCAUUUUAUCAUUCUUUUAUUAUCCAUACAAGUAUAGUUUUUUUUUUUAAGUGUAAUUAAGCACUUAUUUACAAGUUAUAUAAUAAAUUUAUAUAAAUCCGCCUAGGCCGCCUGGGCGCCCACCUAGACCCCGCCUAGCCGCCUAAUCACUAGGCCCCGCCUAGCCGCCUAGGCACUAGGCCCCUACUCUCCUCCCGACUAGCGCCUAACAUUUUUUAGAACUUAUGAUUAUUGUAAGAACAUUUGACAAAAUUUUAAACCAAUGAACAUGGUUUACUUACCCUAUCAGCAUCAUCAGAAUUCCGAAGUGCAGCAACUACGUCGACCAAUUGUGAAAUUACACAAGCGGGAUGAAUAUUAUCCUUGGCUGCUGAAAAUUACACAAAUCAUAUGGCUGUAAAGAUGACUCACUUGAAACAUCAGACUCAUUUCAUUAGCAUCGUCAUUUUCAUCGUCGUCCGAGACCGACUCGUAGUUUAGUGCAAGUGGAUCAACCAACUUAGAUUCAUAUGAUUUCCAAUUUCUACUCGUACCAUCACUAGAUUUAUGGGGUUAAGCCCUUUUUCAGCACUGAGGUAGAUGUUUCAGGAUUGUCGAUACCCUGUUGUAUGCAAUUUGACAUGUCAUCAAAAUAAAGACCUUACGAGAGCAUGACUCUAUGGUGUUUCCAACAAGUCCAGUUGAUAAUGUUCUCACUAGAUUAAUAACGUGCGCAUUCUAGAAUUUAUCGUCGGCCAACAUGGUCGGUCGAGUAUAAAUGUUUAGAAGACCCUAAAUUAUAUGUGCCUAGAGCUAGAUAGACCCCUAAUUUAUAACCUUUUGAUCUUGCUUCAUCUGCAGCUAAACCAAAAUCUGGACAGUCCCCAAUAUAAUUCUGUCAAAAACCAGAUAGCAACACCAUGUAAAAGCCAUAUUGGGUGUCUACACCCACACUUAUCAAUUUACACAAAUUUGAAAUUUGAAUCACUUGGACUUCAAAAAUAUUUGCACAGAAAUUCAAAAGAAGAUGAACAGUACUGGGCAAUUGAGACUCACCUAUAACUGCUACCGAGCUAUGCUGCACGGAAUAGUGAUGCACCGUGAAGAGAACUCGGCGCUGUUGACAAAGUCCCAGAAUAACCUUGAAAUUUAUAGGGGUCAAAUUUUAUAGCCGAAGGAGCAAUCAUUUACUGAAUUAUAAAGAAAAACCCUAAAUAAACAAUCAAUCAAACAGAACCAAAUCAUAUUUACCAGCUUCAAAAUUUUGAAAAUUUUCGUACUAAACCCAAUUAUAAAGGGAAUGAGUGUACUGUGUACCUAAUGAAGUAUUACACCACUGUUGAUGGCAGACUGGGUAGUGCAUGCAGCAUCAGUAUGCACUCCAUAAUUGUCUCUCUGUUUUUUCUAUAUGACAAAUGAUUUGGGAAUUAAUAGGGGUGCAAAAUGGAUAGAACCAAGAAUUGAAAUCAAGAGAAAACACACAUCCAAUUUGAUAACAGUCAAACUGCUAGUGUGGUGCAAAAUGAGCAAUUUUAAACUCGUAAAAUAAUUUGUACCCCUCUUCCCCCAUUUUCUGUGCAAUUCACCACCUAAACAAUGCAAUAAAAAACCAAAUGGAGGGAUUUUACACAUACAUAUAUCAUUCUGUCUCUCAAAUUUACACCAAUGAUGCAUGCAUGAACCUCAAUUAAUCCCGUAUUGCGAGUGAAAUUUCCAUUUUUAACCACUAAAUCAGAACAACCACUGCCGGGGAAGCAAACAUGAGCUACUUUCAUAAAAAAUUUAAAUUAAAGACAUAAACUUCACACAGCUAGAACCUGACAACCAGCCUAUAAAUUAAAACAAAAACCAGGCUCAAACAUAUGUAUUUCCAUAGAUGCAUGUAUAAAGCUGUACAUACACACCUGUAUAAUUGUGUAACCACAGAGGAUUUGGGAAAGCUUUCAACAUACCUGUGUAUCGCAGUAGCAAGUUGAAUUGCUAGCUUUCAUCCCUUUUUCGGGCCGGGUUUUGCAGCAUCUACAUUCACCUAUAGCGUUUAAAAUUUUCAGUCAGAGAGCAAGAAGAAACGUAAUAAAAUGCUCCAAAGGGUAAACCCCAGCAAGCAAUAGAGUAUAUAUUGAAUGCCAUAUGGCAAUUAAGAGUCAAAGGUACCUUAAAAAUAACAUCUCUAAAAUCAAUUUACCAAACCCCUAAAUCUAACAAUUUUAACAAAUACUAUAGCAUCAAUUGAUUUAACCCUAUACACACUUAAUUUCUAGCCUAUCAUCUACGAACAGAAUAAGUACAAUCUUCCUAGCCUCUGUCAUUAGCAAAUAGCAGCAGGGCAAGUUACAAUUGAUCAAUAAUAUUUCAGAUAUACAAAGUUUUAAAUAUGGUUCUAGUCAAAUGUAGAAAACUAACAUCUCUCCUUUUCUCAGCUAAUCCAUUUUUGCAUUUCCAACCAAUAAUCGAGAAAGUGAGGGGAGGGCGCUACAAAGAACGCAUAAGAAAAGAAAGAAAUUACAUUUGUGAUCAACCAUCAAAGUAACAAACCACAGUGAAAAAUCAAAUAUUUGGCUUCGCAUAGAGAAUUAAUUUUGUUUAAUGGAAUAAUACAAAAUCCCAGCCAAACAUUUCACACAACCAGGGCCAUCUAUUCCAGUUUCCAAGCUUCAUUCACAGAAAAAGAAUUGGGGCCAAUAUCGAUAAUGCCAUGAAAAUUAAGACGAUUUCAUAUUUGAUUUAGUGAAAUUUCACACAACCUAGAAAAUAUCAGCACAAUUUCAGGCCAAAAAUAAAAUGCAACAAAUAAAUAGGCCGUGCAAACCUAACCGCAUUGCACAAAAGAUUCGGAAAUGAUUUUUACCUUUUCAAUCAAUUGAUGCAGGCAUGGGCUUCGGUUAUGGUUCAGUCUCUGCAGGCAUGGCUUUCGGUUAUGGUUGUCUGGUAUAUUGGUUAUACACAAUGAUCAAUCACACACAAAGUUAUGAUAACACUUGAAAGAAUAAGGCAAAUCAAGAAGGAUAUUUCACUCAAAUUAGAUCAUACACACACUGUAUCGUCCUCUAAAUCCUAAGAGAAAAAGUGUGAACACCACAACCUCAGGUUCAAAAAUAUUGUGACUGAUCUAUAAAAUAUAGCAUAUCAUUUCAUUAGACCUAGCCUAAAUUCAGGUGCUUAAGCACAUUAAGAUAUAAUUUCUACCUAAAAGGAGACACCACAACAGCAGGAACAAGGCUUUAUAACUUUUUCUUUUCUGGCAAGUAAAUUAAACUGCCCCAAGCUAAUACAAUAGAAGCUUACUUUUCAACGGGAAGCUAGCUGUACUGUGAUCUUCCAUGAACCUACUAAAAUGGAAACAAAUUUCUACUCAAAUUGUAAGAAACAACAACAACAAAUUUCUACCCAAAAUAUAAAAAAAUGAAAAAAAAAACCCUAGCAAAUUCAUGUUAUCUUCAUUAUAAAGAUGCUUUUGGAGAAGAUAAACUAAAUGCAUCCACACAUCUGUAAACACACACACCCAUUUACUGUUUGAACAUCUGCUUCUCUUCCCAAUUUGCCAGAUGUUCCAAGUUCACCUAAUGAAAGAUAAAACAAUUACCAUUAGAACUAUCUUAUCAACGACUGCAAUUCCGAAACGGAUCAACACAGGCUUCGAAACACAUACAAAUCAAAAGGUAAACUCUACAACCUUAGAAACUUUAUUAAUAAGAUAGUUCAACACAGGCUUCGAAACACAUACAAAUCAAAAGGUAAACUCUACAACGCUUGCGGGAGGAGAUGACGACGGAGGCGCCUUCAAGAGCCGAUGCCUUGAGUGGAAGCCGUCACAAUUGCUACCUUGUCGUCAAAGGGUAAUAGGCAAACAAUAAAAUACAAAUUCAACAAAUCGGGAAAAAGAAAACAGAAAAGGAAAACCUUACACCCGAUGCUAUAAUCUGGAGGUGGAGCAUGGAGCUGCAAGCUGAGAAAGGGUAGACUGAGAAUGGCGAGAGAGAAUCGGCGAGGGAUUUGAGGGAAAUUACAGAGUGAGAAAAGGGAGGGAUGCUAUAAUCUCGAGGUGGAGCAUGGAGCUGCAAGCUGAGAAAGGGUAGACUGAGAAUGGCGAGAGAGAGAAUCGGCGAGGGAUUUGAGGGAAAUUACAGAGUGAGAAAAGGGAGGGAUGGGGGAUUCGAUGGAUGGUUACACAGAGAGACUCGGGAGAGAAAAAG